GUCGCCGGUGUAGGAGUGGGUGGUGGUCAUGGUGCCCUUGAUGAUGCCUUGAUCCAUGCAUAUAUAUAUAUAUAUAUAUAUAUACACCGUUAUUAUAGGUUUGUCCGAUUUGCAAUAAUCACAAGGAGGGAGCAUCAAGUUUGCGGCGCUCGACUCGAGUUGAGUGAAGAAGAUCGAUACGCACCGAACUUUUGGUCGAGCACCUUGACGAAUGGCGCGAGGCAGUUGGUGGUGCAGGAGGCGUUGCUGAUGAUGGGCUCGUCGGGGUUGUACUGGUCGGCAUUGACGCCGACGACGUAGGUGGGGAUGUCGCCCUUGCCGGGCGCCGUGAUGAGCACCUUCUUGGCCCCCGCCUGGAUGUGCUUCCCCGCGCCCUCGCGGUCGACGAAGACGCCGGUGCCCUCGAUGACGAGGUCGAUGCCGAGCUCGCCCCACGGCAGGUUGCUGGGGUUGCGGUCGGACACGACCUUGAUGACCUUGCCGUCGACGGAGAUGGCGUUGUCGCCGACGGGCUUGACGUCGGCGUCGAAGAUGCCGAGCGUGGAGUCGUACUUGAGCAGGUGGGACGCCUGCUUGACACCGCCGGUGUCGUUGAUGGCGAUGACGUCGAGGGGCGAGGCGUCGCCGCGCCCGUGCCAGCACCGCAGGAAGUUGCGCCCGAUGCGGCCGAACCCGUUGAUGGCCACCUUCAGCUUCGCCUCCGUCGGCGCCCGCCGCGACCCGCCGCUCGUGCCGACCUGGUUGUUGAUGUGAUGCACGAGCGAGCGAGCGAGCAAGCCAGGCAGCAGCAGCGCAUACACACACGUGUGAAUCCCCAAAGCCGGCCGUACGUGCAAUACGAUACAAAGCUACUUUCCUACGCGGCUGCAUGAGGGUGGAUCGAUCGGCCGGGGCAGGCACGUACCGCGUGGGUCCUGAAGGAGACGGCGGACAUGAAGUCGUCGGAGGUGGCAUUCCGGCGCAUGGGCAGCGACGCGGAGCUCCUGAGCCCGGAGAACUCGGACAGGCCGCCCCCCUGGAGUACAACAUCAAAGAACCAUCACUACUCGCUUGUCCGGUGGAGCAGCUAGAGUGCAAGCAAACCAUUGAUCCUACGUAGCAGCACGGGUGGAGAGAGAGACGCGGCACGAGAGGCAUACCUGCUGGAGUGGCACGGUGGUAGCGGAGAGCAUGGACGACGCCAUGGCCACGGACCAGAGGAUCAAGACAAGAUGACGAUGCUAGCCAACAAGCGGGCGCGUAUAUACGAUACGAGUUGGCGGAUUGGGGGCGCGCGCGUUUGUGGUGCGCGUGGCCGCGAUCGGGGAUCGUGAGGUCGGGAUUCGGGGAGGGAUCAGAUUUCGGAUAGCAUGGCCGACGAAUGGCUGUCGAUGGCCGCCCUCCUGCGCGAUCAACGUGUGGCCCAUUUUCCGUGCCCGCCCGCCCGCCCCUCCCCUGUUACGGCUUGUCGGGUCAUGCCUUGUGCAAUGGAUCGCGGAGAUCAAUCGAUCGUUCUGGAUGGGGGGUCGAGUUCGACGUGGUAUGCAAAAGACGGGUCGACGCCUGGGAGGCUGGGACACGGUACAAACGAGCAGAUCAGAUUCAGCAGCAAAGACAUCAAAGAACACCGGGGGGCUAGUGCGCCGGUUAGCUAGGUUACUGAUCCUAGGAGUCAAAACCGGAGUGGUUGAAAUUCAGUUUGAUAAGCUGCCUUUCUACUGUUACUCGUGUGGUAAGAUGCAUGCAACACAUGGAGCUGGAGUCUCCUCCAACCUCGGCACCUAGAAAUGCUCUGGGCAGACUCCCAUCCCAUAUGAUCUUAAGCUUCGAGCACCAUAGGAUAGGAAGAAGAAAUCGUAGAGCUUUGGUCUUUGGCCACGGGGCGGAGAGGAGUCCUUUGGCAGCUCCACGGGGACUCGUAGGUCGGAGCCGUCACGAGAUUAACUCCACCUGACACUCAACAAGUGGCCUGGAGAGAGGAGAUGUUGCUGAUCGAUGAGAUAGAGGUUGUUGGUUUGAUCCCAUGUGACACAUGUACCGAUGAUAAGCUUUGUGAGGAAUUUAGUUGGGUCAUGACAAAUAGGUUUGAAAUGUCUAUGAUGUAUGAGCUCAAGUUCUUUCUAAGGUUUCAAGUGAAACAGUAAAGGAAAGAACUUUUAUGUGCCAGACCAAGUACACACAAGACAUGUUGAAGAAGUUUGGCACGAAAAAGGUGAAGCCUACCAAGAUUACAAUGGCUUCAAAUGGUCAUCUCGGCCUAAAUGAAGAAGGUAAAUAUGUCAAUCAAAAGCUCUAUAGAUCCAUGAUAGGUUCACUACUUUACAUAUGUUCAUCUAGACCUGACAUAAUGUUAAGUGUGUGCAUGUGUGUUCGCUUUUAAGUUAACCCGAAAGAGUGUCAUUUAGUUGCUGUUAAGAUAAUCUUAAUAUAUCUAGUUCACACCCAAAACUAGGACUUUGGUAUCCUAAAGGCUUCUUUUUCGAUUUACUUGGCUACUCUGACUCAGAUUCUGCCGGUUGCAAAGUAGAUCGAAAAAACACCACGGAGACUUGCCAAUUCUUUGGAUAGUCCUUGGUGUCAUGGAGUUCUAAGAAACAAAAUUGUGUUGCACUCGCUCUACAGAAGCUGAGUACAUAUCAGCUAGUGCAUGUUGUGCCCAGUUGCUAUCGAAAAAACACCACGAGGACUUUGGUUGCGAGUUUAAUAGAAUUCUGCUACUUUGUGACAAUGAGAGUGACAUUAAACUUGCAAACUAUCCCGUGCGACACUCUAAAACUAAACACAUUGAUAUUAGACAUCAUUUAUUGAGAGACCACAAAGCCAAAGGAGAUAUUGAAUUAUGUUAUGUAAAGACCAAAAAUCAACUAGCUGAUAUAUUCACCAAACCUCAUGGUGAGACUAGAUUUUUCUUUCUUAGGAGUGAACUAAAUAUUUUAGAUUCUCGUAACGUCUCUUGAAGGCUUGCACACAAAAUUGUUUGAGAUAGAUUGUAUGUUUGGUUGAAUUUUAAAACUAUAUAAAAACAUAUAUUUCUAUCUAUAAAUCCCUAACUUUGAUUGAGAAUGGCAUAAUAAUUGCCAUAUAAAAAUCUCAAUCUUCUUGAAGUUCACUGGUGAAAACCAGUUGAACUUUAGUUCAAUCUAGUUGAGCUUCAGCACAACUAGGGUCAGCUGAGUUCUUCUCUGGCCAAAACUGGUUCAGCUGGCCCCUAGGGGUGGUUCAACAUGCCCCUGGACAAAGUCAACUGACAACUUUUCUGACUCACUUGCUCUGCUCCUGUCAGCUUGCCCUGCUGCCAGUCUAACAAUUAGGCAUCUCUGACAGGAGGCGGUUGAAUUGGCCCUGACCCCCGGUACAACCGGUUUCUACUAGUGGUGCCCAGGGUUUUUAUCCCGCGCCCCCUCUUCUCUCUCCCCCCACUUCAACUCCUCCAGCCUAGUCGCCUCUAGACCUGAGCCCUCUCUCUUUUCUAUCUUUUUCCCCUCAAAAUCCCUCAAAUCCACCCACUCAAAUCUCUUGAAACUUGGAGGGAUUACUCCUAGGGAGAUCCUCCUCCAUUUCCACCACUUUGGUUGCAAUUCAUCGUCCAGAUUCUUAGAUCAAGGUAACUCUCCAUUUUUACUCUUUUGCCCCGAUCUAUGUUUGUAUGCAUAUGGAACACUUUCUUGAAGAAGUUUAGCCUUGUUGUAUGCAUUUGUUAAGGUAGAUUAUGUGUUGUGUUCAUAUCCAGUUGAACUAUUCAUAUGAACGGUUGAACUGACCCUGCCACUCACACCUCCUUUGCAUAUGAUGUUUCAUACCUUGAACAAUUCCAUCUCAUACUUUGUUUAUUCAUCUAUUUCAAGAUGGUUCAUGUGACGGAACCUCCCAAGUCAUUAGGCUCACCUACAGUUGUCCUUGUCCAACGGACCUCAGACAACCCUGCAGGUGCCCCCGAAUCACUUGACAAGUUCGGUAUCUGCUUUUCUUACCUUUCCCAAGAGCGUUUCACCCGUCACGCAGACAUUACAAAUCAUCGGAGAUGCGGAAGUGCGAAAGCAGUUACAAUAUCUUAGUUUUAUUUAAAAGUAAGAUAGAGUUAAAUAUUUACAGACCAGGAUAAAAUAUACGAGUGCAGAGAAUUAUUAUUACAAACCAUGGGAGGCAAAAACUCCUCCCGAUAAGUAUCAAACAAAAAGUUUUUAUGGAGGAUCCUUUCCUCCCACAACUUCAUUCCUGGUGCUCUUCCUUUGGUACCACCUUAGAACAGAAGCAACAAAAGUUUGUCGCUUCUUCACCUAAAAACAACGGGGAAUAAAACCCUGAGUAUGGAAUUACUCAGCAAGUCUUACUCGACUAAAGAAAAGACUCUCAAGGGUAUGCUGGCUUAAGGGAGUUAAGGUAAGGCUUAUCAAUAAUCAAUGACUCUAUUUGCAGAAAUGCUUACUAAAGUGGAUCCUUAAAAAUCCAAUUUUAAUUUGUCAGGUUAAGUAAGAUUACCUGCAACUAGAGUUAUUUCUACCCUAGUUCAAACACUUGACCUGCACUAGCCAAUUUCUUAACAACCCUUCAUCUUUACUGGAUUUCUACGUAUAGGUCAGUGACCAAGUCUUCAUAACCGCGAAGGUACGGUGAUCCGAAUCGAUUAUACUCAGCUGAGGAUCUCCAAUCACACGACAUAUGUAGCACUUAACCCUUACAUAUGUCAACACGCCACCGGGGUUCUUAAGACUAGAUCAGGUUCACGCCAACCGAGAGCACAGUUACACCACCGUCCAGCCUCUUGCCACGGAGGGUACACGCUACUCUCGCCAUCUCUCCACGCCCAUUGCGUGUUAUCUUAUUCUGGUAUUAGUCUGCCCGAGGCAAAGCUUACCCAUGACGAGGCAUGUGACCAGUUAAAGGGUCCUCGGUCAGCAAGCCUACAUCGACACGGUCCUUAAUCGACUCAGACUGAGACACUACAUCGAGACUCCUUUCUCGUGCAAGUCCACCCGCCCGGUCUCACCUUAAUUAUUUCAAACCCAAAGUUUGGUACCUGGCAGAGGUACAUCUUUUCCGAUGUUGAACCCAUCAUGGCCAUGAUGGAUCCACCAUCAAGUUUUAUUUCAAAAAUAUCCCUCCCACUUUGCCACAUCAUCUUUUUGUAAAAACAAAACAUUUUGUUUUGCUAGAGCAAGACUAAGCAUAGGAAAAACCUUUUUGUAAAACAGGGAUUCCAAGGAAGGUAAUCAAAUUCAAGGAAGGUAAUGCAGGAAUUGUUUUAGCACUCAACUCCUAUCACCUUAUGCAUCAAGCAAGUGAGAAAGAUUUUAAAAAUAUCAAGGAGGUGGCAAAUGCACGGGGCUUGCCUUGGUUUACAGGUGAUUCAGGCUCGGAUCCACAGAUGUCAAAAUAAAAGUAAUUUCGUGCCUGAUGUUCCGCAGGUGGUGCUGGCGAAGUCUUCUCUUCUUCUACUUCAACUUCUUCCUCGUUUUCUAGAUAUAAUCAUAUAUAUAUAUAAGAAUGAAUGCCCAUGUAAUGCUCAUGAGGAUGCAAUGAUAGUAAAAGUUUAUUUUCUAAAGUCUUGAGUAUAAUUUUCCUUCACGGUUCUCCGAGAACCUAGGGUUUCCGGAGUCAGUAAAGGAAUUCAAAGGGCAGGGGGUAGGGUUUUGGGCUCUAAGUAUCAAACAAGGUCCAAAUCAUACCAAAUUCUACCCAAGGCUUCUAAAUAAUGUUUUGAGCUCAUAUAAAAAGUUUGGGGAUUUUUGGAAUUAUUAUCUAUUUUCUAAAAAUCGAGAAACAAUGUUUUAGGCUAAUUUAAAUGCUCCAAAAUUUCUUAUUGGUUCUAAAAAUUAUAAAAAUACUUUUAUUAAAUACUAUGGAAAAUAAGGAACCUAGGAAAAUUGUUUGACAUUUUUACCAUUUUCUACAAUUUUCUACAGAUUUCUCAAGUUUUAUAGAAAAAGAAAAGGAAAAAGCUUAAACAGUACUGGGCCGAAAGUAGCCCAAACGGCCCAGCUUGCACAGGAACAGGGACGCGCCCACGUGCGCCCGCGCGCGCGACGACGACUUUGUGAAUAAGUCCCUGUAUUUUUUUAUUAGCCCGAAGGAGUCCAAAAACACUAUUUAAAACAGUCACUGACACUUUGCAGAAAUACCCUCGUACUUCUAUUUCUUCUCUAGAAACAUCCCUGGCCACGGCGCACUCGCCGUUUGUCUUCGACGUGGUCUGUACCGACCAUGGCCGGCGAUGAUUGCUAUGGUUAACUAUCGGGAGGCAUAACCGAUCAAGGAUAAUCUAGGAACAUCCUUUAAUUUGACAUAAACUUCACUGGGAACUGUCUACCCACGAUCAUGGCGGAAACCGGGAUCACGAGCACGUGUUCCCGCCAAAUCAUGGUCGAAUUGAGCAAACGAGUGCCACGAUAAGCUUCACUAGCAUGCAGAGCCACAAAAACAACAUUCGAGAUGGACAGAGCCUUACCCGAAUGGGCUGGCCACGGUCGAGCUGUUCACGGUGGCGCGACGACCCAAUUUGGGGGAAAAGGGAGACUCUCUGGCUAUGGUGUCUAAUCGAGGGUGGGAGCGGGUGCUUUGGCUUCGCAAUUUAGAGACGAAGAGCUGUGCUCGGUUGAUUUGAACGGAGGGGUGAGGAUGCGGUGAAUUUAUAGGCGCAGUGAGCCACUGCCAUGGCCAUGGUGAUAACCAUCGCCGGCCUUAGCUGGCGAUCAACGGCGGCGUCGAGCGCUAUCCUUUCCUACGAGCUUGCCACGUUCCGCCGCGACAGUAACGCGGUCAAAUCAGUGUGGGCGUGGAUGAACGAAGAGGAGCGGCGCCGAUGACCGGAUAUGGCCGGAGUGAUUAGUGGUCGCGUGGCGGCCGGAAUCAUCACGCUCCACCGCGGCGAUCUUACUCGGAUCAAGAAGAUCUUUGCGAGGAGAUGCACGUCGCGCGCCCAUCCCGACCCUAGCGCAAAUCACGGCGCGGAUUGGUCGUCGGCGACGAGGGUCUGAAGCUUAUCCUCCCGGGCACUGUACCAUGGCAACUCACCCAAAUCUCUGCAGCAAAGUUGUAGAUUUACAAACCAGCUACAUUUCGACUAUAGGAACUGAACUCAGUUGAGCACUAGAUCAUACAUAAUUUCAAUUCCAAAGCUCGACCAAUAACACUGGUGGUCAUUUUUCAGUCAGUAACCCGACUGACAGCCCAACUUUGGGUUUAAUUAUCUCCCAAUUCUUCAUAACAACAAUGCUUAACCCCUUAAACAAAGUUGUUCACCUUUAAUAGCUCUACAAUAUUGAUGUGGUGACCUAGGGCAAAAACCUUAUAAUUUGAAAAUUACAAAGCUCCAAAGUUGAGCCCAAACACUGAUUUUCAGACUUAGUCUUAGAACCCAAAUAGGGCCUUUUUGCCAAUAGGUCCAAAACUCAGGGUUUGAAUUGCAAAUCUUCAUAAAUGUGAACGAAAUGACUUUAUAUGCCUUAACAUCAUAGUUUUUACACUUUAGUCCAAAAGUGCACUAAUUUUGCACUUAACCCCCUAGGGUUUAAGUUUAGGGUUUUCUAGGGUCCUUAUUAGGGUUUUUGGCAUUCCAGGGGUGUGAAUGUAACUUAGAUCCAUUCUAGUAAUAUUCUAUGAUUAAUUUACUUAAACUUUAGGGUUUUCUCUAUUUGGAUUUUGUUUUACCCUUCUGAACCUCAUUUAUGGUUAAGUGCCCUACACUAGGGUCUUAUUUGCAAAGAUACCAUAGCAAUACAACUUGUUUGAGAUUUUUGCCUAGUGAAUGCAUUCUAGGUGUAUCAAACAUAUGAAAUGCUAAUGCUGAUGAUGUUAUGCUCAAGUUUUAGUAACAGUAACACCAGGGGUGUUACAUCCUUCCCCCCAUAAAAGAAUCUUGUCCCGAGAUUAAAAGUCCUAGGGUAAGUAAUGGAAAAGGAAACACGACUUGUCUUUAUUUCCUUAUUCUUGGUACAAGGCAGGGGUGGUUUGGGGCUCACUCCUUUACAACAAUUGUAUACACUUUACAAAUUACAUGAGGGUAAAAAGCCUGGGAAAUUCUUUUCUAAAAAGUCCUGAGUUUCCCAUGUAGCCUCAUCUUCUGAAUGCUAGUUCCACUGUAUCUUGUAAAACUUGAGAGUUUUUCUUCGGGUAAUUCUGUCCUUUUGAUCCAAGACUCAAAUAGGGUGCUCAGAAUAUGUCAAGUCUGGUUCUAGGGCAACAUCCGUUACGUCAACGGUUCAAUCGGGAACCCGAAGACACUUCUUCAAUUGAGACACGUGGAACACAUUAUGUACUGCAGACAAGGUUUCGGGUAACUGAAGUCGGUAUGCCACUGGUCCAUAUUGUUCGAGUACAGGAAAAGGGCCAAUAUACUGGGGUGCAAGCUUCCCUUUAACCCCGAAACGUGAUACCCCCUUCAUCGGUGAAACUUUCAGGUAGACAUAAUCUCCAACUAGAAAGUACAAGGGUUGUCGUCGCUUGUCUGCAUAACCCUUAUGACGAGCUUGAGCUUUCUUCAAAUUAUGAAUUAUUCGCUGAACUUUUUCUUCGGUCUCUUUUACCAUAUCAGGUCUGAAGAAGCUUCUUUCACCUGGUUCAGACCAAUUUAACGGAGUACGACAUCGUCGUUCAUAUAAAGCUUCGAAGGGUGCCAUCUUAAUACUUUCUUGAUAGCUAUUAUUAUAUGAGAACUCCGCUAAUGGUAAACAAUCAUCCCAUUUUUGUGGAAAUUCCAAAGCACAAGCCCGUAACAUAUCUUCAAGUAUUUGAUUUACCCUCUCAGUCUGUCCACUGGUUUGAGGAUGAUAGGCCAAACUAUGGAGCAACUUAGUAUCCAAAGCCUUGUGAAGUUCUUCCCAAAAUUUGGACACGGAUUGCGGUCCACGAUCCGACACUAUAGUCUUCGGAACACCAUGCAAACUGAGAAUACGGGCAAUGUAUAGUUCUGCAUACGUGGCCACUGUAUACUUUACCCUGACUGGAAGGAAGUGGGCAAUCUUCGUAAGUCGAUCUACGAUAACCCAGAUAGAAUCAUACCCUUUGGUGGUCCUAGGUAAUCCUACAAUAAAUUCCAUACUAAUAUCCUCCCAUUUCCAUGUUGGAAUCGGUAAUGAUUGCAAUGGCCCAGCAACCUUCAUGUGUAUGGCCUUGACACAUCUGCAGGUGUCACAUCUUGCCACAUAGCGUGCAAUUUCAAUUUUCAUCUUUGUCCAUCAAUAAUGUUGCUUUAGAUCAUGAUACAUCUUAGUGCUUCCGGGAUGAAUAGAAUAGCGACUAAGAUGUGCUUCAUCCAAAAUUUGCUGGUGGAGCUCUUCAUUCUUCGGCACAACUAUGCGGUUGUUGAACCAUACAAUGCCUUGAUCAUCCUUUCUGAAACAUUUGGCUUUUCCGACCUCUAUUUUCUCAUGGAUGUGUUUCAUACCCUCAUUAUCCUUUUGAGCAUCCAUUAUCCUUUGUAAAAGGACUGACUCAAGCUUUAGUUGACUUAAGGCUCCGUGUUGGAUCAUUCCCAGGUUUAACUUCUCCAUCUCCUGGCAUAGUGUAUUGUCAGAGGUCUUCACAGUAAGACAGUGACAGGAAACCUUAUGGCUAAGUGCAUCUGCCACUACAUUGGCCUUGCCUGGGUGAUAAUGAAUUUCCAAUUCAUAGUCCUUAAUAAGCUCAAGCCAUCGCCUUUGUCUCAUGUUCAACUCUAACUGGGUGAAGAUAUACUUCAAGCUUUUAUGAUCUGUAUAAAUGUGACAGAUAUUACCUAGCAGAUAAUGACGCCAGAUCUUCAGGGCAUGAACCACUGCAGCUAGCUCCAGAUCAUGAGUUGGAUAAUGCUCCUCAUGCCGGCGCAACUGCCUUGAAGCAUAAGCUAUUACUCAGCCUUCUUGCAUUAAUACACAGCCGAGACCACUGCCUGAUGCGUCACAAUACACAUCAAAGGGCUUAUUAAUGUCCGGUUGAGCCAAUACCGGAGCAGUGGUUAAUAACAUCUUCAAUUUCUCAAAGGCUUCAUUACAAUUUGAAGACCAAUUGAAUUUUAUCUCAUUCUUUAAUAAACUCGUGAUUGGUUUCACAAGCUUAGAAAAAUCCGGUAUAAAUCGGCGGUAAUAGCCAGCUAGUCCCAGGAAACUUCGGACUUGAUAAACAGUGGUUGGGGUUUCCACUCAAAAAUAUCCUUGACUUUGCUAGGAUCUACCUUAAUCCCCUUGGCAGAUAACACAUGUCCCAAAAAUUGGAUUUCUUCCAGCCAGAACGCGCAUUUACUGAACUUAGCAUAUAACUGAUGUUCUCUCAAGCGCGUUAAUACAAUCCGCAAGUGCUGAGCAUGCUCCUCUUCAUUCUUGGAGUAUAUUAAGAUAUCAUCGAUGAAGACCACCACAAACUUAUCCAACUCGGGCAUAAAUACCAAGUUCAUCAGAUAUGUGAAGUGGGCAGGAGCAUUCGUCAGUCCGAAAGACAUAACCAGAUAUUCAAACAAUCCAUACCGUGUAGUGAAUGCGGUCUUGGGUAUAUCCUCGGGCCUGAUACGGAUCUGAUGAUAGCCCGGCCUGAGAUCAAUUUUGGAAAAUACCCUCGCUCCAGUUAGUUGAUCAAACAAAAUAUCAAUCCGAGGAAGAGGAUACUUAUUCUUGAUAGUAACCUCAUUAAGGGGUCUAUAAUCCACACACAUUCGAAGUGUUUGGUCCUUCUUCUUGAUGAAGAUGGCUGGACAACCCCAUGGUGACGAGCUUGGCCAGAUGAAUCCCUUCUCAAGUUGAUCUUGUAAUUGGGUCUUAAGUUCUGCCAGCUCAUUUGGAGGCAUUCGGUACGAUCUUCUAGAAAUAGGAGCCGUACCGGGCUUCAACUCAAUUACAAAUUCUACAUCUCUUUCGGGUGGCAAUCCAGGCAAAUCUUUUGGAAGGACGUCUGGGAACUCACAUACUACCGGAAUAUCUUUGAUCUUUGGUAUGAUGGCUUCAUACACUCUGCCAGUUGGUCUAGCUAGAAUGGCUACGGGGAUAGACAAAAGAAUUUCUUCUUGGCCAUAACUCAACCUGAUUGUUCUCAGAUCAGUAUUGAGAAUAGCUUUAUGUUGGGCUAACCAAUUCAUGCCCAAAAUUACAUCUAUGUCUUGGCCUUUCAGAACAAUCAUAUUAGUAAGAAAGUCCAGUCCAGCCAAUGUUACGGGCACUUGAUAAGCCACUUCUUUGGUAAAUAUUUGUCCCCCAGGCGAAUGUAUUUUAAACCCUUCCCUUGAUUCAGUAUAUGGAAUGCAAUAUUUCUCCAUGAACUUUUUGCUUAUGAAAGUAUGUGAUGCACCCGAAUCAAAGAUAAUAAGUGCAGGGUGGUUGGCUACGAGGAACGUACCCAUCAUCACCGGUUCGCCUUCCGGUGUUGUGGCCACUUGAGUGUAAUAGAUCCGUCCUGUUUUCCGUGUAUUUUUGGCCGCAGUAUUGGUUGCCGCAUUUCCCUUAGAACUCCCAAAACUCUGUUGAUUAUUUGACUGAUUCUGCAUCGGGUAUGGACAGUCUUUAAUGAAAUGCCCGGACUUUCCACAGUUGAAGCAACCUGUUGACGAGCUGGGAAGAGAAGGGAAACGAGUGCCAGGGGCACCCGACUGAUUUGUAGCAGUGGGGGUAGGGUAGGACGGAUGAACACUGGUUGCUUGAAAGGGAAGGAGGGUGGGCAUGAUGAAGAAUGAUUUUGAUUGAAAGGUCGGAUGACCAACCUUUGUCUCUUUUCAGGCCCCUGGUUGGGCCUGUCGCCUCCAACUCCCUUGGAUUUUCCGGAACUUGCAUAUUUAGCUUCGACUGCCAGUGGUGUGCUUACAGCCCUUCCAUAAGUAAGGUCGAUGCAGGUAGCCAUCUUUCUUUGCAUCCGAUCACUCAAGCCUCUCAUGAAACAGUUCCUCUUCUUUAUGUCGGUGUUGACUUGAUCGAUUGCAUACUGGGAUAAGUGAUUAAAUUUAUUGAUAUACUGGGUGACAGUAUCUCCGCCUUGUUUCAACUUCAUGAACUCUUCCUGCUUCAUGUGGAGAACUCCUUCAGGUAUAUAAUGCUCUCUGAAGGCCAACUUAAACUCAUCCCAAGUUACUUGAUGAUCAGCCGGUUGAACGGCUAUAAAAUUUCCCCACCAUGUGCUGACAGGGCCACAUAAUUGUUGGGCUGCGAAUAGGGGCUUUUGAACCUCUGAACACCGAAGGAGCCCAAACUUCUGUUCAAUGACGCGGAUCCAUUCAUCCGCUUCGAGAGGGUCCUCUGCUUUGACGAACAACGGAGGGCGCGUCUCAGAGAAGUCCAGAUAAGAUGUCUCACGAGGGCCUUGCGGAUAGGCCCGCCUGCCUUGUUGUUGAAGUUGUUGACCUGCCAUCUCCCGCAGGAAGCGGGUAUUGUCUGCUGUAGCGUUUACCAAGGCACUGAUGGCCUCGGCAAGUGUCGGGGGUACUGGAGGUGGAUUCGGGGUCGCUUCCCUCCCAUGGGAGGUACCAGCCCCAUCCUGAGCGCGAGUCCUGGAAGGCAUCUGAGGCAAAGAACAUUUGGAGCAGUAUGAUAUGCCAUACAAACCAUCCAUUUCACAUUACUUAAAAAUGUAAUGUUACAGACUCGUACUUUACAAUAGGAUUGCACCCCCUAUUACACAAGAGUACUACUUCUACACUAUACUAUUCCUGCUUCUUGUCACUCUUGGUAGCCUCGCUGUCGGACGUAGGAGACCACUGGUCGACCAAAUUCAUUGAAGGAGGGGGCCUGAAAAGGUCCAGUUCUCCUCCAAAGGCUUCUCCUGCCGUUCCAGAUGGUCCGGCUCCCAUCUAGACAGGAUCCACGGGAACGUUCGGGUGUAAUUGUGAAUACAAUACAUGAACUUCUUCAUGUAAUGUAUUACAAUAUACCUGCAAGUUAUCAACAGCUGAGCUAAGCUCUUCUAUGCGGGCUUGAGCUCUAGCUUCCUUUGCCUAGGCUAGUGAACGAGAGCUCACAACCCAGUCAAGUGCUAGAUCCCAAUCCGCUAGCUGGUCUUGCAGGUGGCGGAUGUCGCUUCUCAAUUCAUUGAUCCUCUCACCAUCCGCGACCCAUAUGUUAUUCCUGCGAUGGAGUUCUGUUUGAAGCUGAUUAACUUGUGCUUCCAGAUCUCCAAUCGGAUCGUUGCUCCCACUACUGCUGUCGUCAUGUCUCGGGGCAAGUUGGUGACGAGGUACACCGAUCGACCCGGUUGACUUGCGUGCAGUCUUCCUUGUACGUGGCGGCAUCUUUCUAAAGGGGGAAUCUUAUUAGCAUAACUCUUAGCAUGAUGCAUGUGUAAUUACGGAAUCAACCUGAGUUGACUCAACCUUCUAUACAUUGCACUCUUCCUAUCUGGUCUUUAAAAUAAACUCUUCAGAGAUACUUAGAUAGGAAGGGAAGAAAUUUUCUAGAUAAGUCUUUAGAAAAUUCUUUUUGAAGAUGCCUCAUAAUAUCUGCAGAGAUGGGCUUCGCUCCGAUACCAGCUGUGACGGAACCUCCCAAGUCAUUAGGCUCACCUACAGUUGUCCUUGUCCAACGGACCUCAGACAACCCUGCAGGUGCCCCUGAAUCACUUGACAAGUUCGGUAUAUGCUUUUCUUACCUUUCCCAAGAGCGUUUCACCCGUCACGCAGACAUUACAAAUCAUCGGAGAUGCGGAAGUGCGGAAGCAAUUACAAUAUCUUAGUUUUAUUUAAAAGUAAGAUAGAGUUAAAUAUUUACAAUCCAGGAUAAAAUAUACGAGUGCAGAGAAUUAUUAUUACAAACCAUGGGAGGCAAAAACUCCUCCCGAUAAGUAUCAAACAAAAAGUUUUUAUGGAGGAUCCUUUCCUCCCGCAACUUCAUUCCUGGUGCUCUUCCUUUGGUACCACCUUAGAACAGAAGCAACAAAAGUUUGUCGCUUCUUCACCUAAAAACAACGGGGAAUAAAACCCUGAGUAUGGAAUUACUCAGCAAGUCUUACCCGACUAAAGAAAAGACUCUCAAGGGUAUGCUGGCUUAAGGGAGUCAAGGUAAGGCUUAUCAAUAAUCAAUGGCUCUGUUUGCAGAAAUGCUUACUAAAGUGGAUCCUUAAAAAUCCAAUUUUAAUUUGUCAGGUUAAGUAAGAUUACCUGCAACUAGAGUUCUUUCUACCCUAGUUCAAACACUUGACCUGCACUAGCCAAUUUCUUAACAACCCUUCAUCUUUACUGGAUAUCUACGUAUAGGUCAGUGACCAAGUCUUCAUAACCGCGAAGGUACGGCGAUCCGAAUCGAUUAUACUCGCUGAGGAUCUCCAAUCACACGAUAUAUGUAGCACAUAACCCUUGCAUAUGUCAACUCACCACCAGGGUUCUUAAGACCAGAUCAGGUUCACGCCAACCGAGAGCACAGUUACACCACCAUCCAGCCUCUUGCCACGGAGGGUACACGCUACUCUCACUAUCUCUCCACGCCCAUUGCGUGUUAUCUUAUUCUAGUAUUAGCCUGCCCGAGGCAAAGCUUACCCAUGACGAGGCAUGUGACCAGUUAAAGGGUCCUCGGUCAGCAAGCCUACAUCGGCACGGUCCUUAAUCGACUCAGGCGGAGACACUACACCGAGACUCCUUUCUCGUGCAAGUCCACCCGCCCGGUCUCAGCUUAAUUAUUUCAAACCCAAAGUUUGGUACCUGGUAGAGGUACAUCUUUUCCGAUGUUGAACCCAUCAUGGCCAUGAUGGAUCCACCAUCAAGUUUUAUUUUCAAAAACAUCCCUCCCACUUUGCCACAUCAUCUUUUUUUGUAAAAACAAAACAUUUUGUUUUGCUAGAGCAAGACUAAGCAUAGGAAAAACCUUUUUGUAAAACAGGGAUUCCAAGGAAGGUAAUCAAAUUCAAGGAAGGUAAUGCAGGAAUUGUUUUAGCACUCAACUCCUAUCACCUAAUGCAUCAGGCAAGUGAGAAAGAUUUUAAAAACAUCAAGGAGGUGGCAAAUGCACCGGGGCUUGCCUUGGUUUACAGGUGAUUCAGGCUCGGAUCCACAAAUGUCAAAAUAAAAGUAAUUUCCUGCCUGAUGUUCCGUAUGUGGUGGUGGCGAAGUCUUCUCUUCUUCUACUUCAACUUCUUCCUCGUUUUCUAGAUAUAAUCAUAUAUAUAUAUAUAUAUAUAUAAGAAUAAAUGCCCAUGUAAUGCUCAUGAGGAUGCAAGGAUAGUAAAAGUUUAUUUUCUAAAGUCUUGAGUAUAAUUUUCCUUCACGGUUCUCCGAGAACCUAGGGUUUCCAGAGUCAGUAAAGGAAUUCAAAGGGCAGGGGGUAGGGUUUUGGGCUCUAAGUAUCAAACAAGGUCCAAAUCAUACCAAAUUCUACCCAAGGCUUCUAAAUAAUGUUUUGAGCUCAUAUAAAAAGUUUGGGGAUUUUUGGAAUUAUUAUCUAUUUUCUAAAAAAUCCAGAAACAAUGUUUUAGGCUAAUUUAAAUGCUCCAAAAUUUCUUAUUGGUUCUAAAAAUCAUGAAACUACUUUUAUUAAAUACUAUGGAAAAUAAGGAACCUAGGAAAAUUGGUUUGGCAUUUUUACCAUUUUUCUACAAUUUUCUACAGAUUUCUAAAGUUUUACAGAAAAAGAAAAGGGAAAAGCUUAAACAGUACUGGGCCGAAAGUAGCCCAAACGGCCCAGCUUGCACAGGAACAGGGACGCGCCCAUGAGCGCCCGCGUGCGCGAUGACGACUUUGCGAAUAAGUCCCUGCAUUUUUUAUUAGCCCGAAGGAGUCCAAAACACUAUUUAAAACAGUCACUAACACUUUGCAGAAAUACCGUCGUACUUCGAUUUCUUCUCUAGAAACAUCCCUAGCCACGGCGCGCUCGCCGUUUGUCUUCGACGUGGUCUGUAUCGGCCAUGGCCGGCGAUGACUGCUAUGGUUAACUAUCGGGGAGGCAUAACCGAUCAAGGAUAAUCUAGGAACAUCCUUUAAUUUGACAUAAACUUCAUUGGGAACUGUCUGCCCAUGAUCAUGGCGGAAACCAGGAUCACGAGCACACGUUCCCGCCAAAUCAUGGCCGAAUUGAGCAAACUAGUGCCACAGUAAGCUUCACUAGCAUGCAGAGCCACAAAAACAACAUUCGAGAUGGAUAGAGCCUUACCCGAAUGGGCUGGCCACGGUGGCGAGGCGACCCAAUUUGGGGGAAAAGGGAGAUUCUCCGGCUAUGGUGGCUAAUCGAGGGUGGGAGCGGGUGCUUCGGCUUCGCAAUUUAGAGACGAAGAGUUGUGCUCGGUUGAUUUGAACGGAGGGGGUGAGGAUGCGGUGGAUUUAUAGGCGCAGUGAGCCACUGUCAUGGCCAUGGUGAUAACCAUCGCCGGCCUUAGCUGGUGAUCAACGGCGGCGUCGAGCGCUAUCCUUUCCUACGAGCUUGCCACGUUCCGCCGUGAUAGUAACUCGGUCAAAUCAGUGAGGGUGUGGAUGAACGAAGAGGAGCUGCGCCGAUGACCGGAUAUGGCCGGAGUGAUUAGUGGCCGCGUGGCGGCCGGAAUCAUCACGCUCCACCGCGGCGAUCUUACCGGGAUCAAGAAGAUCUUUGCGAGGAGAUGCACGCCGCGCGCCCAUCCCGACCCUGGCGCAAAUCACGACGCGGAUUGGUCGUCGGCGGCGAGGGUCUGAAGCUUAUCCUCCUGGGUACUGUACCAUGGCAAUGUUCUUCAGUGCUCCUAACAGCCAAAGUUUAGGGUGGAUUUUCUCUAAAGUUUUCAUGGCAACUCACCCAAAUCUCUGCAGCAAAGUUGUAGAUUUACAAACCAGCUACAUUUUGACUAUAGGAACUGAACUCAGUUGAGCACUAGAUCAUACAUAAUUUCAAUUCCAAAUCUCGACCAAUAACACUGAUGGUCAUUUUUCAGUUAGUAACCUGACUGACAGCCCAACUUUGGGUUUAUCUCCCAAUUCUUCAUAACAACAAUGCUUAACCCCUUAAACAAAGUUGUUCACCUUUAAUAGCUCUACAAUAUUGAUGUGGUGACCUAGGGCAAAAACCUUAUAAUUUGAAAAUUACAAAGCUCCAAAGUUGAGCCCAAACACUGAUUUUCAGACUUAGUCUUAGAACCCAAAUAGGGCCUUUUUGCCAAUAGGUCCAAAACUCAGGGUUUCAAUUGCAAAUCUUCAUAAAUGUGAACCAAAUGACUUUAUAUGCCUUAACAUCAUAGUUUUUACACAUUAGUCCAAAAGUGCACUAAUUUUGCACUUAACCCCCUAGGGUUUAAGUUUAGGUUUUUUCCAGGGUCUUUAUUAGGGUUUUUGGCAUUCCAGGGGUGUGAAUGUAACUUAGAUCCAUUCUAGUAAUAUUCUAUGAUUAAUUUACUUAAACUUUAGGGUUUUCUCUAUUUGGAUUUUGUUUUACCCUUCUGAACCUCAUUUAGGGUUAAGUGCCCUACACUAGGGUCUUAUUUGCAAAGAUACCAUAGCAAUACAACUUGUUUGAGAUUUUUGCCUAGUGAAUGCAUUCUAGGUGUAUCAAACAUAUGAAAUGAUAAUGCUGAUGAUGUUAUGCUCAAGUUUUAGUAAUAGUAACACCAGGGGUGUUAGAGUUCAUCAUCAGAAUCCAUCAACCAUUGAUUUUAGCAGCAUCAGUGAUGAGAAGGAGAUUCAUGAGGAAUCUCUAGUUCCUCUCCUCCUCCUCCUCAUCGAUCCCUCUCCAAAAGGGGUCGAGGGUCUGGCAGGAUUGAGGGGGAGGGACCCUCUAGGCCUUCCCAACCUUCUCAGGGAGGGAGGCAUAAGGUGUCUGCCUCUCGCUCUAUCCGUGGAGCAUCUUCUGCUGGGGGUAUUCAUAUUCAUUAGGAAGACGACUCUCUAGACGACUUAAUCGAUCUUCCACCUCAUGAUGAUCUUGUUGUUGGAGGCAUUAGUCUGCAUCGGGCCAAUGUGUCUCGGGGCUCUCAUGAGGACCUGACUGACUUCAGCGCGAGGGCAGUCGAUGUUCUCCUGGAGAUAAGGUUCACCAACCCCACUCUUACUCUUAAGCACCCUGGGGUUCAUGAUCCAAGGUUCUGGAAUCUCUUUCAAGUUGACUUCUACAAUUUUGUUAUUCUAUCGAAAAAGCACCUAGUCAUCAGGCAUAGAGUGAUUGAUUGGGAAGGUUGUGAACGUAUGAAUGAUGAUGAUAUGACUCGGGUUCUGAGAGCAUGCGAGCAGAAAGGGUUGAAGGAUAUCAUGACAAUGGAAUAUCCAUGGAAUGAUGAGGUUAUUGCUUAGUUCUAUGCAACUCUUUGGAUAAAGAAGGUUGAUGAGGAAGCGGAUGGGUAUGACUACCCAGUCAUGUACUUCUACCUCUAGGGAGUUUGGCACAAAGUAAGUGAAAGGGAAAUGUGUCCUUGGGACAUUUCUAUAAUUGUUUUGGUGAUUAGAUGCCCAACACAUUGGUUUGAAUUCAGAUUGCUAACUAAGUAAGAAGUGCAAAUCAGGGAGAAAGGUAUUGUUGGGGGCCUUCGGCUUCCGAAGGUCCUAAAAAACAUGAUUUGACAAUGUUUUUGGAGUGUAAUACAUGAACAGGUACCUUCGGACAUGGACCCUUCGGACAAGUCAAAAUCGCUGUAUGAAGAAACACAAGGAGAACAAAGGAUGGAAGAGAGCCGAAGCUGUGCGCAAAGAAGCUUCGGCAUGUUAGCAGAAAAGAGGAAACCGACUUAAAGAGGAAAAGAGUUAUUGUCAAAAGCAAAGGGCCUGGAUGUAAUUUUACAUGGGCUGCGACCCGUGCCUAUAAAUAGGUGAACAGUACUCCCGUACUGUUCACGCUGACUUGGCAUUCGCUUUUGCGUCACGCUUGUACUUUUGCUUUCCUUCAAGUCGAAGGUACAUUUGUAAUUUGUUAUCAUUUCUAUAAUAAUAAAAUAGAAAUGAGCUAAUAAUAAUAUUUAAGUGUUUAUAUUAUUUCUCAUACUUUAUGUGAAUUCUUCUUCAUUAUUUGUUGUACGAUGAAGGUAUGUCCUUCAUAACCUUCGUCCGAAACUCAUUAUAUCCCAAUGGGAAAUAAUGCUUCGAAGGACGAAGGACUUUAACGUUUAACAAUUCCUGUGUUGCCUUGUUCUUAAUUCAUAGCAUUUAAGGACAAGUCCCCAACAUUGGCGCCCACCUCCGGUGAACCCUUUUUGACCACCUUCGGCAAGCAUCGACCUUCGUCAUGCCGCCAAAGAAAGAUUCAGCAAUAGGGGCUGCUGCUCUGCAACCACUGGACCCGAACCAGGAGACCCUUUCUCUUCGGGAAGCCCGAAGCCAGAAGAGGAAGGCCACCAGUCCAACGCCUCAGGAGGACGAUUUGGACCAAGAAAUCAGGAACAUGGAGAUGCUGCAUCAACAAGUGCAAAGGAAGAAAGAAAAGAUGGCCCGACUAGCUGAUCUUCAAAGCAGAUAGACGAAGCCUCUGAAGAAGUUCGUCAUCUUACGCAAGAUGAGCAGAACCGGAGGCCCCAGUACAGAGAGCUUCACCAAGAGGGCUUCGUCAACGAGGAUGACUGGUAUAAGGAUUUCCAUCAUGGAAAUUUUGCUUUUGAUGAUGCUUCUCCUCUGUCAGCUGAACUGCAGGCUACACCUUGGCCCCCGUCUUAUAAACCACCCCAGCUCCCAAUGUAUGACGGACACUCAGAUCCGAAGCAAUUUCUGAUGAGCUACGAAGCAACCAUAUCUUCAUAUGGUGGCAACACUGCAGUCAUGGCGAAAUCCUUCGUCAUGGCAGUCAAAAAUGUUGCACAGACCUGGUACUCUUCUCUUCGGCCAGGAACAAUCACAUCGUGGCAAAAGCUGAAGGACAUGCUCAUCACCAGCUUUCAAGGGUUUCAGAUGAAGCCGGUCACCGCUCAAGCUUUGUUCCAGUGCACUCAGGAUCAUGAAGAAUACCUUCAGGCGUAUGUCCAAAGGUUCUUCCGACUGAGGGCGCAGGCGCCAACAGUGCCUAAUGAAAUUGUUAUUGAGGCCAUGAUUAAGGGGCUUCGGCCAGGACCUAUAGCCCAAUACUUCGCCAGGAAACCCCCUCAGACCCUGGAGAAAUUGCUUCAGAAGAUGGAUGAAUAUAUCCGAGCAGAUAAUGACUUUCGGCAAAGAAGGGAGGAAGCUUAUAGGUUCUCCGAGAUGACCAGGGGCUUCGAAGGGAGAAUCCACCCUAGGCACGUCAGAUCUAUCCAUUCUACUCAGACUGACGACAGGGGAAGUCAGCAACAAAGGCCGCAGUAUUCCUCCUAGGCUUCGGGGCAGCAACAGAACUAUCCUCGGCCCCCAGCUCCAAGGGGUAGAGGCGCAAGGGGCUUCGGAGGAAGGUUUGGGGAUCAGCCCAGGAAAAUUUACUGUCUAUUCUGUGGUGAGGACAAGGGCCGUACUACCAGGAUGUGCCAUGUCACCAUUCAAAAACAGAAAGAGAUAGCAGAAGCUGCAGCCCAACAGAGCCAACCGAAGCAGGUUAUGCAUACUGCUUCGUACCACUCACCAUACAUUCCAGAGUAUGUGGGUAACCAUCCUGCAGUUUCUGUUGCUUCGGCAAGUCAACCUCAGGCAUCUUGGCAACAGCCCCCACCUCCACCACCAAUGCAACCCGCUUAUCCCCAGAGCCAGCAGCCAGAAGGGAGUUAGCAUAAUCACCAGCAGAGAGACUUUAGGGAGCAGUCCGAAGCUCGCACAGUCAACAGUACUGUGCCAGAAUCAAAGCACAUCUACUAAGAUAUAUCCUACCUUUGAAACAGCUUUUACAUUUGUUAUCACUUACCUUCUCAAUAAAGAGCAAUCAUUGAAAACUUAGUUCUUUUGUUGUUUUAAAUUUCUUGUAAUAGCUUCGUCAUUAUCAUAAUGAAUAUACCUUCUUCAAACAUCGAUGAAGUUCUAAAGGUCUUGACGAAGGAAUGCAUUGCAAGAUAUUGUCGAAGCAACAAAAGUCGUUCUUAAGGGAACGCAUCGUAAGUUUUCUGCUCAAAAGUCGUUCCAAAGGGAAUGCAGAGCUUACAGCGAAAAAUAAAUGCUGAUACCGCCGAAAUAGAAGGCGAAGAAGCUCCUAAGGAGGCUUACAACGAAAAAUAAACGCUGAUACCGCCGAAAUAGAAGGCAAAGAAGCUCCUAAGGGAGGCUUACAGCGAAAAGUCAACGCUGAUAUACCAAAAAAUGACAAAAAGAUUGUGUGCUCCACUGGGGAAUGUGUGUAGGCCUUCGGCGCAAAUAUCAUUUUGCAUAUCAUUACAUCAUUACAUCAUGUGCAUAGCAUAGCAUCAUACAUCAUAUUGCAUCAAUGGCACAAGAAGGGGAUGCAAUAUGGACCUUCGGAAAGGUAGACAAUGUUAACCUACAAUAUUGAGCUUCAGAGAUCGUUUCGAAGAAGUGCCAAGGCACAAAAUAGGUUUUCAAGAAAUACAGCUUCGUCACUUCGAUAUGAAAAGGAGAUCCAUUGUUCACAAAGCAUAAAUGUUUUUUCGGAAACUGUAAUAUUUUUACGGAAUAUGGAUAUUCUUCACGAAGCAUGAAAAGAAGGGAAGGUUUUUUUUUCGCCGAAGGCUCAAAAACGGUAUGUACGUAAAGUUUCAUGCAUCGUAAAGAGUUGAAUCAUAAACAGCUUAUAUAUUACAUUCAAAAUUACAAAAUAUUACACAUAUUGUCCAGCAAAUAUUACAUUCCAAAUGUCUUUACAAUAACAGCUAAUCUUCUCUUAAAACUACUUAUGUAGCUUCGUUUAGUAGUUGAUCAACAACUUUAUCCAUAAUAGCUUCGGCCAUUUUUCUAAUUUCAUCAUCUCCCUUCGCUUUGGGGUUCACCAAUGGCUCGGCGGGCUCUGGGGGAGGAGAUAGUGCGGCUGUGUUACAAAGUGUAAAUAAGUCCGAAGUCAUAAAAUUACAACAUAAAGUCAAAAGUUAUUAGUCAAUACCUAUUCGCCUCUCGAGAUCCGCACUUUUCUCAGCGGCCUCUGCUACUUUUCUAGCAUCGUGAAUACCUUUUUCACUUUUCCUUAUAAUUUCUUGAGCCAUCUCCCGACCGCCAUUUUCCCAGAUGUCGGUGAAAAAUUUUCCACCGACUAAGCUUGCUUCGGCCGAGGGGUCUUUUAUAUCCUCAAUAGAUUGGGCAGCCUCGGUUUGCGCCAAGGAUUUCACAUGAUCACAGCCUCUUCUCUCCAAGAUAGUGGCAAUCCCCCUAGCACCCGAGAAGGCGCAUAUGUCCCCACGGCCACUCAAAAUUUCUUCAAAAGCUUCGGCCUCGCCGUUGAUCCAGUCGAUUGGACCUUCGGGAUCUCCCAGUACAAAGUUGCUUUCAUUCGAAAAUGUGCCCACGCUGGCGAAACUAGUCUUAAUUGUUUCCACACAUUUCAUGGAUUUUUCAUAACAUCUUUCUUUUGAAGACCGAAGUUCUGCAGUUGUUUUCUCCCAAUGAUUCUUCCAGUAAUCGCUGGCGUCUCGGUCAGCUUCGGUAGUUGAACACUUUAAUUUCGCUUCUGCCAGCUGUUUCUGAAGAUUUUCAAUUUUGCACUUCUGGGUUUCAGCUUGGGCCUUGGAAGUAGCUUCGUCUUCUUUUAUUUUGUUAAGCAAUGAAUUCAAUAUUUUAUCUUUCUCAAGACCUUCGUUCCUUAGCUCAAUCACUUCGGAACGAAGGUUAUUCAAUGCUAUGGUACAUCCCUCGUCUUCAGCGCUCUUCUGCGCUCUGAGGGCGUUGCUAAGAAUAAGGCCCUGCAAAAGGAAUGUGGUAUUAAGAAAUAAACACACAAAUUUUUAACCACGCAAAAAGUUUAUUUUCUCACCUUUAAGCUGUUGUACGCUAAGCUGUCGGCCAAUUCAUCUUUUGACAAAACUGAGAGCCCAUCCUCUAGAGUUGGGAAUCCGAAGCUUCUUGCCAUCUCCCGGCAGACAGAGAUCUCCUUGCUGUCUGGGAGACAAUACAAGAAGUCUUCUUCUCCGCUGCCAUUAAAUAUCAACGCCCCUUUCGGAUAUUUUAAUUUCUGGGCAUAAUGAUGAGCUUCUUGCUUUUCCUCUUCAGAUAGCAUUUUGCCCGAAGCGUGUCGUACAAUAUAAUCAGGCAAUUUGGAAAAUGCUUCGGGAGUUGAAGAAAGAGUUUUUUCAGACAAAAUUUGCUUUAAAGUUUCCUUUGUAUUUUCUCCUUCGGUUUCCAAGGAUUUCUCCUUGGCAGACUCUGAAGGUCCAGUUUCGAUUUCAGCCUGGUGUUUUGUAGUUUCGGCUCCAGAGGUUGUUGCUUCAAUUUGUGCUUUUUGAGCUUCGACAACUUUUUUAGGAGUAGAGCUGGAAGACUUUAUUGUCUCCAGUACAUCCAAAACAUUAACCAUCCUUUUCCUUUUGGGGGUCACAGCUGGACCUUUUUGAGUUUGUGGCACUCCAACUUCUGCCGAAGGGCUUAAAAUUUCUGAUAUUUUUGUCCCUUUAGUUUUCGGUUCUUCAAUUCUUUCAGCCUUCGGUAUUGCAGUUAGCUCUUCAGCUUUCUACGCAGGUAUAGGUUUUUUGGCUUCAGUGGCCGAAGUAGCCUCGCCGACAAAUUCGGGCACUGUGGCCGGCUCAAUGUAGCGUGGCCGGUGGGUAAGAACCUUCACCUUUUUUCUCUUCGGCGUUGGCUCACUAGGAGCGACCUAAGCAACUUCCUUCACAGGAACUGUACCUUUUCUUUUUUGACCCCGUAACGGGUAACAGUAGUCAGGAUAGACGAAUCCAAUAGCAUCAAAAACUCUGUUCAGCCUCUUCUUUUUCCGACCUCCGAAGGCCGCUGAUAGCGCAUUAUCUUCCGUCUUGGAGUAUGGCCCAAGCAGUUCAUCGCUUGUGGCUUCAAUACAUUUCAGCCAGUCAUCAUCUGGCUCAACAAACUUACCCUCGUAUCUGAAGGUGAACUUCAUCCUAACCAGCCCACCUUCGUCAGGCUUGGUGAUAGUUUCUUUUGGCAUUUCCCACUUUUCUACAAGUGGCCAAACUCUAAAGGCUAUGUGCUCUUGGACUAAAUCCCUCGUUCUGAUGAAAGAGCAGACUACGCCGAAGGCCCUCUGGCAUUCUUCGACUGCCUCGUCAACAUUCACCUUCGGCUUCCGGAGGCCGAAGCGCUGCCAGAUAGGGCGCAUAAUGAUAUCUUUACUACCUUCUCGUGCCUUCAAAUCGUUUUUUACAUAGAACCAUUCCUGCAUCCAAUCUCCAGGCCAUCUCUUCCGAAAAGUCGGCACGGGACAGCUUGACCCAGAGCGAGCACCGAAGCUGUAACAACCAAAAUUGUUAUGAUAUUGCUCUUUACCCCAGGGCUUCGUCUCAUAUACUAGCUCAUGUAUAUUACAAAAGCUUUUUGCAUUUGGCUCCAAGCCCUGGCUCUUCAUGACCCAGACAAAGAUUCCCAUUCUUAUGAUUGCUUCGGGCGUAAUUUGAUGAAGGUAGACUUGAUAAAUCUUUAAAACCUCAACCACAAAUUUGCUUAAUGGAAACCGAAGCCCAGCUUUAAAAAAGCUUCGGAAGAUCACGACUUCAUUAUCUUCGGGAGUUGGCACAGUCCUCUCUCCGUCAUCUGCCCUCACAAUUGACAUGUCUCGAAAGUAUCUCCCCCUCAUGUUAUCAAGAUGACUUUGUUUAAUACUCGAUUUUCCGAAGACUGAGUGGCUUGGUCGCCAUGGUCGGUCUUCGAAGUCUUCACCUCCGCUUUCCACAUCAUAACUAUCACUAUCACCAGUAUCUUCAGAUAAACCUUCCAAAAUCUCCCUUGUAAUCUUCUCUGUAUUUGUCUUUGAUAUUGAUUCAAUAAAGCCAAGAUUCUUCUCCUCAGAGAGGCUCAGCUUCAUUUCAGCAAUGGCUUUUUUAUCUUCAGACAUCUUCGGAAAUGCUAAAAAACUGCUUUCAAAGCCGAAGCUCAAAAAAAACUUAAAAAGCCAAGCAAGUCUUGGUGCACAAAGAGCUAAAAACUGAGUAAGCAAGAGCAGAUGGCGAGAAAGCGUACCAAAUGACAUCACGGUCGUGACAUAUUUAUACGCCCAGGGCAUUGCAAGUGGGGGGGGGUCCCGCUUGCCAUUGACUGUUGCUAUUCUAGCAAAAGGAAGGUGUUUUUUCGGACAUUCAGCUUUGGGCCUUCGUCCAUAUCGCAAUUUCAAUUUAUUAUCCUAAUAAAUUAAUAUUGCGAGGGGCUACUAUUGGGGGCCUUCGGCUUCCGAAGGUCCUCAAAAACGUGAUUUGACAAUGUUUCUGGAGUGUAAUACAUGAACAGGUACCUUCGGACAUGGACCCUUCGGACAAGUCAAAAUCGCUGUAUGAAGAAACACAAGGAGAACGAAGGAUGGAACAGAGCCGAAGCUGUGCGCAAAGAAGCUUCGGCAUGUUGGCAGAAAAGAGGAAACCGACUUAAAGAGGAAAAGACUAUCUAGACCCCGAUAAAUUACUAUAGAGUUAUUGUCAAAAGCAAAGGGCCUGGAUGUAAUUUUACAUGGGCUGCGACCCGUGCCUAUAAAUAGGUGAACAGUACCCCCGUAAUGUUCACGCUGACUUGGCAUUCGCUUUUGCGUCACACUUGUACUUUUGCUUUCCUUCAAGCUGAAGGUACAUUUGUAAUUUGUUAUCAUUUCUAUAAUAAUAAAAUAGAAAUGAGCUAAUAAUAAUAUUUAAGUGUUUAUAUUAUUUCUCAUACUUUAUGUGAAUUCUUCUUCAUUAUUUGUUGUACUGAUGAAGGUAUGUCCUUCAUAACCUUCGUCUGAAACUCAUUAUAUCCCAAGGGAAAUAAUGCUUCGAAGGACGAAGGACUUUAACGUUUAACAAUUCAUGUGUUGUCUUGUUCUUAAUUCAUAGCAUUUAAGGACAAGUCCCCAACAGGUAUGUCUCUGGAGUUAGUUAAUUGUUUUUGGUUACUAACAUGUUUAUCUAAGUGCUAGAUACAUAUACGAGAAACAAGAAAAAGGAUGGAAGAAGAGUUGGCUAAAUCAGCCAAACCAGCGCAGUCUGUGGUGCACCGGACUGUCCGGUGCCCUAGGCUGGCUCGGCGGCAAACUAGCCGCUCUCGGGAAUCGACACGACGACGUGGCUGUAAAUCACCGGACUGUCUGGUGGUACACCGGACUGUCCGGUGAGUCAUCAACGCCCGCACCCAAGUCUUCGGCGACGAACUCGUCGCUCUCGGGAAAAGGUGGAAGCGCCGCGGCUAAAAUUCACCGGACUGUCCGGUGCUGCACCGGACUGUUCGGUGAGCCAACAACGCUCACGGCUAACGAUCGCCUGCUUGAUCACCGGGCGAUACGUGGCUUAGCCAACGGUCGGAUGGUCGCACCGGACUAUCCGAUGCGCACCGGACAGUGUCUGGUGUGCCAUCAGAUCCAAAGAUCCAACGGUCGGCUUCGCCAGAAAAGGAAAGAGAUCGCGCACCGGACUGCUGUAGUAGCUAUCCGAUGGUGCACCGUACUGUCCGGUGCACCACUCGACAGAAGGCAAGAAUUGCCUUCCAAGUUGAUCUCCAACGGCUCCUAGCUACCUUGGGGCUAUAAAAGGGACCCCUAGGUGCAUGGAGCAGAACACCAAACAUUCACUAAGCAUCCUAAGACUCCCAUACUCUGCCUCCACGCAUUUGAUUGAUUGUGUUAGUGAUUUGAACUCCGUUUGAGUAGUGAACUCUUUGUGCCAUGUUUUGAGCUCAAGUCUUGGCUUGUGUGCGUGUGUGUGCUACGUAUUGAAUCUUGUGUGCGUUGCUUUCCCUCCCUUACUCUUGUGCUUCUUGUGAUCAAAACCUUGUAAGGGCGAGAUGCUCCAACUUGUGGAGGUUCCUUGCAAACGGGAAAAGAUCUCAAAAGGAAAAGACCAUGGUAUUCAAGUCGAUCAUUGGAUCACUUGAAAGGGGUUGAGUGCAACCCUCGUCCAUUGGGACGCCACAACGUGGAAGUAGGCAAGUGUUAUUUGGCCGAACCAUGGGAAAAAACCUCUUGUCUCUUGUGUUGCUUUUUCUGUGAUUGUGUUGUUCGCAAGAGCUCGCUUCAUAAUAACUUGGUUAAAAUCACACUAACACUUUCAUAAUCAAGUUUGUGGCUAUUUAGUGUUUGAUUUUACAAGAUCACCUAUUCACCCCCCUCUAGGUGCUCUCAGUAAGUUAUUGUCGUUUUGCUCAUAUCAUGGGUUUGUCCGACGAGGACAUCAGAGGGAGGAACCUUUGGGUUCAUGAUAUUCGUCUGCAUAGGCGUGAAGAGCAGGAAGUGGUGCACAUCUCAAAUGAGAGGGAAUACUGGACUACUUCUAACAUGUAUAGGUACUAUUGGUACCUCAACUCAUUAUUCAGGAUGACAAUCCUUCCUAAGGGCGGCAACCAGAUGAAUGUCCUUGGGAAGAGUCGAGUCCUUCUCAUGCUUAUGACUCCUACCAGCACUGACAAGAUCAAUGUUUUUUAUAUGAUCUGGGAAGAGAUUAUUCGAGCAUCUUGGUUUUCACUGAAGGGUUGUCUUCAUGCACCCUUCAUCAUGAAGAUGAUCAAAGUAGUCACCCAGGUUCGCUAUGAGAAGCUAGUCAAGCAUUCCUGCUAUAUUCCUUACUGGGUUAAUUCUAGCAAUCCAACAGCAAGGUCUAAGUGGGCUCCAACUGGGUCAGGAGGUCCUGCAUCUUCUGAUGAGCCACCACCUCAGCCUCCUCUUCUUGAGACCUCCUCUCGUGUUGCUGCCGCCUCUCAUUCGAUGGACUGCGGCGGUCGAGGAACAGGUCAGGGCAGGGGUCGGGGAUGAGGUUUGUUUGUGCGUCUGGCCAAGGGAAUCGCCAUGGUUUUUGUCAGGUGCCGCAACUGUGCUGUUGAUGAGGCUAUGCACCGACGUGAGACCCGGGCGCUUCAUGAUGAUAUGCGAAGCUUUGUAGCCUCCAUGGGACAUCCCAUGCCACAACAACCUCCUCUUGUUCCAAUUCCUGCAUAUCUAGAAAUCUCAAUGAAUGGCACGAGCGAGAAUAAGGUGUGUCGUUUAUUACUCCGAAAGCUGAGGCAAAGGACUACGAUGACUCAUCUUACUUUCAGUCUACUCCUGCUGCCGCAAUAGGACCCAUUCUAGGUGAUCCCAAACCCUCUGGCUCUGCUCAUCCUCCACCUUAUCAGGGUCCUUCUUCAUCGGCCUAUCCUCCUUCUGAUGACCCUCCUCAAGACUUGUCAUAUGAAGAAGAGAUGGCCCAUACCUUCUUUGCGGAUUAUCCUCCCUAAACUCCUUCACCAGGUCCCUAUGGUGGUAGUGACCCUAGUGGCUGGUGAAUCUACGCGUCUCGAUGAAGACAAAGAUUGAAGCCCGUAGUUGAUUGACCGUCGUGUGGCUUUCUGUAUUUCUUUUAUGUAAUAUAAAUUUAUGUACUAAACUCCCAAACUCCUGGUUUGUAAUGAGUACUUUAUGUUGAGUUAUGAUGGUCAUCGGGCCCUAGACAUCAUUUUAUAAUAUCAUCUAUUAUAGUAGCUAGAUGAACAUCUGUGAUGCUUGAUUCUGCUAUUUGCUAUUGUUAGCUUCUCCUUUAUGAUGUGUGAUGAGAUUAAUAAAAUUGUUGUCAUGUGAAUCAAAUUUUUUUAUAUGACACUAUUUGCACCCCUCGAAUAAUUGUAUAUAGUGUGGACUUGUCCACUUACUCCAAAUAUGUUGCAAGCUUGACAUGUUAAGUCAACAUUGUAAUUCAAAGCGAAUGCACACAUUUAGGGGGAGCCACAUAUGUACAAUUAUCCAAAAGAGUUUAAUUGCUUCAAAUCUUUAUCUUCUUCGACCUUAUAUGUUUUGGCAUCAAUCACCAAAAGGGGGAGAUUGUAAGUGCAAUCAACCCCAAUUGAUGGUUUUGGUGAUUAAAUGACAAAACAAAUAAGGUUACUAACAAGUUUACUCAUAGUGUAUAUUCAAUGUCAGUAAAGAUAAAAGGAGUAACAACUUUAAUUGAGAAAGGAAAAAGGAAGUAUCAAGGACAAAGGAAAUACAUCAAGUGGUGCAUUGAAAAGUUUCCAUGCGACGAUCGUGUAAAACUUUGUAUAUUUCUUGAGUCACAGGAUUUAUUUCUUCCUUGGUAGUUUUUGCAUAGGUAAUGGUGUUUGCUAUUGCUCAAGCCUCUAAAUUCAAAAGCUAUUUUGAAAACCAAAUUUUUUGGACACUCUAUGAGUUCGACUAAUGUUAGGUUUGAGAGACGUAGAGUCUUCCUAUUGAGAAGCAAUUGAACUUUCUUUCCGAAAAGUUCAACUUGACUUCAGCUGAGUUGAACUUAACUUCAGGUGAGUUGAAUUUUUAUUCAGCUGAGUUGAACUUGACUUCAACUAAAUUGAACUUAACUUCAGCUGAGUUGAACUUAACUUCAGCUGAGUUGAGCUUUUCUUCAGCUGAGUUGAACUUGACUUUAGCUGAGUUGAACUUGACUUCAGCUGAAUUGAACUUAAAUUCGGCUGAGUUGAGCUUUUUUCAGCUGAGUUGAACUUUUCUUUAGCUGAGUUGAACUUUUCUUCAGCUGAGUUGAACUUUAUUUCAACUAAGAAACUCUCUGGUCAAAACCAGUUGAACCUGCCUCACGGAUAGUUUAACUUGGGUUUUCUCUCCAAACCUCUCUGGUCAAUACCAGUUGAACUGGCAAUAGGGGUGGUUCAACCGGUGUUAGGGUCAGUUGACCACUCUGACUUCCUGUCUGCUAGUCUGACUGGCAGACUGAUUGUCAGGCUGACCACUAGGCGUUGAAUCGGCCCUAGGGGCAGUUCAACCGGUCCUAGACCAUUUGACUACAGUCAAACUACCCAUUUUUGAACUAGGCCCAAGCCAGUUCAACUGGGGUUGCGGGGCAGUUCAACCGGCACUGCACAGAAAAGUUCAGCCCAACAGCUUUUUUGAGGAGACUCUAUAAAUACCCCCACAUACCUAUCUCUUCAUUUGCCUUGGUCACUCCCCACACUUAUUGCUCACCUAACUUGAGAUAAAGCAUUCUCCCUCUCUCUCUCACACACACACACACGAUCUAGCUCUUAAAUCGAUCGAUUGAAGGAGCCCCUUUGGUGUGAGGUUUGUGCUUGUGACCUUCGAAUUUGGUUUUCUCUCCCUUCUCUUUCUCAUCUCUUGAGCUUGUUGCAAACACCUCUUGUGCGAACUUGUUGUUCUUGGAACCUUUGAGUUCCUUGACGGAUUGAGGUUUCUUGGGAGUUCCAAAGUUGUGGACGGCCCUAAGAAGUUUGUAUCACCCGCUCCUAUGAGCAGAUUUGAGAAAAGAUUUCCCUUGACCUUUGUGGUCCGGUUGUGGAGGAUUAGGGUUGGAAAAGACCCGACUUUGUGGGCUCCUCAACGAGGAGUAGGACACCUUUGUGGUGUGGCCGAACCUCGGGAUAAAUCUUAUGUCUUGUGCUCUUGCUUGGAUCUGUGGUUGUGUUUUUCUAGUUGGCAAGAUAGGCACAUAGAGUUGUUCUUUGUGUGGAUCUCGUGGUGGACUAACUCUUGUAUUUCUCACCAUCCACACCUAGUUUAUCCCUUGUGUUCCCCUUUUAAAGGAAUCUCUCAUUGCAUUUCCGUGUAGUUCGAAGCCUAGAUUUACUCUAGCAGUUGGACUGAUUUAUAGUGGUUCGACUCGCCUCUAUAGCAGUUGAACGAGCCUGCACCAUUUGAACUAUUGAUUUGACAAUAUCUCAAAGCUUGUGGUGAUAAUUUUCAGGUUUAGCCUAUUCACCCCCCCUCUGGGCUAUUUUAAGGCGCAAUAAGUCGGACGAGUUAAGUUGGACGAGUUAAACCGGACGAGUUAAGCCGGACGAGCUAAAUCAAACAGAAAACACGUUUCUAUGCGGAAUCAGCCGAGAGAGAUCAGUCGAGACACAAGAAAUUGAACAGAACAAGGAACUCAAUACCAGCAAUCAAACUUCAAAUGUAGGUUGAGAUCAACAGAAACUCAAUACUUAAGGUAGAUAAAACCAACAACUUUAUUCAUAUGAUUGGAAGUACCAUUACUGAGAAAAGGGCUAGUUCAUUAUGAACCGACCCCAGUAAAAUACCCCUUCUACUACUACAUGUGAUGUUACUUCUGCUACUACUCCUACAUUCUACUACACUACACUAUAUUAAUAUUUAAGCCAGUGGCGCCUUGCCACCGGUGUUGUCGCCCUUGCUGUAGUCGUUGCCGCCGCCACUAUCCAUGUCGUCGUCGUCGCCACUGCCUUUGCCGCUGUUGCUGCCCUUGCCGCUGCUAUUGCGUCCACCGCUGCCGACACUUCUCUUGUUUCUGCCACCGCCACUGUCGACCUUGUCAUCCUCGCCUGCCUCAUUGCCACCAUCGUAGCCGCCCUCAUUCGCUCCACCGCCGUCCUCCUUCUCCUCAUCGAAGUCAUCCGAGCCUGAAGGAAAUAGGUGACUCCUAUGAGGGGGUGAAUUAGAACUUCUAAAACUUUCUCUAAACUAGGCCACAAUUAAAUCCCUAGAGCAAAACCUAUGCAAUUAAACAAUGUUCAUGUACAUAUGUUAUGAAAUAAACUUAUGAAUGAAUGACAUAUAUUAUCUCCAUAAAUUCUUAUUCUCAUAAAAUGAUGAAGGUCUGUCCUUCAUGACCUUCAUCUGAAGAUCAUUAUAUCCGGAAGGAUAUAAUGCUUCGGAGGACGAAGGCACUUAAUCUUUAACAAUUGUGUUGCCUUGUUCUUAAUUCACAGCAUUUGAGAACAACUGACCAACAUUGGCGCCCACCUCCGGUGAACUCAAACUACCACCUUCGACACCAGGAGCUUAAGCAACCACCUUCGUCAUGCCACCGAAGAAGGCAAUAGCGCUAGGGGCUGCCCUUGCACCGCUAGACAUCAACCAAGAAGGUCUCCCUCUAAGAGAAGCCUGAAACCAGAAAAGGAAGGCCAUCAGCCCAACACCACAAGAAGAGGAGCUAGGCCAAGAGAUCAGAGACCUAGAGGCGAUCCACCAACAAGUGGAGAGAAAGAGAGGGAAAAUGCUUUGGCUAGCUGAACUUCAGAAGAAGAUUGAUGAAGCUGCCGAAGAGAUGCGCCAUAUCACGCAAGACGAGCAAGGACAAAGGGCACAACAGAGAGAGCUUCGUCAAGAAAGCCCAAGCUAUGAUGAUGUAUGGCAUGAUGAUUUCCAUCAUGGUAACUUUGCUUUUGAUGAUGCUUCUCCUCUAGCAGCAGAGUUGCAGGCUAUCGCAUGGCCACCAUCGUACAAACCACCAGAACUCCCCAUGUAUGAUGGGCAUUCCAACCUGAUGCAGUUCCUUAUGAGCUACGAGGCGACCAUAUCAUCAUAUGGUGGCAACUCUGCUGUCAUGGCGAAGUCCUUUGUCAUGGCAGUCAGGAGUGUGGCUCAAACAUGGUAUUCUUCCCUUCGGCUGGGAACAAUCACGUCAUGACAGAAGCUGAAGGACAUACUGGUAAUCGACUUCUAGGGUUUCCAGACAAAGCCAGUGAUUGCUCAAGAUCUAUUCCAAUGCACACAGGAUCAUGACGAAUACCUGCAGACGUAUGUCCGAAGGUUUCUGCGUCUCAGAGCUCAGGCGCCAACGAUGCCAAAUGAGAUUGUUAUUGAGGCUAUGAUCAAGGGGCUCCGACCAGGACCAACAGCGCAGUAUUUCGCCAGGAAGCCCCCACAAACUUUGGAGAAGCUUAUGCAGAAUAUGGACGAGUACAUCAGGGUCGACAAUGACUUUCGGUAGAGAAGGGAAGAAGCCUAUAGAUACUCCGAGAUGACCAGGGGCUUCGGAGGAAGACUCCACUCUAGGCAUGUCAAGAUGAUCCAUAAUCCUAGCUCCAACGACGAUAGAGGAAAUGAAACUCAAGGGCAUCAGCACAGCUCCCAAUCUUCAGGGACACAACAAAGCUCUUUCAAGCCACCAGCUCCAAGAGGCAGAGGAGGUAGAAGCUUUGCUGGAAGAUUCAGCUCCCAACCAAGAAGGUUGUUUUGCCUAUUCUGUCGGGAAGAUAAAUGGCAUACAACAAGGACAUGCCAAGUCACGAUUCAGAAGCAGAAGGAAAUAGCUGAAGCUGAAGCAUGACAGAAUCAACCGAAGCAGGUCCUGCAUACUGCUUCGUGCUAUUCCCCAUAUAUCCCCAAGUAUGUGGGCAACCAACAACCCACAACAUCAGUUGCUUCGGCAAGCCACUCACAAGCUACAUGGGCCUCGCUACCACCACCACCACUCAUGGCUCCAACCUCGUCUCAUAACCAACAGCCAGAAGGGCACCGCCAGGUACAACAACAACGUGAUGCACGCAAAGAGUCUAAAGCUCGGAUAGUCAACAACACCGUAGCAGAGUCGAGGCACAUUUACUGAAGCAAUACAGGGGCUCAAUAAAAAAAUUCAUACAUACUCAAUGUAAUCUUUGUUUCUCUUGCUUUUAUGAUUUUACCCAAAGACAAUAUAAGAAGGUACAACAUUCGACCUGUUGUAAUCAAUCUGGGGUUACACCAUCGAGUGUAACAGAAAAAGUCACUAAGCUCCAAAGUCGUUCCUAAGGGGAUGUAGAGCUUAGCUCCAAAGUCGUUCCUACGGGGAUGCAGAGCUAAAAUGCCACCUAAGUAAAAGGUGAAGAAGAUCCAAAGUCGUUCCAAAGGGGUUACAGAGCUUAGCUAUCACACCUGGUUCUGGAAGGCAAACCGAAUGCGAACCAUGUACGUGCCAGGAUCAGAAACUCACGUACACAGCGAUUACAUAAUUGGUCAUCAUCACACAUUGCUCAAAGUAAAUAGCGGAAAGGUACUAUUGGAGACUUGUUCUCAAAUGCUAUGAAUUAAGAACAAGGCAACACAAAGAAUAGGUUAAAGGUUAAUGUUCUUCGUCCUUCGAAGCAUUAUUUUCCUUAGGAUAUAACGAUCUUCGGACGAAGGUUAUGAAGGUCAUACCUUCAUAAGUAUGACAUGUAUAAACAGAGGAUGAAGCUUAUGAAACAUAGGAAAACAACAUAAACAAUUAUAUGACAUUAUAAUGUAAAUAUCUAUUAUUAAAUAAUCAUGAGUACAUGAGGGGAAUAUCAAAUUACAUUUGUACCUUGAGCUUGACAGAAGGCAGAGGUAAAAGUAAGACGCGAAAGCGUGAACAGUGCGGGGGUACUGUUCACCUAUUUAUAGGCACAGGGCGCAGCCUGUGUGAAUUUACAUUCAUGCCCUCUACAAAUGAUUACAAUCAUAACACAGGUUAUCACGGGCCGAUUGGUCAUUUCAUCUUUAAGUCGGUGCUACCCUUCGUCUUAAGGCAUGUCGUUAUGCCGAAGCUCCCCGGAAGGUAGCUUCAGCUUUGCUUCUGUGUUGAUCUUCUGAAGGUGUUUAUUCUUAUGGAACCUUCGGCGACGAAGCAGACCCCCAACAGUAGCCCCUUCACGGUGCCAGAUCGUUUUUCGUAACGAGCUCGACCCGUGAAAAAUUCUCUUAGGCUUCGGAAUGCCGAAGGUCCGAAAAACACCUUCCCUGAGCUCAUUGUCGAGAAACGAUAUAAAUAUUUCGAUUGUAAAGUGGUCCCACCAUACGAUAGGUAUGCACGAUCUGGUGAUUCGCCUUCUCGCGCACUAUGGUCCACCGUUCAGUGGGUGCGGGCGACUGUUCAGUGGGUGCGAGCGGCUUGACGAUUUACCUUCCCACCUGCAGCGAUAUAUAAACAGACGGGUAGGUGUGAAGUUACCACGACAUUUACUACUAUUGCACUGUUGUGCUGCCGAAAAAUUUGACCAUAGCCGAAGCUUAUUCACCGUAUUCUCAAUCAAAGCAUCGUUUUGCUCUAGCUUUGUCAUAAGAGGGAGCUUCGGCAAAGAUACAAAAAGUCAUCAACUUCGUCAAAACCGUGAGGAGUUCAAUAUCAAAUGGCCAGAGUGCGUUCAAUAGCUAAGAUUACACGCGACGGAGAGGAGGCCGAAGCUGCUAAGACUACCCCAAUCUUCGAAGUAAUGAGACAGUCGGGACUGGUUGUGAUAGAGGGUGCUUCUGAAGAAGGUGCACCUGCUGCCGAAGCCGAGCAAGCUGACAUUGAAGAAGGUGAGGCUGAUGAAGAAGAGAUAGAUUAUUCCGUCAUGCCAUCUAAACCCAGCCACCUGGAAUUUGGAAAGUCUACUGUCUCCGAGGCCGAUAUGCCCAUGAUGACAAAGCUAGGCUACUUCGGGGAAGCCGAGAAGAAGCUAAUUCGUUUUGGCGGAGAAGAAAUCACUCCGAAGCCAGAAAAUGAUGAGGUGGUAGUUUUUAGAAGUUUCUUUAAAGCAGGAUUGAGGUUUCCUCUACAUGGAAUGAUUGCGGAUGCUUUGGAAAAUUUUGAAAUUUAUCUUCAUUAGCUGACUCCUAACGCUAUCGUUAGGCUCAUCAUCUUUAUCUGGGCUCUCCGAAGCCAAGGAGUGGAACCGCUUGCCGAAGCUUUCUGCCGGGUGCACGAGCUUCACUAUCAGACGAAGGCUAGGGAAGAUGGGCUACACGAGAACUUCGGCUGUUACAACUUUGCUUACCGCAAAGAUAUGAAGACUCUGGUGGUUAGCUACCGCACCAAAUGGCCAACCGGUUGGAAAACUGAGUGGUUUUAUGUUAAGGUUGAUGAUAAAAAGGAGAAGCUGGUUCAGAGCCCACUGGACCUAACCUUCGGGUUAACUAGGCCCCAGUGCUGCAUGACUCCGAGGUCAUCAUGCCCAGGUGCUGUGGGCGAAUUUAGAGUUGUGUCUGAGCAUAUCGGUACUAGGGAUUUGGUUCGAGAAUACUUAGCCAAUAGAGUAUUCCCAACGUUAAAGGAAUGGAGUAUGUCGAAGCUUAAAGGAGAGAAGAAAAAGAAUGAACUUGUUCGACUGCCCUAUCAUUUUAAGUUCAUGAGACACUUCAAAGAACCCUGCCAAGAAUGGUUGGAUACGAUUGAAGCUAUGUGCAAUGAAAUCUUGGGCAAUUAUACGAGGAAAGAAAAUCAAUUGAUGACGGCAGCCUUCGGCACUCGACCGAAACAAAGGCUGAACCGAGUAAUGGAUGCUCUGAAAUUUGAAUACCCAGACUAUGAACGGCUAAGCAAAGGUGCCGAAGGGCCAAAACAAAAAAGAGUUGUCAGUGUUAUGCAAAGACAAGCUGCCAGAAUGAUAAAAGAAGAUGAAAAUUUAGCAAAAAAGAAAAAAUCCAGUCCUGAGUCGAAGGUGGCCGUUUUGAAGAAAAGAAAAGUUACAGCUCCGAAGCCAAAAGCUGAUUUAGAAGAAGAAAUUCCCUCAACACAUUCUGCUACUGACGCAGAAGAAAUUUUAAAGGUAAUGACCGAAUCCCUACCUAAUAAGCUAAGUCCGCUGGGAUCGGAACUGAUGAAGCUUUUAUAGAAGAAGAAGGAGCCUUCGGUUGCCGAGAAGCCCGCUGAACCAAAAAAGCGAAGGAUUAUUACUGUCAUUGAGGCUAUUGAAGAAACACCACCGUUGGCCUCAGCGCUGAAAACAGCAGCAGCCGAAGCUGCCCCUGCCGAAGCUUCUACUUCCGAAGCUGCAGCAGCCGAAGCCACAAAUUUGGAAAACACACUUUCUGACAUUGAUGAAAUGAUUUUGAAUAUGGCUGAGGAAGAAACUGCUGCAGCUGUUGAGGAAACCCCGGCUGCAGUGCCUGAAAAAAGGGAGAAGAUGCCUGGAAAAGAGAAGGAGCCUGCCGAAGAUUCUUUGGAAGAAAGAGAUUUCAACUUUCAAAACAUAAUUGGGCAAGAGUUGUCUAAGGCUGAAAAAGAAGAGCUGAGGGACUAUGCUAUAUCUUGCGGGUACCAGCCAGGGGCGCUGCUCUUCGGUGGUAUAGACGAAGAGAGCUUAGGUUGCCUUCGAGACCGGACUGGGGCUAAAGUUGUUAGCACUUUAUCAAAAAGUGUUGGUUUCCCGAAGCUCGAAGCCGAUCUCAGCAGAUACCGACGGCAGCAUAUCGCCGGUAGCUUGUUUUAUUCUAACUUUAAGGUAAAAUUCUUCCCUUAACUUUUUUAUUGUUUUGAUAUGAAGAUGUUUUCUGAUGAAGGUUAUUUUGUCAGAGCCUACUACUAAGCAAAACCUUGAGAAUGCAACAAGACCUCGAGGAAAAGAAAAAUGAAGUUAUAAUUGAUGGCUUAGAGAACAAGAUUAAAGAUCAUGAAGCUGCCCUAGAAAAGAAAAACUUUGUGCUUCAAACAAUGGAAGGUUCACUGGCAGAAGCUCAAGCCGAGAUCGCCAGAUUGAACAGUGAACUUUCCAUGAAGUCAAAAAGCUUUGAGCAAGAGAAGAAAGAUUUCGAAACAAAACUCAAAGCUGAAGUUGAAAAAACUUCAAAUCUGCAGAAAUCGCUUAAAGAUCUUCAAGAAAUAUGUUUAGGCUUCGGCACCCGGUGCAUUCAACGGCUGAAGCAGGUCUUCAAGUCAGUUGGAGCCAGUUCCGAAAAGUUUAAACCUUCGGUUGAAGACCUGUCGGGCACAUUUGAUCAUAUUGAAGGUGAAGUUGAUGCUCUCGACGAAGUUAUAGCUGGACAUGGUGACUUUUGUGCUCUGCUAGCUUCUCGAGGCACAGUUGUUGCUUUCAUGAAGGCUGGUUGUACACAUGGAAACAUUGUAAAAAGACCAAACUUCAGCCUGUCACCAACAGACUUGGAUGACAUCCCCGGCCUGGCCCGAAGCAUCGGAAAUAGAUUCGUUACUCAAAUCUAGGCAAAGGGCGGGCAAAACUUGGCUGGUGAUGAAGCUCGAAGCCACCUCAAGCCGGUAAUAAACUUGUGCCUGCUGCUUUACCUUCUCCUUGAAAUUUGCACAUUCCUUAUACUGCUUUGAUAUGUACAGGAUGACAAAGCCGAGAAGCAAUGAGCCGAAGCUUGGCAGAUGAUCUGAAGCUUAGCGAAUGAUGAUGAAGCCGAAAACCUUGCUGUGAAAAAAUUCUAGAAAAACUCUUGUAUUAUCCUUGUAAAGAAUAUUGUAAUUUAAGAAUCAGAUACUAUUCUGUAAAUUUGUUCAUACCUUGUAAUAUAUUUUUACCUUUCCGUCCAUGUAUGAACUGCUUUGAUGUGGAUGAAACUGUCUGUAUCUGCUUCCUUUCCUUUCGCCGAAGCCUUAUCCUUAGAGCCAAAGCAAUUGUCUGUAUCUGUAUGAUAUGAUGAUGAUGAUCCUAUGUAUGUCUAAAUGAAUGUUUAUCAAUGCAAUAAAUGAUGUGAUGUAUUGUGUAAAUGAAUGUCCAGACACACGCUUACGAAGCCACAUCAAAACUCCUCAUUCCCUUAGGAAUGACUGAAAUCUCUUUGCUGCUUAUUUUUCGGCUUCACCGCUUAUUUUUAGGUGUAAGUUCUGCAUCCCCUUAGGAACGUCUUUUGAACUUCUUCGCCUUCUAUUUCGGUGGUAUUUUUUGCGUUGACUUUUCGCGCUUCGCCUUAUAUUUCGGCGGUAUUUGGCUCUGCAUUCCCUUAGGAACGACUUUUGAGCAGAAAACUUACGUUGCGCUCCCUUGGGAACGACUUUUUUGUAGCUUCGUCGUGUUCUGUAUCCCCUUAGGGACGACUUUCGAGCUUCUCCCUGUUUCUUUUCUCUCUCUGCACUCAAUGGUGCAUGCUCAGAUUUUACAUUUUACAUGGUUUGGGGGAUCUUACUCUCGUAGAGCUGAAUAAGAGAAGGAAAAUUACAUGCUAUGGCCCCAUUAAAAACCUUUCUCCCCCUUUAGAAAGGAAAAGGGUGCCAUAGGAAAAAAUAAAGAAGUUUACAUCAAGUUACCCAUAGUAUCGUCGAAGCUCAUCCGCAUUCCAAGAUCUAGGAAUGUCGUUGCCGUCCAUAUCCUUUAAUUUGUAAGAACUGGGUCUUGACGAAGAUACUACCAGAAAGGUUCCUUUCCACUUCAGCUGAAGCUUGCCUACUGUGUCGGGGUUGGCUACUCUCCGAUGCACAAGAUGUCCUGGCUUAAUGUUUUUCAACCGAACUUUUCUAUCACGCCAUUUUAUUGUUUCGGUUUGAUAUUUGUUGAUAUUUUCCACAGUCUGAAGUCUGGUCCCUUCUAUAGUAUCUUUUGCCAUAGAAUAAUUAGCUUCGUCUUCUACCGAAGCUACUGUUCUUAUUGACCCCGCUUUAGCCUCUUCGGGGGUUAUAGCUUCGUCACCGAACAAUAACUUGAAUGGUGUAAAACCUGUUGACCUUGAUAUAGUUGUAUUGUGGCUCCACACCACUUUAACCAACUCAUCUGGUCACUUUCCUCUGGGCUGAUUGAAGAUUAACUUCAUUAUUCCCGUCAUUAUAAUACCAUUCGCCCUUUCAACUAGUCUGUUUGAUUUUGGGUGCCUGACUGAUGCAAAAUGAGUUUUCGUGCCGAUCUGAUCACAGAAAUCUUUGAAAGUUUCAACAUCAAACUGUGUUCCAUUGUCCACAGUUAUAGCCUUCGGCACACCGAAGCGACAAACUAUAUUCUGCCAGAAGAAUUUUUGGACUAUAGCCGAAGUUAUUGUAGCCGAAGGCUUCGCUUCGAUCCACUUAGAAAAAUAUUCUACCGCCACCACGACAUAUCUCAAGUUGCCCUGCGCUGGUGGAAGUGGACCUAGCAGAUCUAGGCCCCAUCUUUGCAACGACCAUGUUGGUUGUAUUAGCUGAGUCAAUGACGAGGGUUGCUUCUGAUCUCUUGCACAUUUUUGGCAAUUUUCGCACUUUUGGAUCAAAUCUGCUGCGUCCGAAGCUGCCUUCGGCCAAUAGAAUCCUUGUCGAAAAACCUUUCCCAGAAGAGGUCUGGACCCAAUGUGGGAUCCACACAAUCCUGCAUGUAUCUCCUUCAUCAGUUCUAUACCUUCGGUUCUGCAUAAGCACUUGAGAAGUGGGGAACAAACUCCAUGUUUAUAUAAUUCCCCUUCUAUUAUGACAUAUGGUCUUGUUCUUGCUUCCAUUCUUUUGUUAUAAACCUCAUCAUCCGAGAGACAGUUACCCUGGAGGAAAGAUAUAAUCUCAGUCCUCCAAUCUUCACUAUGGACAGGAGAUAUUGUGAGCACUACUCUUUCGAGGAGUUCAACCGAAGGUGCUCUUAUUGUCUCAAAAAAAUACUUCCGAAGGUAGAGGAAGCCCCUGUGCCGCUGACUUGGCUAGAAGAUCAGCAUGCUCAUUUCCCCUCUUGGAAUAUUCUUAACAGAAAAUCCUUCGAAAGAAGCUUCAAGCCUUCGAACUGUGUCCAGAUAUUUCUCAAGCUUCGGAUCUCUUGCCUUGCAACUCUUGUCAACAUGACCAGAAAUAACCUAAGAGUCUGUUUUAAGGACUGUCCUUCUAAUUCCCAUUGCCUUUAACUUUCGAAGCCCCAAAAGUAAAGCUUCGUAUUCAGCAAUAUUAUUUGUACAACUGAAGUCAAGCCUUGCUGCAUAGCAUGUUCUGACUUUGGAAGGUGCAACUAGGAUAGCAGCAGCACCUGCACCGAAGGUUCCCCAGGAACCGUCGCAGAACACUGUCCAAGCUUCGGCAUCUUUAUUUGCUUCUUCUUCCUGAGCCCCCGGCGUCCAAUCAGCAAUGAAGUCUGCUAACGCCUGGGACUGAAUUGAGGAUCUAUGCACAUAGUCAACACUGAAUUCGUUAAGCUCUGCAGCCCACUUUCCAAUCCUUCCAGUAGCUUCUCUGUUCCUCAUAAUAUCCUUUAGAGGCUGUGAUGAAGGAACAAUUAUGUGGUAUGCUUGAAAAUAAUGUCGAAGCUUCCUGGAGGCCAUUAACACAACAUACAACACCUUCUCCAAUUCUGUAUAGUUUUUCUUUGAUAAACUUAGAACUUCGGAGACAAAGUAUACUGGGGCUUGCUUUUUAAUUUGUCCUUCGAGCUUCUCCUGUACAAGCGCCGCACUCACUGCAGAGUGCGAAGCUGCCACAUACAAUAGUAAUGGAGCCCCUGGCGCAGGUGGAGUUAAUGUUGUUAGAUCAAUCAAGUAUUGCUUCAGCUCUUCGAAGGCUUUCUAUUGAGCUAGACCCCAUUGAAAAACUUCGGCUGACUUUAGUAUUUCAAAGAAAGGCAAGUUUUUUCUGCUGAUCUAGAUAUGAAUCUAUUCAAUGAUGCCAGUCUUCCUGUCAGCCGCUGGGCCCCCUUCUUUGUGCUUGGCGGCUCCAUCCGAAGGAUAGCUUCGAUCUUUCUUGGGUUAGCUUCAAUCCCCUUCGUUGAAACUAGACAGCCAAGGAACUUACCCUUCUUCACUCCAAAGACACAAUUUUCUGGAUUUAAUUUCAGGCCAGCUUGCCUGAAAUUAGCAAAUGUUUCUUGCAGAUCAGUAAUGUGAUUUUCUUGCUCCGUGCUUUUUACUAUGAUAUCAUCAACGUAUGUUAGCACAUUUCUGCCUAUCUGGGAAUGAAGGACCUUGGCUGUCAUUCUGCUGAAGCUUCCUCCAGCAUUCUUGAGCCCCUCAGGCAUCCGAAGAUAGCAAUAGGUGCCACUGGGAGUUAUGAAGCUAGUCUUUGGCUCAUCCUCCUUCUUCAUCCAUAUUUGAUGAUAUCCUAAGUAGCAAUCCAGCAGACUCAUAAGCUCUAAAGAAGCUGCUGCAUCUAUAAGAGAGUCUAUUCUUGGUAAUGGAAAUUCAUCCUUUGAACAGGCCUUGUUAAGAUCUGUGAAGUCAAUACACAUUCUCCAUUUGCCAUUGGUCUUCUUCACCAUAACAGUAUUGGCUAGCCACUCUGGAUAUUUUACCUCUCUGAUGACACUAGUAGUUAGAAGUCUUUUUACUUCAUUCCGAGCACCUUCGACUUUAUCAUCAGACAUUUUCCGAAGCCUUUGCUUUCUUGGCCUGAAGGAUGGGUCGACAUUGAGUGAAUGUUCAAUGACGUCUCUGUUGACACCAUAGAGAUCAUUGGCCGACCAAGCAAAAACAUCUUUGUUGUUGAAUAAAAACCUUAUCAAAGUUUUCUCCUGCUCUUCAGAUAGUUGAGACCCCAGCAGUACCUUCUGCUCUGCUAUGUCUUCGCAUAGAAGCAUGGGCUUCGAAUGAUCAGCCGAAGCAGCCUUCUCUCUUCUGUACUUGUACUGUUCACAAGCUUCAGCUCCAUCUAUAUUGUGGAUCGCUUUUGAGUCUGUCCAAUUUCCUUCGGCCUUUCUCGCAGCUUCUUGACUUCCAUGAAUAGCAAUGGGCCCUUGUUCUGAAGGUAUCUUCAUACAUAGAUAUGCUGGGUGAAGUAUUGCUUCAAAAGCAAUGAGUGUUCCUCGACCAAUUAUUGCAUUGUAGGGGUAUUCCAUGUCAACAACGUCAAAGACAAUCUGUUCGGUCCUUGUGUUAUGAACAAAGCCGAAGGUUACUGGCAUUGUGAUUUUACCGAGUGCCAUAAUCUGUCUUCCUUCGAAGACGCAUAGAGGAUGUGUAUCAUCGUGAAUCUUGUCUUCUGGCUCUUGCAUCUGUCUGAAGGCCUUAGCAAAUAUGAUAUCCGUUGCACUGACUGUAUCAACCAGAACAUUAUGAACCAGAAAUCCCUUGAUGACGCAAGAUAUGACCAUAGCAUCAUUGUGGGGAUAAUCUUUGAGCUGAAGAUCCUCUUGAGAGAAGGUGAUUGGGAUGUGAGACCAUUUUGAUUUGAUGAAGGGCCCUGCACCCCAACAUGUUGUACCCUUCUCUGAGCCUCCUUCUUCUGCUUCUUGUUGGCCGGUUCUGAGCAUGAACCUCCUGUUAUCGGGAGCACCAGCUUCGUAGCCGAAGCAACUUUAGCUUGAUUAUUGAACCAAGCCAUCAGCUCAAAAGUGGAAGUGAGUUCUCCAGAGGUGGGCGCCAAUGUUGGGGACUUGUUCUCAAAUGCUAUGAAUUAAGAACAAGGCAACACAAAGAAUAGGUUAAAGGUUAACGUUCUUCAUCCUUCGAAGCAUUUUUUCCCUUAGGAUAUAACGAUCUUCGGACGAAGGUUAUGAAGGACAUACCUUCAUAAGUAUGACAUGUAUAAACAGAGGAUGAAGCUUAUGAAACAUAGGAAAACAACAUAAACAAUUAUAUGACAUUAUAAUGUAAAUAUCUAUUAUUAAAUAAUCAUGAGUACAUGAGGGCAAUAUCAAAUUACAUUUGUACCUUGAGCUUGACAGAAAGCAGAGGUAAAAGUAAGAUGCGAAAGCGUGAACAGUGCAGGGGUACUGUUCACCUAUUUAUAGGCACAGGGCGUAGCCUGUGUGAAUUUACAUUCAUGCCCUCUACAAAUGAUUACAAUCAUAACACAGGUUAUCAUGGGCCGAUUGGUCAUUUCAUCUUCAAGUCGGUGCCACCCUUCGUCUUAAGGCAUGUCGUUAUGCCGAAGCUCCCCGGAAAGUAGCUUCGGCUUUGCUUCUGUGUUGAUCUUCUGAAGGUGUUUAUUCUUAUGGAACCUUCGGCGACGAACCAGACCCCCAACAGGUACUUUUAUUACACCAAGACGUCCAAGACAUCCACAGACUCUAUAACAUAGUCAUUAACAUUAUCAAAGUGCGGAAUUACAAAACGUAUUAGAUAAGGCUUUCACAGGCAGCUGACUGGGGGUUUGCCACUAAGAUAACUAGAACUCGUCGUAGUCCUGGAACUCCUCAAAGUCCUCCAGGUUGCCAGCAUCUCCUCCUGAGCACUGAGUACAGUGGGGACAACCUGGGGUGGGGUGAUUUUUAAAGCAAGGGUGAGUACACAUCAACGUACUCAGCAAAUGUUUUGUUUGGCUAAAGUGGACUAGCUGUAUGUAGAGUUAAGGUUAAGCAGUUGCUGUUGGGUGCCUUCUUCUCCGCCGAAGGUCCUCAAGACAAAAACACCUUCGAUGAGACAAUACAAAGGUCCGCCGAAGCUAUCAUCAACUUCAGAUUAGUUUCUCAAGACGAAGGACUUGUGCAUAAGCAAUGUUGCAGAAUGCUGAAGCUCGAUAGCUUUGGCUCGGAACAAGCAAAGAAGUAAAAGACUAAAUAGACCUUAUUAGCUUUAGUGACUUGUAAAUAAGUGUUCGAGGGUAUGGAUGUAAUUUUCCCGGGCUGCGUCUCGUGCCUAUAAAUAGAUGAACAGUAAGCCCGUACUGUUCACGCUGGAUUGUAUUUUACUCUCUCGCAUCCACGCCUUCGAGCAAGCCGAAGGUAUCAAUGUAAUAUUAACAUUGUUGAUAUUCAUAUAUGUUUUAUGGAGUACAAGAAUAAAUGAAUUAUCAAAAUAUAGUUAUCAUAUUUAUCCCUUUGUAUUCCUCUCCUCGUAUUAAAUGAUGAAGGUACGUCCUUCUUGACCUUUGUCUGAUGAGCAUUAUACCCAUGCGGAAAUAAUGUUUCGAAAGACGAGGGUCCUUAAUAAUUAACAAUUGUGUUGUCUUGUUCUUGAUUCACAGCAUUUGAGAACAAGUGACCAACAUUAGCGCCCACCUUCGGUGAACUCACUACCACGACUGUGACAAUGGAUACGCAAGACAACCAAGCUGUGGCACCUCCGGCUACGAAGCUGGUGCUCCCAAUCACAGGUGGCUCAAGUUCUGAGCCGGACAAUAAGAAGCUGAAGAAAGAAGCACAGAUAAGGGUACAACAUGUUGGAGUGCAAGAACCCUUCAUCAAGUCCAAAUGGUCUCAUAUACCAAUCACCUUCUCCCAGGAAGACCUUCAGCUCAAGGACUAUCCCCACAUUGAUGCAAUGGUCAUAUCUUGUGUCAUCAAGGGGUUUCUUGUAACACCCCAGGUGUUACCAUGGCCAUGGCACAUUUAUGCACUAAUGACUGUGAUCACAUGUGGAAGAGACUUGAGGAGAAGAGCAUAAAACCUUGGGAACCAUGUGUUAACCAAGAAUGUUAAUGACCAAAAGCAUUACCCAAGCAUUUAUGCAAUUAUCACCUUGGGCAAGAGAAGAUUAAACCCUAGACCCCUCUUGAGCCCUUAACUCCCAAAACCCAGGUUUAAGGGGGGAAGGUUAAGCAAAAUGUGCAAAUCAUGAGUUAACCCUUAGCCAAAGUUUAAGUAACAUUAUAAUCUACAAAAUGCAGAGAGGAAACAUUACAAAAAGACCCCUUCAAAACCCCAAAUACAUUCCUUAAGUGGAGAGAGAGCACUAAAGCUCUCUAAUUCUUCUAAGUCAAGUUUUGAACCUAAUCUAAAGAUCCGUCGUGUUCACUUAGUAAAUGGCACCAAAACCACUUGAGUUGUAUACCAAAAAUGUGUCAUACCACCUAAGGCACCCACUGGAAAAGUUUGAAACCAAGCCCAAGACGUUUGACAAGAUUUGGCAUGGUUUUUGUCGCGAGGUAGACAGAGGGACAAGCCAGAUUUGGCGUCCGCAAAUCUCCCUACCUAGGGCGUAUCUGCCAUGGGGACUCACAUACAAGAGACAGCCCUAGGUGCUAGGAGGAGGCCUGCGCUGGAUUUUUUCCAAGAUUUGCACGCUUGCUUUCUCGGCGAGCUGUUGAACAAGGGCAAAAGAACACUUCCACGUGUUCGACGCGCUCUGAGCGCGCCAGAGCACGCCCAGCGCCCGACCCCGUGCGCCCGCCCCGCCCCGCGCCGAGCCGUGCCCGUGUCCCCUUCUCGCGCCCGCGCCUAUAAAGCCUCCUUAGACGUCGACCGUACUCCUCCGCGCACGCUCGACCUCACCGGAGCUAGAGACCACCGGCGUUUGCCCUACAAACGGCGUGCCCGCGGCCACCCGAUCCCCCGCCACCGUAGACCGGCCUGCAGAGCCCUUCCCAGCCACGCCUGACCCUCGGAAGAGACCGUGCAUGCCUCGGUGAAGCUCCCUGAGCAAGGAAUCGGACUUUGCCUCGCCAGAGAAGCCAGUCCACGGUCGCCAGACUUCACCCGAUCGCCGGUGAACAUAGACCAGGUAAAUCUCUGCACAAUUUUUCGAUUCCUUGCUCACAUAGCCUCUACAUCAUCCCGUGGAGCUCAUCGUGCCGUUUAAUUGAACUAGAUCGCCGUGGUUAAGCCGGAGCACCCGCCGCCGACGAGUUCACCCGCCUGCGCACGUGGACCGGCCAAUUCCGGCCACCACCGCCGUCGAGCCGUACCUCGCUGUGACCGCCAGGACCUCCCGAAACCAACCCCGCCCCUCGCCGGACCUCUCUCGCCGCUGGUAAGCCACGCCGCCCUUUUCCUUUCCACGGUUACUGUUUACAUACGGGGAGGGACCUCGGGGGAGAAGAAGGAAAGGCUAGAGGGUUUUGUGCGCUGUCAGUGACUCAGGGGAAUAGUAGCGCAGGGGUAGAAAUGAAUGGAUUGAUUUAGAAAUAAUCCAGGGUCUUCGGUGCAAAGUAGUUUUCCAGGAAACCUUUUAAAAUAUUCUGAAUUAAAUCCAAACAGAACUUGAAAAAUUCAUAACUUCAGUUUGGUUUACCCAAAUCAAGUCAAACCAAUUUUGCCAGAUCCUAAAUAAUGUAAACUACUUAGGAAAAAUAUAAAACCCCUAAGUGUUACAGAAAAAUUUAAGGUCUUGAUUUAAAUGAUUAACUGGUCAAAAGCUAAAAAAAAUAAGGAAAAAUCGCUACACUAUUUGACUAGGGUUAAGAAAAUUUAGAGAAGUACUUAAUCACUUUCUAACAUGUUCAAAAAUAAUAAACCUCUCUGUACACCAAGUUAAGGUAGAGUUUACCAUUUAAAUCAUUUUUAGUCUAAAGUUAGAGAAAAUAUUAAAGGUGGUUUAAAUAAAAAACCAGGGAGCACCCACAUUUUUGUUAGUUUACUUAUUCAGUAUAGUUCACUAGAAAAAUUUAUUAUACCCUUGUUUAGUACAAAAAAAAUGAGAUACCUUUUAUUUUAAGAAAACAAGGAGAACUUAGAAAAACUCUAGAAAAAUAACCCCAAAUAGAAGUCGAGUGAUUUUUCUAGCACUCGCGCGAGGUCAGGAAAUUGGUUGUAUCCACUUUCUUAUCAUAAUGAUGCUGGUUUGUGGAUAACAAUCCAUGGGGUUUGGUUGUCCACGGGAUAAAAAUUGGAAUAAGGAUUAAGGUGUGGUACCGUGUGUCAAGCGUUUGAACGUACUAAACACAUACCGAGAAAUAUGGUAAAUCGGUAAGCCUAGUACCUGAGUGAACCUGCCCGCAGAUUGCCCUCCUCACGCGACCUGAGACGUGGUCUCCCAUUCCGGUUAUGGUGGGUACAAGUGCGGUCACUGCACGACGGCAGUCGGGGUCAGUGAGGCAUUGUACGCCAAGGCGGUGAGCCCUGAUCUGUUGCCAGGGAAUCGAUGGGGACGGUUGAUCUGUUGCCAGGGAAUCGAUGAAGACCCUAAACCCUAAACCCUAAACCCUAAACCCCUCAGCCAAACAGCUGCAUGUCUAGAGGUAGAGGAGUAGACUCCUCACAUCGGGUAAGUCUAGCUAAGUAUUAGUAUACUCAGCCUUGCUUGUGGCAUAAUUUUACAGGUUCUCUAGAGGACAUGGUUGCUGGAGUGACUUGGCCGUCCAUCUUGCCACCGGGUUAAACUGUCGAGUGGGACCCUGCCUCGGCUGAGGAGGAGCAUGAGGAGUGAUGGGACAGGCUUCCCCAUCUCUCUGUUUAUUUACCGUUAGUUUUAUUCAGCUGCACUUCGAACAAUGAUGACUACUUUUGUUAAAACUCCGAUGAUGAUGUAAUAGGUUUAAUACUCUUUAAUAUAUGGUUUCAUGCUUUAUUGUAUUUGCUCUGUGACUCACCAUCGAGUGAGACUGUGGUACUUGAUCCUGUCAGUGGCCUUGUCGGACUAGAUCCGAGGGAUUUACGGGUUAUUCCCAUUUAAGUGUGGUCUAGCCUCUAAGGCGGGACUUAGGCACUUAAGUUGGAAUAAUUCGGACGGUUCCGCCACAGCUGGUAUCGGAGCUCGUACCACCACAGAGGAAUCAAUAAACUAUAAAUAUCAUUCUUUUCCAAAGUAAAACUUGGUAGAAACAAAUGUUAGACAGAUCGUAAGACGAUCAGGAUAGACUUAGGACGUGAAGCCUUAGGAUGAUAGAGGGGUAGCUAGGUGGCUGAUUGAGUAAGCCCUAUAGGCUACUAUAAGGGAUGGGAGUUCCUCCCUAUUCCCUCUACGUUGAUGUGAGGUCGUUCAGGACGAGCAUGCAUGCAUCCUUAAUUAAACUAAUGGAUAAUUGGGUAAGAACUUUAAUACAAAAUAAUGACAAACUAAGUACCCCAGUACCAUUGUCGUAGUUAUAGAGAGGCUGAGUUGUGAUCCCUUUUCUUUUUAUAAUUCUUUUUCUUUUACUUACGCUUAACCGUACACAGAUGACUUCUCACGGAUCCUCGGACGAAGGGAAUGCACAGUCCCACACUGACGGGCUGGCACGAGAGGGUUUUCCCCGUAUUUUGUGGGAGGUACUUCAGGAAGCUGGUUACAUGACGCCUCCCCAGUACGCGGUGCAGCUGUUCGAGAAGCACCGAGUGCCCCGCUGUAGGGUAAGGAUGACCCUGGAGCCUCAUCCCCUACAGCCAGGCUGGCGUUCGCUGGACUCUGAGUCUUUUGGAUACCGGGCUGAGGACACUAUGGAGGCAAUUUCUCUUCGCGGACUAACCACCUUCUGCGGAUUCCACCCCUUGGAACUGUCCACUCACCCCAUUGGCUUGUUCCCCACGGAGAAGGAGGACGACCCAAUGUGGAAGGACAGAGUGGAGCAUGCCAAGGAUAUCUUGGCUAUCUACCCAGGUCAGACUGCUCACUUGACAGUGCGGUGCAUGAAUGCCCUGUAUCGUCUGCAAGUGAUGCGUGGAGAGGCAAUGUCCCAUCUAAUGGUAUUGUUGGAGGCAACCAAGAUCACUUUGGAUAACAGAGAGGAACUUGUGGUAGACUUGUCCACUGAGAUGGUGGAAAAAGACCUACAGGUGGAACAAUUGUCAAAUGAGAUCCAAGAGCUUGAGGAGCUAGUGGGAACGAGGGAGAACACCAUCGAGGUUCUCGAGGAUCAGUUGAUCAACACCCAGCAGCAGCUUGCAGAGGCUAACCAGCACUUGGAUAUGCACCACCAGGAGAUCCAGGACAUGGAGGUCAACGAGGAUGUCGACAUCGAGGGAGGAGAGGAGCCUGCCUCCAGUUUGGACACUGUUGGCUCAGGGAGACCACCUUCCCCCGAGUCGAGCGUUGCCUCGUUUGCUCACUAGGUCGCAAGGAUAGAGUUAGAAGUCUGUGAUGGUAGGACUCCUCAAAGCUAGCUUAGCUUUUGCACCCUUGGGGUACUAGGCUAGAUAGAGUUGAGUCUUUUGAGUUAUUGAUGUAAUUGUGAUAAACUCUUUUGGAAGCAUGGUUGAUGAAUGCUGUCAAUCUUAAUUUAAGAAGAAAAAGUUUAGGCCAUGUGGAAUCUUUUAUAUUUAUGCAAAAUAUAUAUUGGUUUUACCCUUUUGACUCUUUCACCACGAUUGAACCUUGAACCUCAGAAAUGUUGUAUUGAGAAUAUACAUGAUUUUUCAGAUGGCAGGAAGAGCGCGUCGUGGUCAGAAUGAGCGCGUUCCUCCACCACCGCCACCGCCUCUGACUCUGCAAGAGCUGAUGGCGCAGCAGAACGAGAUCUUGAGACAGCUAGCUCAGCGUCAGCCACCACCUCAGCACUAUGGUGGUGGUGAUCAUCAGUGUCACCCCGCAGCAGCCACUUAUUAGGAGUUCCUCAGUACCCAGCCACCGUUGUUCACCAGGGCAGAGGACCCCCUUGAUGCUGAUGUAUGGCUGAGAGUAGUGGGAUCCAAAUUCCCGCUACUCCAUGGAGUUUGUUCGGAGGUGACUAAGGUCAGGUUCACCACCCAGCAGCUUCGUGGACCCGCGCGGACAUGGUGGGACCACUAUCUUGCUAUGCAGCCAGCUGACCAUGAAGUGGAAUGGAGAGAGUUCAAGGCAGCUUUUAGGGGGCACCAUAUACCCGCAGGCAUUAUGAACCGCAAGCUCAACGAGUUUCUGGCACUCACUCAGGGAAACCGGACAGUGUUAUAGUAUGCUCAGGCCUUUAAUGACCUGUGCCAGUAUGCCGGAUAUCAUGCAGACACCGACGAGAAGAAGAGGGACAAGUUCAGGAGGGGGCUCAGCACUAAGCUCCGUGACCGUCUCAACACAGUCAGGGCCAACAGCUAUAAUGAGUUAGUCAACAUGGCCAUUUCGUAGGAAGACUGUAUCACAGCUCGUCAGGCAGAGAAGAAGAGGAAGACCCCUGUGGCAGGACCUUCAGCUCAGCCACAGCGCUUCAGGAUCGUGUCUGACACUCAGAACAGAGGACCCCAACAGCAGCAAGGACGUUGGGUGAUCCGACCACAGCAGCAGCAGCAGGCACCCAACCACACCCAGUUUCCAGUACACAGGAGCAAUCAACAGCAGCAGCAGUACCGCGAGGCCAAUGACAACAAGUGUUUCACUUGUGGUAACACCGGGCAUUAUGCCAAGAAUUGCCCCAGAAACCAGCAGAAGCAGGGACAGAAUGCCAACCAGAACCAAGGCAAGAGGCAGAAGGUGCAAGUGAGGCAAGGCAGGCUGAACUUCACCACCAUGGCUGAUAUUCCAGAGGGAGCACCCGUUAUGACUGAUAUCUUUUCAGUUUUGAAUUAUCCUGCAAUUAUUCUUUUUGAUUCUGGUGCAUCACAUAGUUUUAUCAGUGCAAAAUUUAGUGCCAAAUGUCAGCUACCUUUUCACCACACCAAUGGGGGUAUUACAAUUUCAACACCAGGAGGCAGGGUUGCCACCUAUCAAAUCAACAGACAUGUGCCUAUAAAGUUUGGUAGUUUGAUAAUUAAAACCACCCUCCUCAUAUUGGGGUUGGAUAGCGUGGAUAUCAUAUUGGGAACUGACUGGUUAACAAGACAUCGGGCAGUAAUUGAUAUUGCAGCUAGGGCCAUUGAGGUGCACUCACCGACUUGUGGUGAAACCACAUUAUAUUUGCCCGACCAGGGUUGUACCCGUUCUUGUGCCUUCGUUAUGAUAGAGUCCCCGGUUGAGAGAAUCCCAGUGGUCUGUGACUACCCAGAUGUUUUUCCGGAUGAAUUGCCAGGGAUGGCACCUGAUAGAGAUAUAGAGUUCGCGAUUGAAUUGCAGCCUGGGACUGCUCCUAUAUCCAAGAGGCCCUAUAGGAUGCCUCCAGCAGAAUUGGCAGAAUUGAAAAAGCAACUGCAAGAGUUGUUGGACAAGGGGUUCAUUCGCCCGAGUACUUCACCGUGGGGAUGUCCGGCUUUACUUGUGAAGAAAAAGGAUGAGAGUAUGAGAAUGUGUGUUGAUUACCGCCCUCUCAAUGCAGUAACCAUCAAGAACAAAUACCCACUGCCCCGCAUUGAUGUUUUGUUUGAUUAGUUGGUGGGAGCCAAAGUGUUCUCCAAGAUAGACCUUCGCUCAGGCUACCAUCAGAUCAAGAUCCGUGCCAGUGAUAUUCCGAAGACGGCUUUCUCUACCAGAUAUGGGCUCUAUGAGUUUUUGGUGAUUUCUUUUGGGCUAACCAAUGCCCCGGCUUAUUUCAUGUACAUGAUGAACUCAGUAUUCAUGCCAGAGCUGGACAAAUUUGUGGUGGUUUUUAUUGAUGAUAUUCUGGUCUAUUCCAAGAAUGAAGCCGAGCACACUAAACAUUUGCAUACUGUACUUCAGAGACUGCGUGACCAUCAGUUGUAUGCCAAAUUGUCCAAAUGUGAUAUCUGGCUGAGGAAAAUUAAAUUUUUGGGUCACACGAUUUCUCAGGAUGGGGUAUUAGUUGAUCCUGAGAAGGUACAACUAAUGGAUUGGAAACCUCCUACCACAGUGAGACAGAUUCGAAGUUUUCUGGGAUUGGCAGGGUAUUAUCGACGAUUCAUUCUGGAUUUCUCCAGAAUUGCCAAACCUAUGACUGAACUAUUGAAGAAGGGAGUCAAGUAUGAUUGGAGCCAGAAGUGUGAGGAUGCCUUUCAUACGCUAAGGCAACAUUUGACAACAGCACCAGUGCUAGCUCAACCUGAUAACGCCAAGCCCUUUGAGGUUUAUUGUGAUGCUUCUGGUACUGGUUUGGGAUGUGUCUUAAUGCAAGACAACAGAGUAAUUGCUUAUGCCUCCCGAGCAAUUAGACCCCAUGAGCAGAACUACCCCACACAUGAUCUGGAAUUAGCAGCUGUGGUUCAUGCUCUCAAGAUAUGGAGACAUUACCUGAUGGGAGCUCACUGUAACAUUUACACUGACCAUAAGAGCCUCAAAUACAUUUUCACUCAAGCGGAUCUUAAUAUGAGGCAGAGGAGAUGGUUAGAGCUAAUCAAGGACUAUGAUUUGGAGGUGCAUUACCAUCCUGGCAAGGCCAAUGUUGUGGCAGAUGCCUUAAGCAGGAAGGCCUAGUGCAAUUGUAUGAACAUGGAUGCAAGAGUCACCACCCUAUGUGAUGAGUUGUGCAAACUAAACCUAGAAGUUGUUUCCUCGGGUGCUUUAAAUUAUAUCUCGGUGGAGCCCAUAUUACAAGAGCAAAUAGUCAGGGCACAGAUUGAAGACAAGGGUGUUCAGGUCAUUAAGGAAAUGAUCAAGCAGAAAGUAGAAAAAUACAAAUGCUUCCGUCAGGACAGCGAAGGAAUCCUAUGGUUUGGAGAUCGAUUGGUUGUUCCCAAGAACCCUGAGCUCAGAAAGAAGAUAUUGGAUGAAGCUCACCUUUCAAAAUUCUCCAUACACCCGGGUAGCAAUAAGAUGUAUCAUGAUCUCAGAUCCUUAUAGUGGUGGACUAGAAUGAAGAGGGAAAUAGCCAAGUAUAUAUCUGAAUGUGACACCUGCCAGAGAAUCAAGGCCAGUCAUUUGAAGGUAGCAGGCCCUUUGCAACCCCUUCCCAUACCAUCUUGGAAAUGGGAGGACAUUUGCAUGGAUUUUAUCGUGGGAUUGCCCAAUACCUCCCGGCACCAUGAUUCCAUUUGGGUCAUUGUGGACAGAUUGACCAAAACAGCUCAUUUCUUGCCGGUACACACCACCCACAGGACGGAGAAGUAUGCAGAAAUCUACAUUGACCAGAUAGUUCGCUUGCAUGGAAUAUCAAGGACUAUAGUAUCGGACAGAGGAGCACCAUUCGUGGCACGAUUUUGGGAGCAAUUAAAGGAAUCACUUGGGACCCAGGUAAUAAGAAGCUCAGCAUACCAUCCUCAAACAGAUGGCCAGACAGAAAGGGUAAAUCAGAUUUUGGAAGACAUGUUGAGGGCAUGUGUGCUACACUAUGGAAAGGAUUGGGACAAGUGUCUUUCAUUGGCAGAAUUCUCCUAUAAUAACAGCUACCAGUCCAGUUUGAAGAUGGCACCUUUUGAAGCCUUAUAUGGGAGAAGGUGUAGGACCCCGCUAAAUUGGUCUCAAGCAGGAGAAAGGGAAAUUUUUGGACCAGACUUGGUACUUGAAGCAGAGGAAAAGGUCAGAGUUAUUAAAAAUAACCUAGAAGCUGCCCAGGCCAGGCAAAAGAGCUAUCAUGACAAGAGAAGGAAGCCUCUACAGUUUGAAAUGGGAGAUCAUGUUUAUCUUAAGGUGUCACCCACCAAAGGUGUCCAGAGAUUUGGAAUCAAGGGCAAGUUAGCUCCUCGCUACAUUGGACCCUACGAGAUCAAGGAAACUUGUGGACCUGUAGCAUAUCAAUUGAAGUUGCCACCCCACAUGUCAGAUGUUCAUGAUGUGUUCCAUGUAUCCCAGCUACGGAAAUGCGUCCGCUUACCCGCUGAAGUGCUACCUGGACCAGAAAUUGAGAUAGAACCAGACUUGUCUUAUCAAGAGCACCCCGUCAAGGUAUUGGAUCAGAAAGAGAGAUCAACGCGGGCAACGUCGAUCAGAAUGUAUAAGGUUUAGUGGAGUCACCAUUCAGUAGAGGAAGAUACAUGGGAGACUGAGGAGUUUCUACGCUCUCGCUUCCCCGACUUUCUGCCCAAAGGAGUCAGUACGUAACCCAAAAACCCCACCCCACCUACCCUUUGAAUCUAAAUAUAAGGAAAACUUAGAUGUUAAAGGUAGUGUAAGCUUUGAAAAUGACUCAAAAAGGACUUCCUUCUGAAGUCGCAAAGAGAAUGACAUUCGAAGAGCAGUUAACUAGAGAACCUUGGAUAAAAGAAGGAGCAACGCACCAACACGCCUUCAUGGCACCCCUCCAGAGGACUCUACCUAAAAUCUCGGGACGAGAUUCCUUUAAGGGGGAGGGCUGUAACACCCCAGGUGUUACCAUGGCCAUGGCACAUUUAUGCACUAAUGACUGUGAUCACAUGUGGAAGAGACUUGAGGAGAAGAGCAUAAAACCUUGGGAACCAUGUGUUAACCAAGAAUGUUAAUGACCAAAAGCAUUACCCAAGCAUUUAUGCAAUUAUCACCUUGGGCAAGAGAAGAUUAAACCCUAGACCCCUCUUGAGCCCUUAACUCCCAAAACCCAGGUUUAAGGGGGGGAAGGUUAAGCAAAAUGUGCAAAUCAUGAGUUAACCCUUAGCCAAAGUUUAAGUAACAUUAUAAUCUACAAAAUGCAGAGAGGAAACAUUACAAAAAGACCCCUUCAAAACCCCAAAUCCAUUCCUUAAGUGGAGAGAGAGCACUAGAGCUCUCUAAUUCUUCUAAGUCAUGUUUUGAACCUAAUCUAAAGAUCCACCGUGUUCACUUAGUAAAUGGCACCAAAACCACUUGAGUUGUAUACCAAAAAUGUGUCAUACCACCUAAGGCACCCACUGGAAAAGUUUGAAACCGAGCCCAAGACGUUUGACAAGAUUUGGCAUGGUUUUUGUCGCGAGGUGGACAGAGGGACAAGCCAGAUUUGGUGUCCGCAAAUCUCCCUACCUAGGGCAUAUCUGCCAUGGGGACUCCCUAGGUGCUAGGAGGAGGCCUACGCCGGAUUUUUGCCAAGAUUCGCACGCUUGCGAUCUCGGCGAGCUAUUGAACAAGGGCAGAAGAACACUUCCACGUGUUCGACGUGCUCUGAGCGCGCCAGAGCACGCCCAGCGCCCGACCCCGUGCGCCCCGCCCCGCGCCGAGUCGUGCCCGUGUCCCCUGCUCAAGCCCGCGCCUAUAAAACCUCCUUAUACGUCGACCGUACUCCUCCGCGCACGCUCGACCUCACCGGAGGCAGAGGCCACCGGCGUUUGCUCGGCAAACGGCGUGCCCGCGGCCACCCGAUCCCCCGCCACCGUAGACCGGCCUGCAUAGCCCUUCCCAGCCACGCCCGACCCUCGGAAGAGACCGUGCAUGCCUCGGUGAAGCUCCCCGAGCAAGGAAUCGGACUUUGCUUCGCCGGAGAAGCCAGUCCACGGUCGCCAGACUUCACCCGAUCGCGGUGAACGUAGACCGGAUAAAUCUCUGCACCAUUUUUCGAUUCCUUGCGCACAUAUCCUCUACGUCAUCACGUAGAGCUCAUCGUGCCGUUUAAUUAAACUAGAUCGCCGUGGUUAAGCCGGAGCACCCGCCGCCGACGAGUUCACCCGCCUGCGCAUGUGGACCGGCCGAUUCCGGCCACCACCGCCGUCGAGCCGUACCUCGCUGUGACCGCCAGGACCACCCAAAGCCAACCCCGCCCCUCGCCGGACCUCUCUCGCCGCCGGUAAGCCGCACCGCCCUUUUCCUUUCCGCGGUUACUGUUUACAUACGGGGAGGGACCUCGAGGAAGAAGAAGGAAAGGCCAGGGUUUUUGUGCGCUGUCAGUGACUCAGGGGAAUAGUAGCGCAGGGGUAGAAAUGAAUGGAUUGAUUUAGAAAAAAUCCAGGGUCUUCGGUGCAAAGUAGUUUUCCAGGAAACCUUUUAAAAUAUUCUGAAUUAAAUCCAAACAGAACUUGAAAAAUUCAUAACUUCAGUUUGGUUUACCCAAAUCAAGUCAAACCAAUUUUGCUAGAUCCUAAAUAAUGUAAACUACUUAGGAAAAAUAUAAAACCCCUAAGUGUUACAGAAAACUUUAAGGUCUUGAUUUAAAUGAUUAACUGGUCAAAAGCUAAAAGAAAUAAGGAAAAAUAGCUACACUAUUUGACUAGGGUUAAGAAAAUUUAGAGAAGUACUUAAUCACUUCCUAACAUGUUCAAAAAUAAUAAACCCCUCUGUACACCAAGUUAAGGUAGAGUUUACCAUUUAAAUCAUUUUAAGUCUAAAGUUAGAGAAAAUAUUAAAGGUGGUUUAAAUAAAAAACUUGGGAGCACCCACAUUUUUGUUAGUUUACUUAUUCAGUAUAGUUCACUAGAAAAAUUUAUUAUACCCUUGUUUAGUACAAAAUAAAUGAGAUACUUUUUAUUUUAGGAAAACAAGGAGAACCUAGAAAAACUCUAGAAACAUAACCCCAAGGAGAAAACACCCCAAACCUUGGGAUAACUAAUGUUUUGUUAUUAAGAACACAGAAAAAAUAUGAAAUCUGUUGUUUGACAUUUUCAAAUAACAAGAUAGUAGUAAGUGCCUUUUUAACAUUAAACUUUAGAAAAUCACAACUAAAUAACCACCAAAUAUCCUUCUGUGAUUUUUGGCACAGAAGCAUGUUAUUACUUUUAGAUACCAGCAAAAUUGACCCUUAGGACAGAACCCACCCCUAGUUAAGAGUUGUAGUGCAAAGUGACCCCUUUGCCCCAACUUUUGUUAUUUUUGUCCAGGGCAUAUUUUAAUUAUUCUGGACCUCAAAUUUAUAGGACAGCCUGCAGUGACAAAUAGUAACCCACUGUAAUUUUUAUAGAAUUUUUGGAAAAAGUUAAACCACUGAUGUAGUUCAAACCCAUACUAGAAUUCAUAAAUAGAAAAUGAAAAAGGGAAAUUAAUAAUGGAGAUUAAUGUCAUCAUAACCCAACCAGCAAAACCCCUUAAAUGCCUACAAAAACAUCUAAGUGAACCUUAUCCCUAGGCAAAACCCAAACCUAAAGUUGAUAAGCAUAAACCACUAAGAGCCACGUAUAACCAGGAAACCCUAAGUUACUAACUAACUUAGUUUUCUUUCACUUAGCAUAAUGAUUACUAAAUCCUGCAUAAUCAUGGCAUACAUAUUCUUAUUCAUUGCAUUUGAUAGAUUGCAACCUCGCCGACGGAGAAUACAUCCUCGUGCCGGAGCAAGGAGUUACUCAGGAGGUAGCCCCGGAUCCAGCACCAGAGCCUGCCCCAGAGGAUCUGCCUGCCCCAGCUUUGGAAGGCAAGCCCCGGUUUUAUGCAUAACAUGUUCUAUAUGAUAUUUUACUACACUUAAUGUUUGUAGGUUUGUAUUGUGCACUUAAGUGUAGGAGUUGAUUGAAACCCUAGUUGCAUGAACUCAGGAAUCCUUGUUGAGAUGGAUACUAGUAUGCUAGGUCGAGUAGCUGCUUUGCUAAAUAGGGAUCUCGGUAGAAGUCGAGUGAUUUUUCUAGCACUCGCGCGAGGUCAGGAAUUGGUUGUAUCCAUUUUGAUAUCAUAAUGAUGGUGGUAUGUGGACAACGGUCCAUGGGGAUACGUUGUCUACGAGACGGGAAUUGGAAUAAGGAUUAAGGUGUGGUACCGUGUGUCAAGCGUUUGAACGUACUAAACACAUGCCGAGAAAUAUGGUAAAUCGGUAAGCCUAGUACCUGAGUGAACCUGCCCGCAGACUUUACCCCUCACGCGACCUGAUACGUGGUCUCCCAUUCCGGUUAUGGUGGGUACAAGUGCGGUCACUGCACGACGGCAGUCGGGGUCAGUGAGGCAUUGUACACCAAGGCGGUGAGCCCUGAUCUGUUGCCAGGGAAUCGAUGGGGACGGUUCAUGUGUGUGGGGACAGAGUGCCUCGCCACGUCGUGUGUUUAGGUUUACCUUGCAAGGUUUAAAAACUCGAUUUGAAUCGUCUGCUUCUCGCAGCUAAUGAGACUGCUUGAUCCAUGCUGCUACAUUGAGUAACAAGUGGAAAUGAGAUGACUUGGCAAAAGUUGUUGAUUGCUAAAUGUUUGAUACCAUGUGUGAUUAGAUAGGUAUAUAUUUAGUCUUAAGAGAGUCACACUAAAACUUGACAAAGCUAAAACUUGAUUUAUAAACUCAGCUAGUGCUUUUGGCAACCAAACCCCUCAGCCAAACAGCUGCAUGUCUAGAGGUAGAGGAGUAGACUCCUCACACCGGGUAAGUCUAGCUGAGUAUUAGUAUACUCAGCCUUGCUUGUGGCAUAAUUUUACAGGUUCUCUGGAGGACAUGGUUGCUGGAGUGACUUGGCCGUCCAUCUUGCCACUGGGUUGGACUGUCGAGUGGGACCCUGCCUCGGCUGAGGAGGAGCAUGAAGAGUGAUGGGACAGGCUUCCCCAUCUCUCUGUUUAUUUACCAUUAGUUUUAUUCUGCUGCACUUCGAACAAUGAUGACUACUUUUGUUAAAACUCCAAUGAUGAUGUAAUAAGUUUAAUACUCUUUAAUGUAUGGUUUCAUGCUUUAUUGUAUUUGCUCUGUGACUCACCAUCGAGUGAGACUGUGGUACUUGAUCCUGUCAGUGGCCUUGUCGGACUAGAUCCGAGGGAUUUACGGGUUAUUCCCAUUUAAGUGUGGUCUAGCCUCUAAGGCGGGACUUAGGCACUUAAGUUGGAAUAAUUCGGACGGUUCUGCCACAUUUCUAGUGCAUAAUGUCCUAGUGUACAUAUGCAGUGCAACAAAUAUCAUCUUUGCGAAGGCUUUCAGGCAAAUGCAAGAGCCAGAUGACAAGAUACAUGUUGCAACACACCCCCUCUGCGGCUUCGGAGGGAGACAAAUCAUGGCGCUUGGUAAGAUAACUAUGCCAAUCACCUUUGGCUAUAUUCACAAUACAAGGACAGAGCAGGUUGUCCUCGACAUUGUCGAUAUGGAGUAUCCCUACAAUGCAAUAAUUGGUCGAGGGACGUUGAACGCCUUCGAAGCAAUACUUCACCCAGCAUAUCUUUGCAUGAAGAUACCUUCUGACCAAGGGCCUAUUGUUGUACAUGGAAGCCAAGAGGCUGCUAGGAGAGCCGAAGGGAACUGGACAGAUUCAAAGGCCAUCCAUAACAUAGAUGAAGCCGAAGCUCAUCAACAAUAUAAGCAUAAAAGAGAAAAGGUUGCUUCAGCAGAUCAGACAAAGCCCAUGCUUUUUGCGAAGAUAUAGCCGAGCAAAAAGUGCUAUUGGGAUCCCAAAUUGUCUAAUGAACAAGAGAAGACUUUGUUGAGAUUUCUGUUCAAUAACAAGGAUGUUUUUGCUUGGUUAGCUAAUGAUCUCUGUGGUGUCAAUAAAGAUGUCAUUGAGAACUCACUCAAUGUAGACCCGGCCUUCGGACCAAGAAAGCAGAGGCUUCAAAAAAUGUCCGAUGAUAAAGUCGAAGGUGCGCGAAACGAAGUAAAAAGACUUUUGAGUGUCGGUGUUAUCAGAAGGGCCGGUCUUAAAUUAAAUCCAGAGAAAUGUGUCUUUGGAGUGAUGAGGGGCAAAUUUCAUGGUUGCUUGGUAUCAACAAAGGGUAUUGAAGCUAAUUCAAGUAAGAUAGAAGCUAUACUUCGGAUGGAGCUACCAAAGUCAAGAAAGGGUGCUCAGAGGUUGACAGGGAGGGUGGCAUCAUUCAGCUCAGCUGGUAGCCACAGUCAAGAAAGGGUGCACCGGCACGAUCGUGGAUGCAUCCUAUAACUUCUUCGUCCACCCCACCAAAGAGCAUGGAUCUCGGUUGGUAGCCAUAGUUGAUAGCAAAGUCCUUUAGCUUAGCUGCAUCCUCUUCGGAAAGCUGCUGGCCACCCAGGUGCCGUAGGUCGUAGUCUGCUUCUUCCGAAGAGACUUCUUUAGUUUUCUUCCCUUUGUCUGACACUUCUGUGGCCAACUCCUUCUCUACAGCCACGUCUGAUAUAAUUUUGUCAAUUUCGGUGGCUGUGAGGUCUUCGCCUUCAGUUGCAAUAACAGCUUCGGCAUCAGUAGAUUUGACAGUCUUGUCUGCCGAAGCUGGAGGUGGGGUUUGCUCAAUUGCAUGGAGUAUGUUCAUCAUACGUCGCUUUUUCUGUCCCCUGUUUCUUCCAUCGGUAGCCGAAGGAAUUUCCCUUUUCUAUAAAAGGUUGGUAAGUUCCGAUCUAAGAGGACUUAGCAGCUUGAAUGGUGGGGAUUUAGUCAUUACCUUCAAAAUUUCUGACGCUUCGGCAGCAGAAGGUGACGGAGUGCUCAAGGUUAUUUUCGGCACAUCAUGUACCUUCGGAUCGGCAGAAGGUAUAUUUUCAAGUUUCCUCUUCUUAGGACCCGGUGCCUUUGGCUCUGGCGCUAUUUUCAUCCUCUUCAAGGCCUCUUCGUCCUCCUUCACGGAUCGGGCAGCUUGCCUGCUCAGAAUGCUGACAACUCUUUUUCUUUUCUGUAAUACCCACUUUGUAAAAGAAAAUCUAAGAGUAUAAAUUAUAUUCCUUUGCAUAUAUGGGUGUCAUCCCUAUUUAUCAUUUCAUGUGGACACCUCACUUACACCAAUAAAUAAUUAACAAAAGACACUCAAUUAAAUCAUGCAUCAUAUUGAGGUUUCUAUUUUUGUGUGCAUCUUGUGACAGUAUAAAAAUCAUAUGAAAAGAAUUAUAUUAAAGCACAAAAUGGAAUUUAAGGUCUAACAAAAAUUCUAGAAGUGAGAAAGGAGGAAAAGAAAUACUAUAUAAUACAAAACAAAAUGUACAAAAUUUAAACUCUAUCCAUAGUGGUAAGAUUAAAAUCUAUCUUUUAUUGAGUACAAAAGUAACAUGUAUAUUUGGAGUCUAAAUUCGAAAUUUAAAAUGAAAGGGGAAAGAUAAACCAGAAAAAGGAUAAAAGAGAACUCCAUUCGUGGGCCAACUUACACCAAUCCGGCCCAAUAAUACACCUCCACUGUGUGGCCCACCUGACCGGGAUCUCGCGCGGGGGGGGGGGGCUGACAUCGGGGGCCCACUGGCAUCCGCUUAUCACGCACGCACUCACUCCUUUCCCACUGACACCUGGGGCUCGCACGUGAGGCUUGGGCAUCGUCAACAGCUCACCCAUGCUUUGCGCGGAUGGUGGCGUUGUUCGCGAAAUCCUCGGUCAAGGGGGUGACCGGAUCCUGUGGCCACGCCAUACAUAUGAACCAACUGGUCACGCCGCAUGCCUGCAACCGAAUUAAUCGUGUAGACAACUGAACCUAAAACGAGAGGGAGAAGGGGGCGGCGACCUUGCGUUGACUUGACUGUGCCGUCGUCGAUUCGCUAGUCCGCCAUCGAUUCGGGGUAAUCACGGGGUCUAGGCAACUUGCUUGGUUGCGUGGAGCGCGACUGUGGCGAAUUGGGGCCGGUGGUGCAUUGAAGGUUAGGGAAUUCCUCGCCGGAGUGGAGCCCUUCGCCGAACUCGCGUUGUACCGUGGACCAACCUCGACUCGUCAGUGGCUUCGGUAAGACCUCGGCCAUCUUGCACGUCUCCUUCUCCGGGAUGCAUAGAGCUAGUACCGCUAGGGUUAGACCCCCUAGGCGCCUCGCGCGCUGCUCGUCGACGAGUGCCGCCGUGAGGUUUGCCCAGCGCCGCUGCGUCUGGGUAUAGGAUAGAGACGAUGGAUGGUGGGCUGUUGAUCUUCCACGGGGCGGUCCAGAUUAGAUUGUCGAUGACCGUUUCGCUCGGAUCAGUGAGAACCGUCGAUCCGGUGAUAACCGACUGAGAUUGGAGUUAGGAAAUUUAGAUCUGGGACGUCGGAUUGGGAUCUGGCGGUUCUUGUCGCGUACCGUUUCACGGCCGCUCCGAUGUAAUCUGGGGCACACAUCCCAGAUCCAACGGCCGAUAUUGCCCCGUACCCCUUCGCGGGCGCGGAUUUACACUUUGGCCCCUCUAUUUUCAUAGAACCAACUCGCCGUCCUGCGCAGUGGGGCUCUAAGUCUUAGGGAUUUUCACGCAGGGGCCCCUGGACUCUCUGGUAAUUGAUGCGCAGUCCAGACAGUGAAUAAUAUUCAUAAAAUCAAUUAGAAAAUGAAUUUUUAGUAUUAAAUUAAUUACAGAAACUUGUUAAAUUCAUAUGACAUUCAUAUGAACUCCAAAUUAAUCCAUUCUAGUUUCUAAAUUUUUGUAAUAUUAUUUUCUAUCACCUAGAGUCUCUGUUUUGACAUGAAAACAGUAAGAAAAAUAAUUCCUCACUUAACCCUAUUUUAAGCACAUAAAACCUUUGGAAAUUCAUAAUUUAAUAUCCAUAACUCCAAAAUUUAUGAUUCCUGUUCCUAGGGUUUUAUUUUAAUGUGUAGAUUAUUAUUAUGUAUUUUGUUUACAUGUUUGGUGUGAUAUUAAUUUUCUCUAUAUAUUGUGCUUGUUUGUAUUGUGGCGAGUAGAAGAGCCUAUGACUGAGGAUCUUGGUGCCCAGCAGAUAGAAGUAGCUGAGCAGAAGCUCAUUGAAGGCAAGUUGUGCCCUUGACCACUUUUUACCCAAUAAUGUUCUUUAAUAUCACAAAUUCAUGCGUAGGUUUAAUUUUGAUGGGACCUGAUAGGUCACCCUAGACUGUUUAUCUCUUUACCUUGUUAUCCCUGAAUCACAUGGGUAGUUUUGCUAUUGCUUUACAUGGUUUUGGGAUAAUCUUUCAUUAUAUCCAUGUUCCUGUUAUUUUGUUAUUCUAUUUAUGUUCAUGUCAAGAUCAUUAAUGUUAAUUGGAACAUGGAGCUUAACUUGAGAAACACGUGCCACCACAAGGUUAGCAUGGGAUGCUCUUGGCUGACUAAUUAGGAAAGCUAGUGGAAGACUACCUUACCCGAAAGGGGCAAGGGCAGUAGGGGAGUUGCAUGCAAGGAGGUUCUCGGGUUGAUUUUGCUGCGAUGGCGGACAGACGGGGGAUUCUUGCAAGUGCUCUUCCCAUAAACUGUAGCGGGCUUUAGGAAGCUAGUGGAACUUUGUAAAGGCCUCGUAGUGUUACCCUACCUCGCUUCCUUGGUAGAGGUAUAUGGGGCCCGUACAACCCCGUGGCACAUGGGUAACAUGACUUGUGGGUACAGGGUACAACCUCUGCAGAGUGUAAAACUGGUAUACUAGUCGAGCUCACGGUCAUGAGCAGCUCAGGACUCUCGCAUGAUUAAUUUAUGGAACUUAAAUUCAAUUUGUCAUUUGCAAUGCAUGGGAUUAUGUAUUAAUUUUGUUCUAUUACUUUUAUUAAGGUUUGAUAUUUACUUACAUUUAAUAACUGCUAAUAAAAUUUUGACCAACUAAUUAAAAGCAAUGCUCAGCUUUAACCCUGUUGUUGAUUAGCCUUACACAUCACAUGAACCCCCACCUUUGGUGAGUUUAUGCCCACUGGUUCCCCACAACUUGUUGAGCUAUGAUCAUGUGUGAGCUCACCCUUGCUGUCUCACACCCCCCACAGGAGAAGAACAGGUGGUUCAGGAGGAGCCUCAAAGCGAGGAGUUUGAUCUGAUCUAGGUGGCGUUUCCCAGUUGACUUGCGCUAAGGAUGAUCCUUAGUUUGUUUAUAUUUAUCUUUUAUUUUGUAACAAGACUUCCGCUUUGUAAUAAAUACUCUGAUGUUAUUGUGACAUUUAUCUCUAUACACUCUGUUAUUAUAUAUGUUGUCUUCUUUGGCGCAUGUAUGAGAUGCACCCGGCUUUGUCCCUUAAAGCCCGGGUGUGACAUUUUCGCCCCCCCAGCCCCUUCGUCAAGUCUCUCAUAAUCCGUAUACUCAAAGUUCAGGGCAUCCAUUACCCGAUUUAACCUUCGUUUCGGCCGGGUGCCGAAGGCAGCGGUCAUUAAUUGAUCCUCUUUCUUCGUGUAAUUCCCAAGAAUUUCUUUACACGUAGUUUCAAUCAUUUCUAACCAUUCUAUACAUGGUUUUUUGAAUUGCUUUUCAAACUUGUAGCAGAAGGGAAGUCAAACAAGUUCAUAUUUCUUUCAUCCCUCCUUCUUCUUCAGCAUCCCCCAGCCGCUAGAGGACGAGAAGGUUUUAUUUGCCAGGUAUUCCUGCACUAAGUCUCUAGUGCUAAUUUCAGCAGCCACCACUCUGAAUUCAACUUCGGCUAGCUGGCAUUGGGAGCCGAGUUGCAUAUUGCAUAAUGGCCUUGUCAUCCCGAAGCUCAACCUCAGAGGACUCAUAACCAUAGUCAUGAGUUUUUCCCUCUUCUUCUCAUCAGCUUUCAUAUAGAACCAUUCGCUUGUCCACCCGGUCGGCCACUUAGUGCGGUUGCCGAUCACCGGGGCCUUAGUGUCUUUUCGGUAGGCAAAAUUAUAACAUCCAAAGUUUUUGUGAAGUCCAUCUUCUCUGACCUUCAUCUGAUAAUGUAACUCAUGCACUCGACAGAAACCUUCGGCAUUAGAACUCAUGCCCUGGCUUCGGAGAGCCCAUAUGUAAACACUCAGCCUAACAAUGGCAUUUGGUGUUAGCUGAUGAAGAUAUAUUUCAAACCUCUUCAAAACCUCUCCUAUUAUAUCAUAUAGAGGAAACCGAAGCCUUGCCCUGAAGAAGCUUUUAAAAACAACAACUUCAUCCUCCUUUGGUUCCGGAACCACUUCCUCGCCUGCAAAGCGAAUAAGUUUACUCUCAUUUUCCCCAAAAUAGCCUAGCUUCUUCGUCAUAACCAGGUCCUCUGCUGACAUAGUAGAUUUUCCAAACUCAAUAUGGCUGGGCUUUGAUGGGCUCAGAAUAUUGUUGUCCUCUUCGAUUUUGUCAUCACUUUUCUCCUCAGCUACAGUUUGCUCAGCUUCGACACUUUCACCUUCUGCAAUAGUUACUUCUGAAACAACUAGACCCGAUCGCCUCAUCACUUCAAAUAUUGGUGCCAUUUCUGUCACUUCAGCAUCAUCUCCCUCACGGGACACCCUAGCAGUAGAUAUUACUCGGGCCAUUUCAAGUGAUGUAGUUCCUUAAGACGAAGCUAACUUCGAAUGACAAAGAGCGUGCUUGGAAAGCUCAAUCCAGAAAUCUUCGGCUUUGGUUACAAAUUUUAACAGCACAAUAGUGCAAUGACAAUGAAUGUUGUGGUAACUCCUCACCAACAUGUCUGCUUAUAUAGUGUUGUAGGGGAAGAAGGCGGACCGCCAGACCGUCUACACUGACUGAGUGGCGGACCGGCCGACGCUCGGAAUAUUUUAAUUGUUUUUCGAUAACAAGCUCAGGGAAGGUGUUUUUUGGACCAUCAGCAUUCCGAAGCCUUUGUAUUUUUCGCAGGUCGAGCUCGUUACAAAAAAAUGAUCUAGCACCGCGAAGGGGCUACUGUUGGGGGCCUUCUUCUCCGCCGAAGGUCCAUAAGACAAAAACAACUUUGAUGAGACAAUAUAAAGGCCCGCCGAAGCUAUCAUCAACUUCGGAUUAGUUUCUCAAGACGAAGGACUUGUGCAUAAGCAAUGUUGCAGAAUGCCGAAGCUCGAUAGCUUCGGCUCGGAUCAAGCAAAGAAGUAAAAGACUAAAUAGACCUUAUUAGCUUUAGUGACUUGUAAAUAAGUGUUCGAGGGUAUGGAUGUAAUUUCUCCUGGGCUGCGUCUCGUGCCUAUAAAUAGAUGAAUUGUAACCCGUACUGUUCACGUUGGAUUGUAUUUUACUCUCUCGCAUCCAUGCCUUCGAGCAAGCCGAAGGUAUCAAUGUAAUAUUAACAUUGUUGAUAUUCAUAUAUGUUUUAUGGAGUACAAUAAUAAAUGAAUUAUCAAAAUAUAGUUAUCAUAUUUAUCCCUUUGUAUUCCUGUCCUCAUAUUAAAUGAUGAAGGUACGUCCUUCUUGACCUUCGCCUGAUGAGCAUUAUACCCAUGCGGAAAUAAUGUUUCAGACGACGAAGGUCCUUAAUAAUUAACAAUUGUGUUGCCCUGUUCUUGAUUCAUAGCAUUUGACAACAAGUGACCAACAGUUGCUUUUAGUUGGUCAAGUGUUUAUUACUAGUAGUAGAGCUAAAUUUUAGUAAUAAACUCAGUUAUUACCCAAAUGUAAUCCAUCAAAGAGGAAAUACUAGAGAUCAUAAUUAAAACCAUCAUCAUUAAACAUCAUCAUAAAAGUAUCCAAAGUUCUUCUAAUCAAAGAGAAUUCCAAGGCCGCCCUUAACCGUGAGCUCGAUGGAUAUACCAGUUUCUAACACUCUGCAGAGGUCGCACACUUUACCCACGAGUCGUGAUCCCUUUUUGCCUCGGGUCGAUCAAACCCUCAAACACUACCAAGGUGAGUCGGUAAGGUUUCAUUACGUAGACUUUACAAAGAAUCCCCUGGUGCAUAACUGCUCGUUAGGUUUCGCCAGUCGUACAAACGCAGUACAUCUCCCCAAGGUGGGUGACUGACAAAACCAAAUCGAAUGAACCUCUACACCCCCCUUGGCAGAGCGAGCACUACGCCACGGCCCCCAUUGAUGGCCCUCAAGCAAAGCCAACUACACCCCUAGGUUCAUCUAAUUAUUCAGCUAAGGGCGUCCAAUCCCACCCUCAUGGUUGCACUGUUAUCCUAGGUGGUCACUCAACGAACAGGUCCUUACGGAGAGGUACUCAAGAAAAUGGCCUCAAUCCCCUAAAAUAUCACAAGAUCAUCAUCGGGAUAACAUCAUCGUAUCAUAAAUAUCCACAUCAUGUUCAUUGAUUAAGUUAAUGCAAUAGCAUAAAGCUAACCAUGAUAAUCCAAAUGGUAAACAAGGAUCAGGUAAAUACAGAAUAGUCAAUCCUUAGGUUUUCAUAAAGUAAUGCGGGACGGUGGAUUAUAAAGUAUGUAGGACAUAAUAGGUCAUAGGACACUUGCCUUCAUCAGGUUGUUGCUUAGGAAGAUCUUCGGCAACACACUGAGGAACCACGGGCUGAUCGUCGUCUAAAUAAAGCGAUCAUACAUUCAAUACAUUUGAUAAAUGACAAAUGAACAACACACCAAUCAUGUACAAACAAUGGAACACAUCUCAAAAGGAAAAGUAUAAACUCAAAAAAGGGAGUUUAGGGUAUAGGGUGAACUAAUCACUUUUAGUAGUUUGUUAUUCUCUAAGUGUUGUCUAUUUCCAUGAUUACAUAAUCUGAUUCUACUCAUUUAAAUGAGACAUCAAAGUUAAACCAGGGAUAAGUUCAUACAUCACAUAUUAUUAUCUUUACAAUAUUAAACAUCUAUUUACCACUAGGGUUUUCCUUUUUAUUUAUCUUAUUAAACAAAUAAAUUAUCACAUAAACUAACCUAUAGCCUAGGCAUAAAAUUAAGAGUUUUUAAAAUUGGUACCCUCAGUUUUGGUGGUGUUCUCACCUAUACCCUUAGUCGUGUUUUUUGCUCAGUUGUGCCCCUCUGUUCUAUAGCACUGGAAGGGCACAGCUGAGCAAAAAACAUGACUAAGGGUAUAUGUGAGCACACCACCAAAACUGAGGGCACCAAUUUAAAAAACCCUAAAAUUAAAGUGCACAAACAGUGAAUGAUCAUAAUUUAUUUGGACAGAGCAUAAUACUAUGAACAUUUUGCAAUUUGAAUCACACAAUUUGGAGUUCAUAUGAAAAUAUAUGAAAUAAACAAGUUUUGAAGUUUGAAAUACAAAAUUAGGCCUAAAUCUGUGAUUAAAUAAAAGUCUAGGGUUCAAUCUGCAAGAUUACAGGGGCCUGCGCGUGAAACAGAUGGACGGCGGGUUGAUUCUCGGAAAACCAAGGGUCUCUUUAACAAAAUUACACGCGAAGGGGUAUCGGGAUUCCUCGGCCGCUAGAUCACGGAUCGACGGCCGAAAUUAGAUCUCGCAGAUGAGUGCGCAGGCGCGCGGCGAGCGCUGACAGGUGGGCUCGGGGCGUCAGUGACAUGAGGUGGGUCUGACGGGCCGGGCCCAGCAGUAGGGCGCGGGUGAGGGGGGCAGAUUCGAGCAGUCGGAUCAUCAACAAGCGGCUGAGAUUAGAUCGAUCCUAUUUAACCCUAGACUGCCAGAUCUCAGAUGGAUGUCUGGGAUCCAACGACCAACGCGGUCGGUGUGGCUAGACCUAAGUGCGGUGGCGCCACACGCUCCCGCGGCGAGGUCUCGCCGGAGAGGAGGACACGACCACAGCAAAGCCCCUAAGGGAUCGGGAAAAAACUCGGGCGCACUAAGGGCGACAUGGCGAACUCGGCCGUGGGCACGACACCGGCGCAGGGGCACCAGAGGGCGCAGACCGCGGCGGAGCGGCUCAACGACGGCAUAAACUCGCUCCAGCGAGCAAUUACGCGGAUACUAGGGCAGUAACUAGGGAAAUAAGGGCAUAUGAGGGUUGCUCACCUCGAGUAUAGACUCAGGAGCGCUUGAGUAACGGCGGGGACACAGGGAAACCUCGGGUCGACGGCGGCGGGACUUUGGCUCCACGGAGAGGACGACAGUGAGCGCGGACUGGGCAAACCAGAGGGGUUGGGGCAGACCGAGGGUUGUCCCGGGUUGCGGGUGAUAAGAUGGAGCUUACCGAGGCAACGGACACGGCGAGGGCUCAACGACAACCGCAGAACGGGCGCGAGACCACGGCGAGCGGUGGCGAAACUCCAUGGACGCGCGCGCGGUGUGAGGCGAGUGCUGAGGGCUGCGAGUGGGCGAGUGAGGAAAGAGGAGGGCGAGCGGGUGCUAGGCAGCUAGAAAAGGCCCGAGGUGGGGACGGGCGCGGCCUCGGCGUGCGUCGUGGCCGCGGAGUCCAUGGCGACGCAUGGGUCGUGCGCGGGUGGUUCGGAGGGGAAAGGUCCGACAGACGGGACCCACCGGUCAGCGAGAGCGGGCGAGUAAACGGGCAGCCGGGCUGAUGAGCGGGGCCUACGGGACAGUGAGGGAAGGGACGCGCACGCGGAGGAGGUCGGCGCCGACAAGUCGGCCCCAUUAGCAGCGAGAGGGAGAGGGGGAAGAGAGAGUGGGCGCGAGAAGGCGUUGAAAGGCGAGGUCCGCCUACCACCGAAGGCUGGCGCGCGGGCGCGCGCGCGGUGCUGUGCCGUCUGGGCUGAUUGGACCGAAUUGGGGUUUUCAUUUUUCUGGAAUUUCGAAUUGUUUUUUCCAUUUUUUUCUCUAGGGUUUUCAAUUCAAAUUCAAACCAAGUUUCAAAUUCAAACCAAUUCAAACAUGUGCAUUAAUUCAAAGGGUAAUUUAGGCUCAGCAUGAUGCAACAAUUCAUGACUCACACAGUUUUGACAAAAAUAAAUAAUUAAACCCUCACCAAAUUAUGCUAAUUCUACUCAAAAGAAAAAAGGGAGAGAGAGAAUAGAGAGAGAGGCAAGAGUUAACACCUGAAUUUGCUAGGUAUUUAGAAAGAAAUUUUAUACCCCCAAAUUUAGGGUGUUACAUUAGCUCCAAAGUCAUUCCUACGGGGAUGUAGAGCUAAAAUGCCACCUAAGUAAAAGGUGAAGAAGGUAUAUCUCAAAUUUAGGGUGAUACAUUAGCUCCAAAGUCGUUCCUCGGCUUCUCAUAGCCCAAAUAAAAAACUCCAACUUUAAUUAAGGCUUUGGGGGGUAAGCUGAUGAAGGUAUCAAAUGUCUUUAGCAUUUCGACCAACAUCUUGUGCAAGGGAAAACGAAGUCUAGCCUUCAUAAAACUUUUAAAUACUAUCACUUCAUAUGCUUCAGGAAGAGGAACAAUGCUUUCUCCUCUAGCCCUCACUAUGGAUAUAUCAUGGAAAUAUCUGCCCUUCAUCGCUUCAAUUUGCCCUUGUUUGACAGUUGAUUUCCCGAAAACAACAUGGCUUGGCCUCCACGGCCGAUCUUUGGCAUCUUCGUUCUCACUUUCAACAUCAAAGCUCUCGUUAUCACUGGAAUCCCAGAUAGUCCAGCUAACAUUUCAUCAGUGAUCUUCUCGACGUUGGUUCUCUCCAUGGUUUCGUAGAAACCAGCGAGCGCGGAGUCUACGCUUUUAUUAUCGACCAUUUCGGUGAUGAUCACAGCAGAAAGCCAAAGCUCAAAAAACAAUUGCGCUCACAGAAGAAGAAAGCUAAAACAACAAUCACAGCACAAAAGCUAGAUAGCACGAAAAAUAUUCUCAGCGCAAGCCCCUGUAUAUAUACACAAAAGCACCACUGAGCGGUGGGGCCCAUGAUACAGAAUGAUUCGCUAUGCUGCGAAGAGAAGAUGUUUUUUUGGACCUUCGGCUAAAGGCCUUCGUUCAUUUCGUGGUCUGAAUUUGUUACAAAGAAACAAACUAAUACUGUGAGGGGCUACUAUUGGGGGCCUUCCUCUUCCAAAGGUCCUCAAAAAACACAACUAAUCAUUUGUUUCUAGUGUACUAUUGAAUACUACAGGAGCUUCGUUGUAAAGGUUCAUGAUGGAAGUCUUCUUCUCUGCCGAAGGUCCUUAAGACGAAGACAUUGCCUGAAAAUGACAACAAUGAAUAUUGAAGCUAUAGCCGAAGAGCAUCAGCUUUGGCUUAAAGUGACGACGAAGAUCAAGCAUGAUGCCAAGCUGAAGAGGAAAAGACUAGUUAGUCCCUAAUGAUUUAUGUUACAAUUAUAAGUACAUGUAAAGGUCAUAAAAGUAUUUUUACUCGGGCUGCGUCCCAUGCCUGUAAAGAGGUGAACAAUAUCCCCGUACUGUUCACGCUGGAUUGUAAUUGUUCUCGCGUCAACACCUUUGAUCAAGCCGAAGAUAUUAAUGUAAUAUAUGUUCUGUUAAUGUUCAUGUACAUAUGUUAUGAAAUAAACAUAUGAAUGAAUGACAUAUAUUAUCUCCAUAAAUUUUUAUUCUCGUAAAAUGAUGAAGGUUUGUCCUGCAUGACCUUCGUCUGAAGAUCAUUAUAUCCAGAAGGAGAUAAUGCUUCGGAGGACGAAGGUCCUUAAUCUUUAACAACUGUGUUGCCUUGUUCUUAAUUCACAUCAUUUGAGAACAAGUGACCAAUAGAGUGUGAGCCUUCUUUUUGCCUUUUCUUUCAUCAUAGGCAAAAGCAUAUGGUCUUGAAGAAGUUGGCUCCUCUUGACGAACCAUUUUUCACGACAUCACAAAUGCCACAAUUUUCCCAAUCACAAUGGUCGGGGUACUCAAGUCCUCCAUGUUGUGAAGAAUAGUGAUGAUGCUCCCGUAUCUUUGUUGUGGUAGUAGGGAGAUAAUCUUCCUCACAAUGUCCGCAUCACCUAGCUUAUUAAUGCUAAUAGAGUUGAGUUCAUUGAUGAUUAGAUUCAAAUGAGAAUACAUGUCUCUAACAAGCUCAUUAUCCUUCAUAGCAAAAGAAUUAUACUCAUUUAAGACUAGGCAAUGUUUUGCUCAUGGACAUUGGAUGUGUCGUCAUGGAGCUCAUGCAAUCUUAGCCAAAUCUCAUUAGCAGUUUUUAAAGUAAAAACUUGAUUGAAAUAUCCAUGCUAAGAGAUUCAUACAAGCAAUUUUUGGCUCUAUCAUUUAAAUGAAUUUUUUUCCUCACUCGUGGUGGGUUUCUCGGGAUUUUUGGAUGGUUUCAUCUCGUCACGAGUGACUCUCCGAACACCUAGAGCAACGACCUCUAGGUAACAAGCCAUUCUAGCACUAUAAUAUGGGAAGUUAGUGACGUCGAAGUGUGGUGGCCUAUGAGUAUCCAUCCCCUUUCUCUAAAAAGUGUCGGCUCUUUUAGCGGUGAAGCUAAAGUGUUUCAAAUAAGCCAAAUCAGGCUCUGAUACCAAUUCAAGGAAAUAGGUGACGCCUAAGAGGAGGGGGUGAAUUUGGACUUCUGAAACUUUUUCUAAACUAGGCCACAAUUAAAUCCAUAGAGCAAAAUCAAUGCAAUUAAACAAUCUAGAAUGUGCAAAUUAGGUUAUGUCUAAGUGUUGCUAUCUCUGCCGCAAUGUCUAAGUUUCAAUCCUAAACAAUCUAAUUAUAAAGACAAGAUUGAAACUUAAAUGCUUAAUAUAAACACGAAAGCUAAAGGGCAAGGUAGAGUUGCAAACUCUCGUGGAUGACACUGUUAUUUUUACCAAGGUAUCUGGAACCAUGCAAGGUCCCGACUAAUCCUCGUUGGUGCCCCUACGCAAAGGGAAGCCCACGCGAGGGCCAAGCAUCACAGUCGAGUAACUCCGUACAGAGCCACAGGCCUUCUCCACGUGCAAGUGGUGCUCCGCUUCUGGCUCCUCUCGGACGCUCCUUGCCGUCUCCACUAUCGAGCUUCCGGCCGAAACACCGCGGGCCUCGUUCCCUUUGGUACACGGUGGCGGUCGUGACACAAAUGCGGUUGUCAUGGUCUCGCUAGACUCUCGACCCACUCGGUACAAUUACAAUGGCUCACGCAAGAGCCGAGGGAUCGUGUGAUUUUUUUAAACUCACUCAACUAACUAGAAUUCACUUAGAGCAAGCCCUAAAGUGGUCUAACUAAUCUAAGCACUUCGCAAAGCACCUACGCUAAUCAACGAGUGAUUCUAUUAAGCACUUGGGUGUAUGAGCACCUGGAAAUGUCUAUAUUAUGCCUUGGUAUGUUUCUUGGGCUCCCACACCUCCAAAUGGCCGGAUGGGGGUAUUUAUAGGCUCCCUCACACUUCUAACCGUUGGACACAAAGCAACUGCUUUCUAUCGACGGGCACACCGGACAGUUCGGUGCGCACCAGACAUAUAUUAUUCACUAUAAGGUGUCUGUCACGUCAGCCGACCGUUGGGGUCUGUAGCAGUCGACUGUUGGAUCCGACCGUUACCCAGACUGUCUAGUGCAUAAUGGACAGUCCGGUGCUACAACUCGAGAGCGCCCGUCGUGGGCCUCUCUGCACAGACUGUCUGGGUGUCCCAUCGGACAGUCUGGUGCGCCACGAGGGUGCUGGCUGACUGCCCACUUCAUGGAUUUCUUCGCUGAUUCUUUGGGAUUCUUUUGUUAUUGAGUCUUGGACUUCUAAGCUCUUUUUAUGUCUUCAUUUGAGGCGUUGCAUCCACAUUGUCUUAGUCCAAUCCUCUUCGCAUCCUAUGAACUAUAAACAUAAACACUAGCAAACACAUUAGUCCAUAGGUUAUGUUGAUCAUCAAACACCAAAACCUAUUGAACCAAAUGGUCCGGGGUCCAUUUUCCUUACAAAGCCCUCGAGCCCUACUCGCUCAAUGUCCCAGAUAUAUACCCUCUCCGCUGUAGAGGGCCCCAUCGAGUCAUCCGAACCUUCGGAUGACGAUGAGGGGGGCACCAGCGGCGGAGACUCUUCACUCUCAGAAGAAAAGUGCUCCUCCGAGUUAGACAUGAUCAUGGGCCACCCAACCUGACCAACCCGCUUGAAAAAACCCGACUCGACCCAGUCAAUGUAAUAGGUGGGUACGUGACGUAAUUUUUGACCCACAAUAAUUCACGGGCCGGGUACGGGCCAUGAUUUUUGACACAAGAUCCGACCCAACCCAAAAAACCGGACCCAAAGCCAAAAAACCCGACCCAACCCAAAAAACCUUAACCCGACACAUCAAACUGAGAGGCCCGAGUAAAAGUUCCCUUUGUCCAGGGACAUGAUCGAGAUGUCGCCUAGAGGGGGGUUAAUAGGCGAAUAAAAAUUAACACUUAAAAACUAGAAAUUCUUACUCUACUCGAAGACUGGAUCGCAGUGGAAUGAAAGACCCUUCGAGUAGAUUACAGCGAAAUUGAAAUUCUUGUCUUAAAAUACCAUGCAUUUUAAAGACAGCUUGUACCAAAUAUAAGUAUUGAAGUGCAAGUAUAAAAAGCAAAUAAGACAGAGAAACAACACACACCACAGAGCGGAGCACACAGACAUAGGGAUUUAUCCCGAGGUUUGACCAAGCCUGGAAAGCUUGCCUAGUCCUCAUUGGAGUUAGCCACACCUUGGCUUGGAGUCUAUUUCAACUACUUCCUCCGUUUGCUUAGAUCUGUCAGUGCGACAGAUAGAGCCUUCCACUAUGUUGAUAUCAGUUACAACGAUUUUGUGGCUGCUUACAAUCUUCUUGACAGCACUCCGGUAGAGUAACAAUGCGCUCAAGAUUUUGCUCUGGCUCUUAGCAGCACUUCCCCUCUCUCUAAAGGCUUAUAACUUCGCAUUUACACAAACUAGAGAGAUACACAAGAGAGGGAGAGAAAGAGUUGAUCCAAAUGAUGUAUGGGCAUGUUGGUUGCACUUGUACGCUUGUUGGAGGCACCUAGGGGUCCCUUUUAUAGUCCCAAGGGGUCUAGGAGCCGUUGGAGCUUCAUUUGGAAGCUCUCAGCCUUCCCUGUCUGCGGGUGCACCACCGGACAAUGCAUGGUAAUAGAUCUGAUUGGCAGUUUUCUUCUCUAAAAGGGCUAGCCGUUGCGGCACCGAACAUGUUACUAUUCAUUGUACUGUGUGCACCGAACAUGUUACUAUUCACUGGCAUGUGCACUGAACAAGCUACUAUUCACUAUCUUGUGCAUCGGGCAGCUUACUAUUCACUGUGUUGUGCACCGGACAUGUUAUUAUUCACUGUCCUGUGCACCGGACAGUUACUAUUCAUUGUCCUGUACACCAGCCAACAGCACACUAAGUGCUUUUUUCUCCAUUCUUUCUCCAUUUGACUUCAACUUUUGGGAGGAUUUUCCUAAGAUUUAAACAAACACAUUUAGAGUAUAAUCCAGUUGACUUAGUCCUAGAAAUUUACCUCAUUCCUGUUCUUCUCCCAACUUUUCUGUUUCUAAAAAUUGCCUAGAGGGGGGGUGUGAAUAGGGCGAAUCUGAAAUUUACAAACUUAAUCACAACUACAAGCCGGGUUAGCGUUAGUAAUAUAAUUGAGUCCGAGAGAGAGGGUGCAAAACAAAUCGCAAGCGAAUAAAGAGUGUGACACAUGGAUUUGUUUUACCGAGGUUCGGUUCUCGCAAACCUACUCCCCGUUGAGGUGGUCACAUAGACCGGGUCUCUUUCAACCCUUUCCCUCUCUCAAACGGUCCCUCAGACCGAGUGAUCUUCUUCUUCUCAAUCAAACGGGAACAAACUUCCCCGCAAGGACCACCACACAAUUGGUGUCUCUUGCCUUGGUUACAAUUGAGUUGUUCGCAAGAAAGAGUGAAAGAAAGAAGCAAUCCAAGCGCAAGAGCUCAAAAGAACACAACAAAUCUCUCUCACUAAUCACUAAUGCUUUGUGUGGAGUUGGGAGAGGAUUUGAUCACUUGGGUGUGUCUAGAAUUGAAUGCUAGAGCUCUUGUAAGUAGUUGGAAGGUGGAAAACUUGGAUGACUUGAAUGUGGGGUGGUUGGGGUAUUUAUAGCCCUAACCACCAAACUAGUCGUUUGGUGGAGGCUGCUGUCGCAUGGCGCACCGGACAGUCCGGUGCGCCAGCCACGUCACCCGGCUGUUAGAGUUCGACCGUUGGAGCUCUGGCUGGUGGGGUCGCCUGGCUGUCCGGUGGUGCACCGGACAGGUACUGUAGACUGUCCGGUGCGCCGUCUCGCGCGUGCCUGCCUUCUGCGCGCACUGGCGCGCAUUAAAUGCCUCUGCAGGUGACCGUUGGCGCUGAAGUAGUCGUUGCUCCCCUGUCACACCGGACAGUCCGGUGAAUUAUAGCGGAGUGCCCUUGGAAAUUCCCGAAGGUGAAGAGUUUGGCUUCGACCGCCCAGGUGCACCGGACACUGUCCGGUGGCGCACCGGACAGUCCGGUGCGCCAGACCAGGGUGCCUUCCGGGUUGUCUUUUGCUCUAUUGUUUGAACCCUUUUCUUGGUCUUUUUAUUGGCUUAUUUUGAACCUUUGGCACCUGUAGAACUUAUAGACUAGAGCAAACUAGUUAGUCCAAUUAUUUGUGUUGGGCAAUUCAACCACCAAAAUCAAUUAGGAAAUAGGUGUAAGCCUAAUUCCCUUUCAAUCUCCCCCUUUUUGGUGAUUGAUGCCAACACAAGCCAAAGCAAGUAUAGAAGUGCAUAAUUGAACUAGUUUGCAUAAAGUGAGUGCAAAGGUUACUUAGAAUUGAGCCAAUAUAAAUUCUCAUAAGAUAUGCAUGGAUUGUUUCUUUAUUUUUAACAUUUUGGACCACGCUUGCACCACAUGUUUUGUUUUUGCAAAUUCUUUUGUAAAUUCUUUUCAAAGCCCUUUUUGCAAAUAGUCAAAGGUAAAUGAAUAAGAUUUUGGGAAGCAUUUUCAAGGUUUGAAAUUUUCUCCCCUUGUUUCAAAUGCUUUUCCUUUGACUUAAACAAAAUUCCCCCUCAAUAAAUUCCUCCUCUUAGUGUUCAAGAGGGUUUUGAUGUUAAUUUUGAAGAGGGUAUACCAAUUUGAAAAUACUUCUUUAAAACCAAAUUGAAGGACUAAACUUUUGAAAUUGGUGGUGGUGUGGUCCUUUUGCUUUGGGCUCAUGCUUUCUCCCCCUUUGGCAUAAAUCGCCAAAAACGGAAUCAUUAGAGCCCUUUUGAACUACUUUCUCCCCCUUUGGUAAAUAGCAUGUGAGUGAAGAUUAUACCAAAGACGAAGAGUUGCUCAGAGCGACGGCGAAGGAUGAGUUAUGAGUGGAGUGGAAGCCUUUGUCUUCGCCGAAGACUCCAAUUCCCUUUCAAUACACCUAUGACUUGGUUUGAAAUUUACUUGAAAACACAUUAGUCAUAGCACAUGAAAGAGAGAUGAUCAAAAAGUAUAUUUAUGAGUUAUGUAUGCAAGACAUCAAAAGAAAUUCCUAGAAUCAAGAAUAUUUAGCUCAUGCCUAAGUUUGUUAAAGGUUUGUUCAUCAAGUGGCUUGGUAAAGAUAUUGGCUAAUUGAUCUUUAGUGUUAAUAUAUGCAAUCUCGAUAUCUCCCUUUUCUUGGUGAUCCCUUAGAAAAUGAAAUCGAAUGGCUAUGUGUUUAGUGCGGCUAUGUUCAACAGGAUUAUCCGCCAUGCGGAUUGCACUCUCAUUAUAACAUAGAAGAGAAACUUUGGUUAAUUUGUAACCGUAGUCCCUAAGGGUUUGCCUCAUCCAAAGUAGUUGCGCGCAACAAUGACCUGCGGCAAUGUACUCGGCUUCGGCGGUAGAAAGAGCUACGGAAUUUUGCUUCUUUGAAGCCCAAGACACCAAGGAUCUUCCCAAGAACUGGCAAGUCCCCGAUGUGCUCUUUCUAUGAAUUUUACACCCCGCCCAAUCGGCAUCCGAAUAACCAAUCAAAUCAAAAGUGGAUCCCCUAGGAUACCAAAGCCCAAACUUAGGAGUAUGAACUAAAUAUCUCAAGAUUCGUUUUACGGCCGUAAGGUGAGCUUCCUUAGGGUCGGCUUGGAAUCUUGCACACAUGCAUACGGAAAGCAUAAUGUCCGGUCGAGAUGCACAUAGAUAGAGUAAAGAGCCUAUCAUCGACCGGUAUACCUUUUGAUCGACGGAUUUACCUUUCGUGUAGAGGUCGAGAUGCCCAUUGGUUCCUAUGGGUGUCUUGAUGGGCUUGGCAUCCUUCAUCCCAAACUUGUUUAGAAUGUCUUGAAUAUACUUCGUUUGGCUAAUCAAGGUGCCCUCUUGGAGUUGCUUCACUUGAAAUCCCAAGAAAUACUUCAACUCCCCCAUCAUCGACAUCUCGAAUUUCUUUGUCAUGAUCCUACUAAAUUCCUCACAUGUAGAUUCGUUAGUAGACCCAAAUAUGAUAUCAUCAACAUAAAUUUGGCAUACAAACAAAUCGUUCUCAAGAGUUUUAGUAAAUAAAGUAGGAUCGGCUUUUCUGACUUUGAAGCCAUUAGUGAUAAGAAAAUCUCUAAGGCAUUCAUACCAUGCUCUUGGGGCUUGCUUGAGCCCAUAAAGCGCCUUAGAGAGUUUAUACACAUGAUUAGGAUACUCACUAUCUUCAAAGCCGGGAGGUUGCUCAACAUAGACCUCUUCCUUGAUUGGUCCGUUGAGGAAGGCACUUUUCACGUCCAUUUGGUAAAGCUUAAAGCCAUGGUAAGUAGCAUAGGCAAGUAAUAUGCGAAUUGACUCAAGCCUAGCUACUGGUGCAUAGGUUUCACCGAAAUCCAAACCUUCGACUUGGGAGUAUCCUUUGGCCACAAGUCGGGCUUUGUUCCUUGUCACCACACCAUGCUCGUCUUGCUUGUUGCGAAAAACCCAUUUGGUUCCUACAACAUUUUGGUUAGGAUGUGGAACCAAAUGUCAUACCUCAUUCCUAGUGAAGUUGUUGAGCUCCUCCUGCAUCGCCACCACCCAAUCCGAAUCUUGUAGUGCUUCCUCUACCCUGUGUGGCUCAAUAGAGGAAACAAAAGAGUAAUGCUCACAAAAAUGUGCAACACGAGAUCUAGUGGUUACCCCCUUAUGAAUGUCGCCGAGGAUGGUGUUGACGGGGUGAUCUCGUUGUAUUGCUUGGUGGACUCUUGGGUGUGGCGGUUUUGGUUCUUCAUCCUCCUUGUCUUGAUCAUUUGUAUCUCCCCCUUGAUCAUUGUCGUUAUCUUGAGGUGGCUCAUCAUUUUGAUCUUCUUCUUCAUCAACUUGAGCCUCAUCCUCAUUUUGAGUUGGUGGAGAUGCUUGCGUGGAGGAGGAUGGUUGAUCUUGUGCAUUUGGAGGCUCUUCGGAUUCCUUAGGACACACAUCCCCAAUGGACAUGUUCCUUAGAGCGAUGCACGGAGCCUCUUCAUCACCUAUCUCAUCAAGAUCAACUUGCUCUACUUGAGAGCCGUUAGUCUCAUCAAACACAACGUCACAAGAAACUUCAACUUGUCUAGAGGACUUGUUAAAGACUCUAUAUGCCCUUGUGUUUGAAUCAUAUCCUAGUAAAAAGCCUUCUACAGUCUUAGGAGCAAAUUUAGGUUUUCUACCUCUUUUAACAAGAAUAAAGCAUUUGCUACCAAAGACUCUAAAAUAUGAAAUAUUUGGCUUUUUACCGGUUAGGAGUUCGUAUGAUGUCUUCUUGAGGAUUCGGUGUAGAUACAACCGGUUGAUGGCGUAGCAGGCGGUGUUGACCGCCUCGGCCCAAAACCGAUCCGACGUCUUGUCACUACAACUUUUUAUGCCUUCUAUGACGAAUAUACAAUGACACUAAGCAAAUUUGUCAUAAAUUAGUUGUGUUUAUGACGUUUUCUAUGAGAUGAUCUGAUCUAGUGACAAAAAAAAUUCUUGCGUCAUUAAAAUCCAUUAAAAUCGUCAUUGUUUGAAAUGGAUGCAACUUUGUGACGAUAUGUUAUGACAAUAUACGUUGGUCAUAUGAGUAAAUCAUCAUAACUCCCUUUUUUACUGAGAGCUCUGGGACCCUGACAAUAUUAGGCGACUUUGGUAUUUUGUCAUAGUUUUAUAAAUUAUUUAAUAUGAAAAAUAGUUCUCCCCACAUUCUAAAAUAUAAUUCAUUUUUGAUCAUCAUAACUCCCUUUUUUACUUUGAGCUCGGGGACCCUGACAAUAUUAGGCGACAUUUGGUAUUUUGUCAUAGUUUUAUAAAUUAUUUAAUAUGAAAAAUAGUCCUCCCCACAUUCUAAAAUAUAAUUCAUUUUCGAUUAAUUUUUUUCAAUAAUUAACUUUUUGAAUGUAGUUUGUAUACAUGUAUACGAAUAAAUUUGAACAAAAAGGCGUUAGAAAGAAGUAUAUUUAUCACUAGCCCCAUUGAUUACAUGGCAUGAGUUGGUUUAAAAGGUAAUUUUAGACCGGCUAAUAUUUAGUUUACAUGGCAUUAUUUUUUAUGGCUCGCUACUUUCUGGUUAAAAUUAGUAGGAAAAAGGAAGAAACACUUGCUAGUUACUGUUGCAUUUGAUAAAAAAAGAAAUACUUGCUUUUUUGCACUUUUAAUUUGUAAAAAAAACUAAUGCAAACUUCUGGAUAGAACCUGAGAUCUGAUAGUUCCCUUCAUUCAUCUCUUCCACUAGACCAUUUGAGUGGCUACGAAUAAAAUAGCAUCUCUUUAUAUACAUAUACAUUUGAACUGCAAAAUAAAAUAAAAGUGACGGACUCGAACUCAACCUCUGCAGGUCCGAUUAGAGCCAAAGCCCCGGCUGCUUCUGUUGGCUGCGGCGCCGGUGCCGACGUCGGCGGGAGACCUGUACAUCUACUACGACUGGGAGGUCUCCUACAUCUCAGCGCAGCCCCUUGGUGUUAACAGAAGGUGUUGCUCGUCCCUCCCCUCUCAUCCCUUGCAUUCCUGCAACAGCGGCUCGACCUUGACAUCGGCGGUUGCAAUAGGUGAUUGGCAUCAAUGGCUAGUGAUAAUAUUAUUUAUUUUAUGUCUUGAUUUCAUUCAAUGUCAUAGAAAAGUAAUCACUUGUCAAUUCAUUGUUUUUUGUCCAUGAUGCUACAUAAUAGUAAUCGCUGGGACUUAAAUUAGAUUUCUGAUCAUGUGCGCCAAGAUUAAUUCAACAAACUCAUGGUAAUUCCUGCUUCAAGAUGUAUUUUGGAUACUUUUGUCCUUCCAAAUUUGUUAUCCUCCAUUUAAGUAAAACAUAUACAUGAUACCUCAUUGCUCUGUUGCGUUGCACUAACGCUGUUUUAGAGUCUGAGGAUGCCUUGGUGGCUAUGGUAUGUCAUAGGGUUUGUUGAUAAUUAGUAUUUGUAUAGUUAAAUAUAUUCAUAAUUGUUUAUUUUUGCAAACAGUGUUAAUGAGUAAUAGUUGAGUUAUUGAGAGUGAGAUAAUCUAAUAAAUGUUGUAUCAUUUAAAUGUAUGGCAGAUGGACAGGUCUUGGAUCAAUACUAGGCUUUUCAGCAAGCGAUAUCUAGCCGGGGUGGAUGAGUUCAUGAAGUUUAUAGAAGAGCGAUUUACUGAAACUGAGGAGAUCCUAUGUCCAUGUCGAAAGUGCUUGAAUCAACUUUAUAAAAAUAAAUCACAAGUAGAGAAUCACUUAUAUAUUAAUGGGAUGGCGAGCACAUACACAACAUGGAUACAUCAUUGGGAGCCACUAUUGAAUGCCAGAUUAAAUGAAAAUGUUGACCAUAUAGAUGAACAACAUAGCUUCAAUGAGGAUGCUUGUAUGAAUGAGUUUGAACAAGAUAACCUUGAUGAUAGAUUACUGGAAAUGGUGCAUGAGUUGUUCACAUCUGAAGAAGGUGCACAAAAGUCUAUGUUUGCAGUUGUUUUAGACGAGAUGAAGCAGACGAUUCACCCAGGUUCACCAUUCACAAAAUUUUCUUUUGUGGUUAGGUUACUUCAUAUCAAGUCAUUUUAUCGGAUAAGCAAUGUGGCGUUCACUGGAAUUUUGAAGUUGUUAUCAUUGUCGUUCCCACAAUGUUGCCUUCCUGCAUCUUAUAAUGAAGCAAAGGAACUUAUUCGUGUAUUGGGACUUGGUUAUGAGUCAAUCCAUGUGUGUCCAAAUAAUUGUGUUUUGUUUCAGAAGGAUUAUGCAGAAAAAGAUGAAUGCCCAGUGUGUGGAGAAUCUAGAUGGAAAGAUGGUGAAGGUAAAAGUAAGAGUCCUCGGAAGGUACUGCGACAUUUUCCGUUGAUUCCUAGGUUGAAAAGAAUGUUUUCCUCAAAAAAAAUAUCUGAGGAUGCACAAUGGCACAAGUUGAAGAGGAAAGUUGAGGAAAAUGAGCUUAACCAUCCAGCGGAUGGUAAGGCAUGGAAGGACUUUGAUAAGCAACACAAUUGGUUUGCAGAAGAUCCAAGGAAUAUCAGGCUUGGUCUUGCAACAGAUGGUUUCAAUCCAUUUGGGAAAAUGAGCUCCUCUUAUAGUAUGUGGCCUGUUUUUGUUAUCCCUUACAACUUUCCUCCAUGGGUAUGUGUCGAGCAAUCAAACUUCAUGAUGUGUAUACUCAUCCCAGGCAAAGAAUGCCCUGGAAAGGAUUUUGAUGUCUUUUUAGAGCCACUAAUUGACGAGUUGCUAGAUCUCUGGUUAGGCGUCAAUACUAUUGAUGCAAGAGUUGGUAAAGAGUUCAUUCUACAUGCUGCAGUGCUAUGGUGCAUCCAUGAUUAUCCAGCUCUGAGCACGUUGUCAGGUAGAGUCACCAGAGGGUAUUAUGCAUGUUUGCAUUGCGACAAAAAUCCCUGCUCUAGAAGAAUACGAAAUAAGAUCUGCUAUAUAGAGCAUCGACGAUUCCUUGGAAAGGACCAUCCAUGGAGAAAGAAGAAAGACUUUGAUGGGAAAGUUGAAACUCGUGACAAGCCAGAGGCAUUUAGUGAAGCUGAGUUGAAGCAGCAAUUGGACAGGGUCAAGGAUGUUAGACCAGGAAAGCAUCCUCAAAACAAGAAGAGAAAGCGGGAUGCAAAUGAUGGCCAAUGUUGGAAGAAAAGGUCAUGUUUGUGGGAUUUGCCUUACUGGGUAGGUUUGAAACUGCGGCAUAACCUUGAUGUGAUGCACAUCGAAAAAAAUAUAUGUGAGUCAAUUCUUGGUACAUUAUUAGGUAUUCCCGGGAAAUCAAAGGGUAGUGUUAAUGCUAGGCUUUAUAUGGAAGACAUGGGUAUAAGAAAAUCUUUGCACUUGAAGCGUGAUGGAGAUUCAUAUAACGCUCCUCCUGCUCCAUACACAAUGGAUAAAAACAGAAGCUUGCUUUCUAUGACUUUAUAAGAAGUGUAAAGUUUCCAGAUGGAUAUGCUUAGAACCUAGCAACAUGCAUUACUACUGAUGGAUGCAACCUCCAAGGGUUAAAAACUCAUGAUUGCCAUAUAAUAUUGCAACGGAUUUUUUACCUGUCGCUCUACGAGGAAUCAUGGAUAAUGACAUGUACAUAGCAAUUGCUGAUCUAGGUAACUUCUUUCAGCAAUUAUGUGCUAGGACAUUAAAGUUAAGUGUUUUGCAUAGAAUGAAAUCUAAAAUCCCAAUUGUUCUAUGCAAGCUUGAAAAAAUAUUUCCUCCUGCAUUUUUUGAUGUCAUGGUCCACUUAACUGUCCAUUUAGCUGAUGAAGCUAUCCUGAGAGGACCAGUGCAAUAUGGUUGGAUGUACCCAGUCGAAAGACGGUUAUAUACUUUGAAGCAUUCUGUGAGGAACAUGGCACGACCUGAAGGCUCAAUUGCUGAAGCAUAUGUUGUUGAUGAAUGCUUGAUUGCUUGUUCGCGGUAUUUUGAUGAUCUCGACACACGGCAUAAUCGGGAGGGCAGGAACAGAGAGCGUGUUGAUAUGAGCAAGGGUGAUUUAUCUGUUUUCCAACAUGGAGUCGAUUUACUCAGAGCUCAUACGGUUACAUACCAAGAAAAUAUAUAUGACAAGAUGGUUUGGUAUGUGUUAAACAAUUGUCCGGAGGUUGAACAAUAUAUAGAGUACGUCUUCCUAUCUACAAUUUCUACAAUUUCACUUCUGGUGUCUACAAAACCUACUAAUUUUAUGAGCUAAUUGUCUAUUCAAAAAUGCUUUGCAGGUUAUACAGAAAGGAGCUAGAGAACGAAGGAAAUCAAGAUAUUGAAAAAACCAUUGAGAAACAAUUUGCUAUCUGGUUUAAGAACCAUGUGAGUUGUUGUUGCAUAUUGUCUUUAACCAUUUUUAGUGGUUCAAGAUGUUUUAACUAUCUUGGGGAAUUAUGUGUACAGAUUGCAACUCUACGGUUUGUGAAUGGCGAAGAUGUAAGUGAUGACUUAUACGCUUUGUCAUGUCAACCAGAUCUGCGUAUAAGAAUAUUUUCAGCAUGUAUUGUUGGUGGUGUACGCUUCCACACUACACUACACAUCCUAGUUCAACAGCUACCACAAACCAAGAAUCCACCCAAAACAUUACUUCUGCAACACAAUUUACUUCAAGUGCAGCCGCUGAACAAAAUUACACCCAAGGCAUGACUGCUGCUGCACAAGCUAAUUCUCCCAUACAAGCUGACAUCAGCGACCACAUUGCAGAUGAAGGCAAGUGAUUAUUUAUAUAUGUAAUUUCAAUUCGAUUGUUAUUCAAUAAAUUUAUUAGUUUAUCCUAGGCUAGUGAACCUGCAUAAGUAAUUCAAGUUGUAAGUAUAUGUCCAAUUAUUUUUUAGAUUUGGCACUAAAUUGCUUUUUACUCACUCCAAUAACUAGAAUUGGUACCAAGGCAAAGAAGUAUGGGCAAACAACUUGAAUCCUUGAGCAGAGGGUUAGGCACUAAGAUUCCAAUCCAAAUUUAUGAUGGAAAGCGAAGGCCAGAACCCCCUAUUCAGGCCGCAAAGUUUGCAUCAGAGGGUGGGAUCAUACUCAGGCAACAUAUUCCAAUAUUUCCACACUGGAAGGAGUACAAGAAGCAAGAGAACGAGGGUAAAAUUACAGACUAUAUUGGCAAGCUUGCUGUAAGUCAAUAUUUGCAUCACUUGUUCAAUUACAGUAUAUUGUCCUUUUCAAUCAAGUAUUCUAAAGUCACCACUUUUUACUAGGGUCAAUUCACCAUGGAUGUGGACAGUAAGGCAGUCAAAGAUGCAUGUGUUGAUAUGAUAAAAGGAGGGCAGCGCCAGAUGAGGUAUAGGCUAAAAAGGAAGUACUUCACCGGGGUUCCUGCAAAUCAAGUGAGGACUACAUCGCCUGUUCCAUGUAUGACUGAUGACCAAUGGAAAGAUUUGGUACAAAUGUGGUCUACCCCAAACCACAAGGUAUUUGUGAUCAAGCUCCAUUUCAUCCCUCAACAUAAUUAACUUUUUCAUCCUUUUCCAAGUGAUGUAUGUGUUGAUAGUAUUGUGCUUCCUAAAGUCGCAUACAUAAACUUAGCUAGGAGUGAAAGACUCAAUGAUGAAUUAUAGUUCGGUUAAGAAAAUGGAUGAGAUUGUGCAAUCAUCAUAAAUAGUUUCACAAUAUAAUUAAUUAUAUAUAUUUCUCUACCUUACAGUUUCAUUUUACACGCAGAACAAUUGUGUCAAGAACAAACUUAAUCGUGAGAAGGUGCAAUUUCCACAGUGCAUAGGAUCUCAAUCCUACAUUGCAAAAUCCUAUGUAGUGGUAAGAAAUUGUUAUGUGUGGAUGAACUCGUUGCUUGUCAAAUUCUUGGUUAAUGUAUGAAUGGGUACUGCUACUACCUACCAACACGGUCACCUUAAUAUCUCUAAUAUUUAGACUACAUCAUUGCUUUUUUAACGUAUGCACUACUUCUUCUUGGUUGUUUUUUAUUUUCAACAACCAUUUUGUGUAUUUACAAUUCCUAACUAGAGUACGGUCUUUAAAAUACAUAUGAUGCCUUCAAAUAUAAUUGUUUUUGCUAGCAGAUCUUGUGCUUUGACUGAGUUAAUUGCUUAUUCAGUUGAUUAUAUAGUCAUGUUAACCGCAUAAAUGACUCGAUACACAUUAAAUCAUCACCAAAUUCUAGAAUAAAACAUGUAGAGUUGUACCACAAUAGCUAGAAAUAUGCAGUCUCAGGUUCCCAUCUUUGAACUCCUAGUCAGAUAGCUGAAGGUCAUGUACAUAAAAGAACGUUGAGGUUGGGGAGAGUUCGAUUUCAAAAGAUGUAACUGCAGUGAACCUCUGACUAACCUGUAGUGAUUACAGUGCUCCUACAAGCCUUCAGAUGCUUGUAGCAGCAGCUACAUCUGCUGCAACUAGUUGCUUGGAAGCUUUUUAUUGAAACUAUUUUGGCCGCAUCUAAUUUUUUUAUAUUGAGCUUGCUACACAGUAAUUGCUGAUUUAGGUACUGCUAAGCAGCUGAGCUACAUCUGCUGUAACCAGUUGCUUGGAAGCUAUUCACUCUAAUUGUUUUGGCUGCAUAUCUAAUUUUUUUAUAUUGGGCCAGUUGUGCAGCUAUUGCUGCAUCAGGUACUGCUGAGCAGCUAGAUUAUGUAGUAGCAGCCACAGUUGGUGAAAAAAGCACAAGCAAGCAGAAUUUAAAGCUAAAAUGAUGCACAAUAGUUAGAACCUAUAAAAACUACAUACCCAGUUCAGUUCUUAAUAUGUCUACAUGUUGUUACAAUUCAAUAAUCUAAAUCUCAACCUGUAGCUUCUGUUUUGAUCAACCAUGCUCACCAAAUUUAUUUGACAUCAUUUUAGAGGCAAGAAAAAUAUAAAGAUAUGGAACCUAGUGCAAUUGAUCUUUUCAAGGAGAUGCAUUGCAGCAAGAAGAAAGGAUUUAGUGAGGCCGUUCAGAAAGCUAUAGUAAGUACAUGUUUUCUCUCUUUGUUACCAGUCUCCAACAUGAAUUCUAAUAUAUUAAGUUUCAAUAUUUAUGUUAGGGUGAUAUGGAAGCAAUGGUGGCAACACCAGUUGAAGAUGGACAGCAUGUGCUGUCUUCGACAGAAGUUGUUUCCAAUGUGCUACCGGGUUCAAGUAAAUUUCUUCACAAUGCUGGCCUUUUACCUGCCUCCAAGAGAAGCAAUACAAGGACUAUCUCGACAAGGAUGCAAGAGCUUCAGACUCAAUUGGACACUGAGAGGCAAGAAAAAAAUGGAUUUCGAGAAGAAAUGGAAACCUUAAAGGCCCAGUCACAAGCAUCUGAGGCAACCAUUGCUAAUCAAUCGACUGAGAUUGCAGAUUUGAAGAAGUCCUUAUCAGAAAAUAACAGUCUCCUUCGACAAAUAUUAAGCAUCAAUCGUGGCCAGAUGACUCCUCCUUAAGUAUGCUUGCUAGGGUGUUGGUGUCAACCAUCCUGAAGAUCGAUCUCACAAAACUUUAGACCUCAUUUUAUCCUUAUGCUUGCUGUAGAAAUUAAUAGGAACUACAACUUGUUCUAUUGUUCACUUGUUAUAGAGGAUUAUGAAUCAUGUUUAAUGUUAAAAGCUUAUGUGUUGGAUGCAUUAUGCUUGAAAUAUAUGUGGAUAUUGUUACUUUGGAUGUUUGUAAAAAAUAUGUGCAUUAUGUGUUGGAUGGUUUUGGGCAUCAAGCAUUAGUGACGAAUCAAAAUGUCAGAAUGUGAUUGCCACAUCAGGUGCUCUGUCACUGUUUUUAUGACAAAAUAUUCGUCAUAGUUUAUUUGACAUGUCAGCUGCCAUGUCAUCUGCCACCUCAUUCAUCUUAUGACAAAACAUAUUGUCACAAAGUUGUUGCCACAUCAGCACCCACGUAAGCUCAUUUAUGACGAAUAUAUUCGUCAUAAAAAUGUGCCACGUCACUUGCCACGUCAUUUAGCCAUAUCAUCAGACAUGUGGCAACCGGUCUCAUGGUACAAUUAGUGACGUUUUUGCUCCACAUUUAUGACAAAUUGGAGUGUCAUAGAUUUAAUGACGAACUUUAAGGUCGUCACUAAAUUUAUGACGUUUUUAAACCAUUUGUCACAAAGGUUGCUUUAACAUGGAGCUUCUGUGACGAUAGCAGUUUUGUCAUAAAGACGUCACAACUGAGCAAACUAUGACAAAAAAACCACUGUUUGUGACGUAAUACAAAUGUCAUAGAAGGUAACAUGUGUUGUAGUGUGUACUCAUCAAGCAUGGUUCUUGUCAUGUCCAAUAGAGUUCUAUUCUUCCUCUCCACUACACCAUUUUGUUGUGGUGUGUAGGGAGAAGAGAACUCAUGCUUGAUUCCCUCCUCCUCAAGGAAGCCUUCAAUUUGAGAGUUCUUGAACUCCGUCCCGUUGUCGCUUCUAAUUUUCUUGAUCCUUAAGCCGAACUCAUUUUGAGCCCGUCUCAAGAAUCCCUUUAAUGUCUCUUGGGUAUGAUAUUUUUCCUGUAAAAAGAACACCCAAGUGAAGCGAGAAUAAUCAUCCACUAUAACUAGACAGUACUUACUCCCGCCGAUGCUUAUAUAAGCUAUCGGGCCGAAUAGGUCCAUGUGUAGGAGUUCCAGUGGCCUGUCAGUCGUCAUGAUGUUCUUGUGUGGAUGAUGAAUACCAACUUGCUUCCCUGCUUGGCAUGCGCUACAAAUCAUGUCUUUCUCAAAAUGAACAUUUGUUAAUCCUAAAAUGUGCUCUCCCUUUAGAAGCUUAUGAAGAUUCUUCAUCCCAACAUGGGCUAGUCGGCGGUGCCAGAGCCAACCCAUGUUAGUCUUAGCAAUUAAGCAGGUGUCGAGUUCAGCUCUAUCAAAAUCUACCAAGUAUAGCUGACCCUCUAACACUCCCUUAAAUGCUAUUGAAUCAUCACUUCUUCUAAAGACAUUGACACCUACAUCAGUAAAAAGACAGUUGUAGCCCAUUUGACAUAAUUGAGAUACAGAAAGCAAAUUGUAAUCUAAAGAAUCUACAAGAAAAACAUUGGAAAUGGAAUGGUCAGGUGAUAUAGCAAUUUUACCCAAACCUUUGACCAAACCUUGGUUUCCAUCCUCGAAUGUGAUAGCUCGUUAGGGAUCUUGGUUUUUCUCGUAGGAGGAGAACAUUUUCUUCUCCCCUAUCAUGUGGUUUGUGCACCCGCUAUCGAUGAUCCAACUUGAGCCCCCGGAUGCAUAAACCUACAAAACAAGUUUAGUUCUUGACUUUAGGUACCCAAAUGGUUUUGGGUCCUUUGGCAUUAGACACAAGAACUUUGGGUACCCAAACACAAGUUUUUGACCCCUUGUGCUUGCCCCCAACAUACUUGGCAACUACCUUGCCUGAUUUGUUGGUUAGCACAUAUGAAGCAUCAAAAGUUUUAAAUGAAAUGCUAUGGUCAUUUGAUGCACUAGGAGUUUUCUUCUUAGGCAACUUAGCACGGUUUGGUUGCCUAGAACUAGAUGUCUCACCCUUAUACAUAAAAGCAUGAUUAGGGCCAGAGUGAGACUUCCUAGAGUGAAUUCUCCUAAUUUUGUCCUCAAGAUAACCGGCAGGGUAUAAAAUGUAACCCUCGUUAUCCUGAGGCAUGGGAGCCUUGCCCUUAACAAAGUUUGUCAAUCUUUUAGGAGGGGCAUUAAGUUUGACAUUGUCCCUGUUUUGGAAGCCAAUGCCAUCCUUGAUCCCUGGGCGUCUCCCACUAUAGAGCAUGCUUCUAGCAAAUUUAAACUUUUCAUUUUCUAAGUCAUGCUCAUUUAUUUUAGCAUUAAGUUGAGCUAUGUGAUCAUUUUGUUUCUUAAUUAAAGCUAGGUGUGUAACACCCCAGGUGUUACCAAGGUGUUGGCUUCCUAAUGGCACAUCUACCUAUUAUCACAUGUGGGUAAAACUUGAAGGAGAGGGAGCACUUAAGACCUUGGAAGCUUGAGUGAGUUAAGAAAUUCCAAGGACCAAAGCACUACCCAAGCUUUUAGGUAAUAUCACCUUGGGCAAGGUAGGAUUGAACCUUGGGCCCCCUCUCUUGAAGCCUUUAGUUGAGAGAAAGAUUAGGCAAAUGCACAUUCCAUGAUUUAAACCCUUAACCGAAGUUUAAGAGUACCAAAAUGUUUACAAAAGACAGCAAAGGAACUUUACAAAAAGACCCCUAAAAGACCCCUAAAUCAGCCCCAAGUGGAGAACACUAUGGAAUCACCCCCAUUCCCUUUAAGUCCCAAAAUCAGCCCUAAUCUAGAGAUCAGGGGUGUUCACCCAGCUAAUGACACCAAAACCCCAGGGUCUAAAUAACAAAAAGGAGCCAAAUUACCUAAGGAACCCCCUAGAAGAGUUUGAACCCAAGCCAAGACCGUUUGACACGGGUUGGCACCUGUUUUUUCUCGGGUUGAACAGUGCAGACAGACAAGACUUGGCGCCACCAUAUCUUCUAAACCAGAUCCAAUCUUCCCUUGGAACUUACAUGAACUAGGUAGCCCUAGGUGCAGGGAAGAAAUCUUACACAAGCCAUAGGGCAAGAUUCGCACGUUUGGCUGCUCAGCAGGCGCAAGAACAAGGGUAGAAAGCAACGUCCACGUGUUCGACGCGCUCUGGGCUCGCCAGAGCACGCCCGAUGCGCGCCCCGCGUGCCCCGCGUCGCGCCAAAGUCCAGCCGGCGCCAUGGCCCAUGCCCGCGCCUAUAAAGCACCCAGGGACCUUGACCGUACCCCUCCGCACGCGCUCGACCUCACCGGAGCCCAAACCCACCGGCGUUUGCCCGUGCACGGCGUGCCCGCGGCCGCCCGAAACCCCGCCACCCUAGACCGGCCAACAAGACCCUUCCCAACCCCGUCCAGCCCUCGGAGAAGACUGUGCACACCUCGGUGAAGCUCCCCGAGCGAGGAAUCGGAGUUUGCUUCGCCGGAGAGGCCAGUCCACGGUCGCCGGACUCCACCCGACCGCCGGCGAGCGUAGACCGGGUAAUCCUCUGCUCCAUUCUUCGAUUCCUUGUGCACACAGCCUCUACGUCACCCCGUGAAACUCACUGUGCCAUUGGAUUGAACUAGGUCGCCGUGGUUUGGCCGGAGCACCCGCCGCCGACGAGAGCACCCGCCUGCGCACGUGGACCGGACGAUUCCGGCCACCCCCGUCGUCGAGUCGUACACCGUUGUGACCGCCAGGACCUCCCGGAGCCAACCCCGCCCCUCGCCGGACCUCUCUCACCGCCGGUAAGUCGCGCCGCCCUUUUCUUUCUUGCGGGUACUGUUUAAACCUAGGGAGGGACCGCGGGGGAGAAGAAGAGAAGGCUAGGGGGUUUUGCGCAAUGUCAGAGACUCAGAGGAAUAGUAGCGCGGGGGUAUAACUGAGAGAGUUAGUUUGGAAAGAACCCGAGGACUUCGGUGCAAAGUGGUUUUCCAGGAAACCUUUUAUUAAAUCUGAUUUAAAAUUUAAACAUAACUUGAAUAAUUCAUAUCUUCUGUUUUAUUCGUCCAAAUUGAGUCAAACCAAUUUUGCCAGAUCUUAAAUAAUAUAUACUACUUAAGAAAAAUAUAAAACCCCUAAAUGUUACAGAAAACUUCACGGUUCUGAUUUAAAUAUUGAUUUGGCCAAAAGCUAAAUGAUAGGAAGAAAAAUAGUUGCACUAUUUAACUGAGGUUAAGAAAAUUUGGAGAAGUACAUGACCACCCACUGACCUAAUUAAAAAUGAUAAACCCCUCUGUCCACCCCAUUAAGGUAGAGUUUGCCAUUUAUUUUACAUUGUGCUUAAAGUUAAAGAAAAUAGGAAAGGUAAAUUAAAUAAAGAAUCAGGGAGCUCCCAUAUUUUUGUUAGUAUACUUAUUCAGUGUAGUUUACUAGAAAAAUUUAUUAUACCCUGGUUUAGUAUAAAAUAAAUUGGAUACCUUUUAUUUUAAGAAAAUAAGGAAAACUUAGAAAAACCCUAGAAAAAUAACCUCAAGGUGAAAACACCCCAACCCUUGUGAUAAUUAAUGUUUUGUUAUAAAGAACAUAGGAAAAAUAUGAAAUCUGCUGUUUGACAUUUUUCAAAUAAUAAGGCAAUAGAAGGUGCCUUUUUGGCAUUAAACUUUGGAAAAUCACAACUAAAUAACCAUCCCUUAGCUUUCUGUGAUUUUUGGCACAGAAGCUUAUUAUUACUGUCAAAUGCCAACAAAAAUAACCCUUAGGACAGAACCCACCCCUAGUUAAGAGUUGUAGUACAAAGUGGCCCAUUUACAUAACUUUUGUUAUUUUUGUCUAAAGCAUAGCCUUUUUAUUUUGAACCCCAAAUUCCUAGAACAGGCUAUAGUGACCAAUGGCAACCCACUGUAAUUUUUACAGAAUUUUUGGAAAAAGUUAAACCACUGUUGUAGUUCAAACCCCCACUAGAAUUCAUAAUUAGAAAAUGAAAAAGGAGAAAUUGAUAAUAGAAACUUGUGUCACCUAGCCCAACUAGCAAAACUCUUUUUAAAUUGCCCACUGAAAUAUGUAAGGGAAAAAAAAUACAAAUCCACUAUGCUUAUCCUUACCAAAACUUAAACCUAGAAUGGUAAGCAUAAACUACUAAAAGCCACGUAUAACCAAGAAACCCUAAGUUACCAACUAACUUAGUUUUUCUUCCGUUAGCAUAAUGUUAUUAAAUCCUGCACAAUCAUGACAUACAUAUUCAUUGCAUUUCGAUAGAUUGUAACCUCGCUAACGGAGAAUACGUCCUCGUGCCGGAGCAAGGAGCUGCUCAGGAGGUUGCCCCGGACCCAGCACCAGAGCCUGCACCAGAGGAUCUGCCUGCCACUGCUUUGGAAGGCAAGCCCCGGUUUAUGCAUAACCUGUAAUUUAUGCUAUUUUACUACACUUAAUGAUUGUAGGAUUGAUUGUGCACUUAGGUGUAGGAGUUGGUUGAAACCCUAGUUGCAUGAUCUCAGGAAUCCUGUUGAGAUGAAUACUAGUAUGCUAGGUCGAGUAGCUGCUUUAUUAAUUAGGAUCUCGGUAGAAGUCGAGUGAUUUUUCUAGCACUCGCGCGAGGUCAGGAAAUUGGUUGUAUCCACUUUCUUAUCAUAAUGAUGCUGGUUUGUGGAUAACAAUCCAUGGGGAUUGGUUGUCCACGGGAUAAAAAUUGGAAUAAGGAUUAAGGUGUGGUACCGUGUGUCAAGCGUUUGAACGUACUAAACACAUACCGAGAAAUAUGGUAAAUCGGUAAGCCUAGUACCUGAGUGAACCUGCCCGCAGAUUGCCCUCCUCACGCGACCUGAGACGUGGUCUCCCAUUCCGGUUAUGGUGGGUACAAGUGCGGUCACUGCACGACGACAGUCGGGGUCAGUGAGGCAUUGUACGCCAAGGUGGUGAGCCCCUUUCUGUUGCCAGGGAAUCGAUGGGGACGGUUGAUGUGUGUGGGGACGGAGUGCCCCUACAUGUCGUGUCUUUAGGUUUACCUUGCAAGGAUAAAAACUCGAUUCGAAUCGUCUGCUUCUCGCAGCUAAUGAGACUGCUUGAUCCAUGCUGCUACAUUGAGUAACAAGUGGAAAUAUGAUGAGUUGAUACAAGAUGUUGAUUGCUAAAAAAAAGGGUUGCUACUAUGUAUGAGUAGAUAGUACAUAUUUAGCCUUAAGAGAGUCACACUUAAAUUGACAAAGUUAAAACUUGAUCUAGAAACUCAGCUAGUGCUUUUGGCAACCAAACCCCACAGCCAAACAGCUGCAUGUCUAGAGGUAGAGGAGUAGACUCCUCACACCGGGUAAGUCUAGUUGAGUAUUAGUAUACUCAGCCUUGCUUGUGGCAUAAUUUUACAGGUUCUUUGGAGGACAUGGUUGCUGAAGUGACUUGGUCGUCCAUCUUGCCACCAGGUUGGACUGUCGAGUGGGACCCCGCCUCGGCUGAGGAGGAGCAGGAGGAGUGAUGGGACAGGCUUCCCCAUCCCUCCAUCUAAUUAUCGUUAGUUUUAUUCCGCUGCACUUCGAACAAUGAUGACUACUUUUGCAAAAACUCCGAUGAUGAUGUAAUAAUUUAAUACUCCUUAAUGUAUGUUUUUAUGCUUUAUUGUAUUUGCUCUGUGACUCGCCAUCGAGUGAGAUUGUGGUACUUGAUCCUGUCAGUGGCCUCGUCGGACUAGAUCCGAGGGAUUGACGGGUUAUUCCCAUUUAAGUGUGGUCUAGCCUCUAAGGCGGGACUUAGGCACUUAAGUCGGAAUAAUUCGGGCAGUUCCGCCACAAGGUGAUCAUGGAUAGCAUCAACAUUAAUAUCUCUGCAUCUAGUACAAAUUGAAGUAUGCUCAACGGUAGACGUAGAGGGUUUGCAAGAUUUUAAUUAAAUAACAUUAGCAUGCAAUAUAUCAUUUUUACUUCUAAGGUCGGAAAUGGAAGCAAUGCAAACAUCUAGUUCUUUAGCCUUAGCAAGCAAUUUUUCAUUUUCAUCUCUAAGGCUAGCAAGAGAGAUGUUCAAUUCAUCAAUCUUAGCAAGCAAAUCAACAUUAUCAUUUCUAAGAUUGGGAAUGGAAACAUCACAAGCAUUGGAAUCAACCUUAGCAAUUAAACUAGCAUUCUCAUUUCUAAGGUUGUCAAUAGUUUCAUGGCAAGUGCUUAGCUCACUAGAUAGUUUUCACACUUUUCUACUUCUAGAGCGUAAGCAUUUUUAACCUUAACAUGCUUCUUAUUUUCUUUAAUAAGGAAGUCCUCUUGGGUGUCCAAGAGAUCAUCCUUAUCAUGAAUAGCACUAAUCAAUUCAUUUAACUUUUCUUUUUGUUGCAUGUUUAGGUUGGCAAAAAGAAUGCGUAAGUUAUCCUCCUCAUUGCUAGCAUUAUCCUCAUCACUAGAGGUUUCAUAUUUAGUGGAGGAUCUUGAUUUUACCUUCUUUCUUUUGCCGUCCUUUGCCAUGAGGCACUUGUGGCCGACGUUGGGGAAGAGAAGGCCCUUGGUGACGGCGAUGUUGGCGGCGUCCUCGUCGGAGGAGGAGUCACUAGAGCUUUCGUCGGAGUCCCACUCGCGACAUACAUGGGCAUCGCCGCCCUUCUUCUUGUAGUACUUCUUCUUCUCCUUUCUUCUCCCCUUCUUGUCGUCGCCCCUGUCACUGUCACUAGAAAUAGGACAUUUUGCAAUAAAAUGACCGGGCUUACCACACUUGUAGCAAACUUUCUUGGAGCGGGGUUUGUAAUCUUUCCCCUCCUUUGUUUGAGGAUUUGGCGGAAGCUCUUGAUGAUGAGUGCCAUUUCCUCAUUGUCGAGCUUGGAGGCGUC
rnacentral:lncRNA from 1 species